CACAACUUUUGUGAUGUUGGAUUCAUCUGGAGAGGUUAUAGAUGUUUUAUAUGCAGGAUCUCUCAGUCUUCGUGGUCAAAACAUCAAUGAUCAACAGAAGAAGAAAAAUGAUCAGCAGCGGGUUCUAAAAUUUAUGAUGGACCACCAACCGCAUGUUGUUGUUCUUGGAGCUGUGAAUUUGUCCUGUACAAGAUUAAAGGAGGAUAUAUACGAGGUAUGCACUCUUGAAGUCUUCACAAUAUUUUAUUGCAGUUGAAGUUUAUUGUUUAGUGCUUGAGCUUAAUUGUUUUCUAAAUUUUACAACAAUGCCCUUGUUUCCUGGGGAUUUUUAGUGGUCUACUUAUUAGGAAUAUAUCAUUCAUCUUGUUCACAUUGUUUAUGUUCCAAAUUACUGCCAUGUUUUUCUUGUUUUUUCAUUAGUUUGUCAGGGAUGUAACCUAACACUUUCUCCUCUCCCCUCCUGAAAAACACAUUACAGAUAAUCUUUAAAAUGGUAGAGGAGAACCCGAGAGAGGUUGGUCACGAGAUGGAUAACUUGAAUAUUGUGUAUGGUGAUGAAUCUCUACCACAUCUGUAUGAGAAUUCCCGUAUCUCAGCUGACCAGCUUCCUGGGCAGUCAGGUAGAUGCAUUUUCCUAGUUGUGAAAAUUGUUUCUGUAAUAUAGAUGGGAAAGUGACCAUUUCCUAAAUUUAUAGGUAUUGUCAAGCGGGCUGUGGCUCUUGGGCGCUAUCUUCAGAAUCCAUUAGCUAUGGUUGCUACGCUAUGUGGACCAGGAAGAGAGAUAUUGUCUUGGAAACUUGGUCCUUUCGAGAGCUAUCUUACUCCUGAUGAGAAGUAUGCUAUGGUUGAACAGGUCAUGGUUGAUGUGACUAAUCAAGUGGGUCUUGAUGUGAAUUUGGCUGCUAGCCAUGAAUGGUUGUUUUCUCCUCUGCAAUUCAUAUCUGGUCUUGGGCCGCGGAAGGCCGCAUCUCUUCAAAGAUCUUUAGUAAGAGCUGGAGCUAUCUUCACCAGGAAGGACCUUUUGACUGCACAUGGGCUUGGUAAAAAGGUGUUUGUCAAUGCUGUAGGUUUCCUCCGUGUAAGACGCAGUGGAUUGGCUGCUAGCAGUAGUCAAUUUAUUGAUUUAUUGGAUGAUACAAGAAUACAUCCCGAAUCCUAUGGUCUUGCACAGGAGUUGGCAAAAGAUGUUUAUAAAAUGGAUGUAGGAGAUGACAUAAAUGAUGAUGAUGAGAUGCUGGAGAUGGCUAUAGAGCAUGUCAGGGAGAAGCCUCAUCUGCUAAGAGCUGUCCAUUCAUCUGAAUAUGUUGCCGAGAAGGGUUUGACCAAGAAAGAGACCCUUAAUGGCAUAAGAUUGGAAUUGAUGCAAGGCUUUCAGGAUUGCCGCAGACCUUAUGUAGAACCAAGUCAGGAUGAGGAGUUUUACAUGAUUUCUGGAGAGACUGAGGAAACACUUUCUGAAGGGAGAAUUGUGCAAGCAACAGCUCGCAGAGUUCAACCUCAGAGGGCGACUUGUGUUCUUGAUUCUGGAUUGACGGGCAUGUUGACAAAGGAGGACUACACAGAUGACUGGAGGGGUUUUGAUGAUUUGACUGAGAAGUUGCGGGAAGGUGAUAUUUUAACUUGCAGAAUCAAGUCAAUUCAAAAGAAUAGGUAUCAGGUCUUUUUAACUUGUAGAGAGAGUGAAAUGAGAAGUAACCGGUAUCAAAGCUAUCGAGAAAUGGAUCCAUACUACCAUGAAGACCGCAGUAGUUUACAGACUGAGCAGGAAAAGGUUCGUAAGGAGAAGGAGCUAGCGAAGAAGCAUUUUAAACCAAGGAUGAUUGUUCAUCCUCGUUUCCAGAAUAUCACAGCAGAUGAGGCAAUGGAGGUAUGAUUUGUUCAAUAGUGAGAUUGAGUUUACAUGUUUAUGUACAUUAAACUUGAUGGAGGAAAUUCUGUAAGUUUUGUGGACUUUAUUCCUGUCAAGCUUUUUAUGACUCUUCAUUUGUCAAAUGGUAAUAAAGAUUUGACACAUGUAUGCCUUGAACUGAUAAUAAUUUGUUUAGGGAGCAUACUUGAUAUAGGUAGGAUAUGACACUUUAAAGAUAGACUGAAAGACGGAUGUAGUUUUACAGGUAUUUAUAGAAUGUCAUCAUGUAGAGAUGAUAUGGUUGCCUGGACUGCACCUGCCCACAACUGAAAUUGCCAUAAUCUUAAGUUCAUUUAUUUAGUAAAAUGCUAUAUAGACUUGCAUUAUUUUGUUCAUUUUUUUGUCUACAUUAAUGUUCUUGUAUUAGCUUGCGCUCUCAUUGUUUGGAUAUUGUUAGGCUAUGGUCUAAGAUUUCACCUAUUGUAAUUUUAGUUAAAUGCCCUCACUGAUGCAUGUCUAGUCUGAGAGUGUACUACGUGUGGCACAGCCAUUUAAUGUUUGUGCUUCUUAAGUGUUGUCUGAUUUGUUUCUAAUAUAAAAGAUGUGAAAUAAUUGUCAAACAAUUAGAUUUCGUCAAUUGUUGAUCACGAUAGUUAUGUUUACUUGAAUAUGCUUAUAACCUCAUGUUUUGUUGCUUACUUUUUUCUGGUGCAGUUUUUGUCUGACAAGGAUCCCGGCGAAAGUAUUGUCCGUCCUAGUUCUCGUGGACCCUCAUAUUUGACCCUCACACUCAAAGUCUAUGAUGGCGUUUUUGCACACAAGGACAUAGUUGAAGGCGGAAAGGAGCACAAGGAUAUAACAAGUUUGCUUAGGAUAGGGAAAACAUUAAAAAUUGGAGAGGACACAUUUGAGGAUUUGGAUGAGGUAAGAAUCUGGAAUCAUAUUAUGUUGAGCUGUUAAUUUUAUGGAUUGUCAUGUGACGCACACUGUCCAGUCUUCCCACAAUUGGCCCAAAGGGGGUAGUGAAUGCAAAUUUUAUUAAUUUAUUUUGGACCCUAGUAACCACAGUUUCAUCCCCGUUGUUUGUGCAGUUUUUAUAUAGAAUUAUGGAGAUUAAAUCACUUCUCAGGAAUAUGUUCUUGUAGUUGCUACAGCAAGUGAUUGUUUCUCCAAUUUCGUCAUAACUCAUUCUACAUUAAUCCAAAUGACCUGAAAUUUUACAGGCACAUCAACCUCAUCAAUACCUACAACUUUCAUGUUUUGAGCAAAGUCAAAUUCGGCCUCUAACACAGUGAUCUAAAACCGGACAGAAUUGGGGCUUCAAGAACCCUAAAUUUCCAAUUUUCCAUCCAAAUCCAAAAUUAGUUGCAUUUAACCACAUUUGACAUCCAUUAGAGCCAUUUCCAACCAUUACAAUUCAUCAUACAAGCCCCCAACAUCAAGAUCAUAUUAAACCAGAAAAAUUCCCAAUAAAAUAAAAACUUCACCAAAACAUGCCAAAUCAAGGGGUAAAUCAUAUAAUCCUUCACUCAUGCCACCAUUAAGCAUACUAUCACCAUCAUUAGAGGUAGUAAGGGGUUUAAGCAACACUUACCAAGAAAUCAAGAGAGAGAGAGAUGUUGAACACCUUUGCUCUUCAAACAAAGUUCACCAACACACUUACUAUCACUAGAAGCAAAGUUUUUAUGGAGUAGAAUCUAGUCUAAGCCUUUGUUUAUGGAAGAUUGAGGCUUAUGGAAGCUUGAAAAUUGGAAAAUUUCCUUCUUCUUUGAGAGAGAGAGAGCCGGCCAUCCAAGAGAGAAAAUGGUGAUUUUUGGUGAAUUUUUGGAUAUUUAAUCCUUGGUCAAAAAAGUCAAAAUUAUGAAUAGUAACUCUUAAAAGUCAUCCAAUAAGAAGGUGACACUUGUCACCUUCAUAAAUGCAUCCCUAUCUUUCUUUUCUCUCUCACAUCAAUCAUUCACACAUUCUACUUAUCUCUUAACACCCGAUAAAUUUUACACAGUAUCCAAAACUUAACCUUAUUGGCCGAAUUUUUCCGAACUUUUCGCACUAGUGGGUCCCACGUCCACUAUUUACUCUUAAUUUUCUAAAAUUUCUCCAACGCUAGAAAAAUCAUCUUAAAACUAUAACUGCUCAUAAAAUCCUCUCAGAAAAUAUUUCUAAGCCAGAAAAUGCAAAAUUAUGCAAUUAAAGGGGAAUAAACCCUAGGAAAAUAAUUAGGGUUUUACGGGCUCUCACAAAGAAAAUGCAGAAAAAUUCGACGUUGAAGUCCCUGGUGAGUGAUGAGAAAAAUGCAAACAAAGUCUGGGAUCUUUAAGUUCAAAAUAGGGACAAUUUUGGGAAAAUGCGAUCUUCGGUGCUAUGUCCUUAAAAGUUUUAUUCUUUAGCUAUCGUUUUCAAGCUACAUUACAAGCUAACAAAGUCCAUCGUUGACUUAUUCUUUCAUGACAAUCCAAAGUGAGCAUUAUGCUCGUAAGAAAUCCAUCAAUCAUUUGUGAUCAUGGGGGUAUAACCAGUUUUCACAGGUUUAGCUAUCGUUAUCCAUAUUGUUGCAACCCUAUAAAGCUCAUAUGUGGACUACAUUUUCUUAAGAAAUAAGGGUGACAAACUAUUUGCUUUCACUAAGAUGUGGUAUUGAAGGGAUUACAUACAAUAUUGGGCACAAAAAAUAAGACAAAUUCAGACCUCCCAUUUCUUUAGCCAUUUCAAAAAUAAAGUCACUUGAUUGGUCCUGAAAGAUGAGCCAACCAGAAGUGGUGACUCGUUACCCUAAGCACCAAUGCUAAAAGUGAGGAAGAAAUCUUCUUGAAUUUGGUGUUACUUCGAGGAAUUCAUCAUGAAAUUUCUGCACAAGUUCAAACGUGACGUUUAAAGUUUCUUCACAUUGUUGUAUAUGUUCAUUCUUUUCUAAAUUUUAGAAAGUGCGGUUUUUCUUUGUUCAAAUAAAUGGGAAAUCAUCUGAACAAAUUUUUGCAAUCAAGGGAGCCCACACUGGGGCAAAAAUUUUAUUUGUGAGAUUUCAUGAAAUAAGCCCAUACUGGGGCAAACUUUUUGUAAUACAUUUGAGAUUUUUGUCCAAAAUCAAAUAAUAACAUUUUUCAAAUCAAUCCCGCUGCUCUUUUCAUGGAAUUUAAAUGCAUGUCAUGCUUUGUUAAGCCCCCCUGUGCAGGUAUUCAUAGUUGAAAUCAACGAAAGAGCAUCUGGUGAUGUGGAAGGCCGAUGUCGAGGAAAGAGAAGAAAGAAGGGAAAAGGGCCCUACACUGGGGGCAAAUUAUUUUUGAAAAAGAUUCUCUCGAAAAAUCAGAAAAAUUCAAAGUCAAAAAAUCAAGUUCAAAUUCUUGUUUCUUGGAAAAUCAAAUUCAAUUUCUUGACCAAUUGGAUGGCAGGAUUGGGUCUUAUCCCACUGACCAUUCACAAACAUUCCAAACAUUUCAAACAUCAAGUUGGGCCUGGACUUAGUGCCGCCAACAUCUCAAAGAUCACGUUGGGCCUGGACUUCGUGCCGCCAACUUCACAACAUCACGUUGGGCCUGAACUUUGUGCCGCCAACAUCCCAAAUAGCACGUUGGGCCAAGAUUUCGUGCCGCCAACAUUUCAAAGAUCACGUUGGGCCUGGAUUUAGUGCCGCCAACAUUCACAACAUCACGUUGGGCCUGGACUUUGUGCCGCCAAUAUCCCAAAUAGCACGUUGGGCCUAAAUUUCGUGCCGCCAAUAUUUCAAAGAUCACGUUGGGCCUGGAUUUAGUGCCGCCAACAUUCACAACAUCACGUUGGGCCUGGACUUUGUGCCGCCAACAUCUCAAAUAGCACGUUGGGCCUGGAUUUCGUGCCGCCAACAUUUCAAAGAUCCCGUUGGGCCUGGAUUUCGUGCCGCCAACUUCAUAAGAUCACGUUGGGUCUGGAUUCGUGCCGCCAACAUCCCAUUAGGCGGGCUUGGGUUUAAUCCCACUGACCAAUUCAUCAUAUUGGGGCAAAUUAUCUUUGAAAAAUUUCAAAAAAUCGAAAAAAUCAAAAAAUCAAAAAAAAAAUCAAAAAAAAAUAAAAAAAUUUCAAAAAAUCAAAAAUCAAAUCAAGUUCAUCACGGCAGGCUUGGGUUUGAUCCCACUGUCCGAUUGUCAAGACAUUUCAUUUACAUCGCUACUGGAGCGUGGGUUAGGCCAGUAAGCAUUUUCAUUUUUCACCGUUGCUGCAACGUGGGUCUAUCCCAUUUACAUUUCUGUUUGGGUCUAUCCCAUUUAAAUUUCUGUUUGGGUCUAUCCCAUUUAAAUUUGGGUCUAUCCCAUUUAAAUUUCUGUCUGAGUCUAUCCCAUUUACAUUUCUGUCUGGGUCUAUCCCAUUUAAAUUUCUGUCCGGGUCUAUCCCGUGGGUCUAUCCCAUUUACAUUUCUGUCUGGGUCUAUCCCAUUUAAAUUUCUGUACGGGUCUAUCCCAUUUACAUUUCUGUUUGGGUCUAUCCCAUUUACAUUUCUGUCUGGGUCUAUCCCAUUUAAAUUUCUGUCCGGGUCUAUCCCGUGGGUCUAUCCCAUUUACAUUUCUGUUUGGGUCUAUCCCAUUUACAUUUCAAUUUGGGUCUAUCCCGUCGGUCUAUCCCGUGGGUCUAUCCCAUUUAAAUUUCUGUACGGGUCUAUCCCAUUUGCAUUUCUGUUUGGGUCUAUCCCAUUUACAUUUCUGUCUGGGUCUAUCCCAUUUAAAUUUCUGUCCGGGUCUAUCCCGUGGGUCUAUCCCAUUUACAUUUCUGUCUGGGUCUAUCCUAUUUACAUUUCAAUUCGGGUCUAUCCCGUGGGUUUAUCUCAUUUAAAUUCCUGUUCGGGCCAGUCCCGUUUUAAUUUUCUGUUCGGGUCAGUCCCAUGAUUUCAUUUUAUUCGGACCAGUCCCAUGAUUUUCGUUUUAUUCGGGUCAGUCCCAUGAUUUAAAGCUUAUUCGGGUCAGUCCCAUGAUUUUCAUUUUAUUCGGGCCAGUCCCAUGAUUUUCGUUUUAUUCGGGUCAGUCCCAUGAUUUAAACCUUAUUCGGGUCAGUCCCAUGAUUAAAAGAUUGUUCGGGUCAGUCUCAUGAUUUUCAUUUUAUUCGAGUCAGUCCUAUGAUUUUUAGUCCCAUGAUUUUCGUUUUAUUCGGGUCAGUCCCAUGAUUUAAAGUUUAUUCGGGUCAGUCCCAUGAUUAAAAGUUUGUUCGGGUCAGUCCCAUGAUUUUCAUUUUAUUCGGGCCAGUCCCAUGAUUUUCGUUUUAUUCGGGUCAGUCUCAUGAUUUAAAACUUAUUCGGGUCAGUCCCAUGAUUAAAAGCUUGUUCGGGUCAGUCCCAUGAUUUUAAAUUUUGUUCGGGUCUAUCCCGUUUUAAAUUUCCUGUUCGGGCCAGUUCCGUUUUAAUUUUCUGUUCGGGUCAGUCCCAUUUUAAAUUUCUUGUUCAGAUAGUCCAUUAAAAAUUUUUCUUCUCAGUUAAUCUCAUCAAAAGGGGUCAGUCCCCAUCGUUCGAGUCGUUCACAGCCGAAUAACACAGGUAAGUAUUUGGUGUCUAUUUCUUUGUCUCAAGUUUUUUCAAAAUUCAGACAAAGAUGGGCAAACUGUAGACACCAAAUUUUUGGCGUAAUUUCAUUUACUAUUUAAUUCUUAGUUUUUUAUUUGUCGUGUUAAGUUUUAUUCACUUUUUUAGUUUUUAGUUUUUAUUUUAUUAUUUUUUAUUUUAAGUUUUAGCGUAGAAUUUCUUGUAAAAAAGAAAAAGCAUUCAAAAAAUAUGCUUUAGUUGUUUUGAUUUAAAUUCCAUGUUUUCUUGAAAAAAAAAAGAAGAAAGAAAAGAAAAAAUGAAAAAUGAAGGAAAAAUUGAAAAAUGGCAACUUUGUUGUUUUUUUUUUAGUUUAUUUACUUUGAUGUGACUUUAUUUUAGUUAUUGUUUGUUUUUUUUUUUUGCAUAAAACUGCGUUUUUAACUCUUGGUGGUUCCCAUAAGAAUCUGAGUUCAUGUUGGAUUGUUUCUGGUUUAAUUUCGCAUUUACUUCGGUCAUACAUGGCUGCUCGCCUAGUCUCUUGUGCAUUUAGUUUCUUUCUCACAUUGUUACUCCUAUCCAGGUUGUAGUUUUUUUUGGUUUCUUAUUGUACAGCAAAUUUGCAUGAUGUCUUGCUAAGUUUUCUGUUUGGUUGAAUGAAAUUGGUUGCUUAGUUUGAAUUUAUGAUGUUGGGUUGGAAAUAAAUCAAGGCUUGGCAUGAAUCUUGCUGACCGAAAGUUUCUUGGAGCUGCAUUUUUGCAGCAGAAUUUAUUGUAGAAAGCUUCCCUGGUUGCCGAAUUCUUUUUAGCAGAAAACUUGGUUCGAAUUCUGGUUUGCAUGAAAAUCUUCACCAUUGCUGGUUCUGCCAUUCUCUUGCACGUAUGAUAGAUUGUUUGAAACGAUAAGUUUGAUCAAAGCUUGAGGUUGAGUUUCAAUUUGGGAAACUUGUAGAACCUGUCGCGCGAAGUUCGUUUGCUGAAGCUUCAAUAGUAUAAGGAAAUUUGUUGCAGAAACAAGUUUCUUCGUAGUUGCAUGAAUCUGCAUGAAAAUCUUUCAAAAUAAUUUCACUUUGACCCCAUUGGUUUCCCCUUAUGCCACUAAGGCCCAGAAACUUUGAAAAUCAAUCAAUUUGGUCCCUUUCAAAUGUUAAUUUCCUUUGACAUGCUCUAAUUUGUUUUGGGCAGUUGGUUUAGGAGUUGUAAGAUGAAAUUUGAUCAUUUAACGACUCUUGAUAAUUCUUAGUUUAAUUCGGAUUUUAGUAGAAUUUUGGUAAUUUUGUUGCUUAAUUAUAACAGAUGGGUUAUCUUCCAUUUUUGCGAAGUUUAAAUUUUGAUUUUGCUAUGUUUACUCUUGAGUCGUUAAUUCUACUUUUUCUUCCUUUUAGACCCCCUGACAUUCAAUAAAUUGACCCUUUGUGCUUCUUUGAUUUCAUAAGCAAGUCUCUACUUGUUUCAAUUUUUUAGACAUGGGUUGUUUGCAUCCUUUUAAGUGCCUUUGAUUGAUUCAAUUUCACAAUUAAUUGUCAAUUAAAGUGGUACCUUGACCAUUUCUUUUAUUUUGGAGGAUAAAUAAGUGAUUUCACUCCAUCUAAGGCAUCAACUCAAGGGAGGUAUAACUUCUUUUAUCUAUUUUUAUUUCUCCUCUAUGUGAUUCAACGUGCUAAGUGAGAAUUGCAUGUCUACUUUGCUUUCCUUGCUUUUCCUUAAUUCCUUUCAUUUAUUUCCUUUAUUUUUGCUUUUAUUAAGUUAUUCUUUUAUGGGGUAUGUGUACACCUCUUGGCUUGUAAUAGAUAGGGCUUGGAGAGCAUUUGAUGAAGACCUACUGAAGACGUGUGCCUAGCUAGCAAAUGUAAUAGGUUCAUUAGUUUGGUUGCAUGCCUAUGUGUUAUGUGUUACUUGUUUUAUUAGGUUCUUGCAUCUAAUCGAGCAUGCUAAGUGUUAUGUGCUAUGUGUUUAUGAGUGUUUAGCAUGUCUACUUGCUUUCUAUAAUCGUAGAUGAAUGUGAUGGAUGAAUGUACGUCACCACACUAGUCCAAUGCUAGUUGUGGCUCAUUAUUCCGUUAGGAAUUCAUAGAAAGGGCUAGUCCAACGCUAGACCCUUAGGGAUUUCCCCUCGUUAGUACAUAUUUGCGUGUUCACUACAUGUUAUGCAUUUUUCUUAGUUUUAUCAUUUGGCAUGCUCCUCGAACCCCUUUUCCCUUCAUUUUUAGGAUUUUUGCAUUUCAUGCUAGUUAUAUGGUACAUUUGCUUGAGUGUCCCCUUUCGAUAAGGGAAACGAGUGAGUGUGGCUCAAAAUAGCCUUAGCACGCUAGUUCUCCUUUCUAAUCAAAGGGAAAAUUGAAGUCACAAAGUUAGGAGUCCUUCCCGUGCCCAACUUGAUGCAUCCCCUUAGGGUCAUACACUUGCAUUCUUUUUAUAUCACCUCUUCACCUUUUAACCACAUUUUCUCACUUUUCUCAAUCCACACUUUCUCAACAUCCUUUUAUCACUUAUUUAUUUCUCAUCUCACAAAUGGCACUCAAAAUUGCACUGAUAUGUAUCUACUAUUCUAUUUUUCAUCCAUUUACACACGAACACCUUUAUUUUAUCACAUUUGCACACUUGCACUUACCACAUUUCGCACACACACAUAUUUGAGUCUUCAUUUGCAUUUUCCUAUGACCUCUAUGAGAUUCUUCCUAUUGGCCUUCACAAACCCAUGUGAUUGGGACCAAAAAUCUCAUAAGAGACAUUUUAGAUUUAGGUUUGCAUUUUUCUUUCCAUUUUGCAUCCUUUAGUCAUAUCCAACAUGCGAUACAUACCUUGGGUAGAAAAAUUAGGAAACGUGGGGCUAAGUCACGCAACUAGCUUUGGCUAAGGUAAGGGAGUGCCUUAGGCUCCGCCUUUGCUUUCUCCCUUACCAAACGUGACUCCCGAUCCCUUUCUUUGGUUACGUAGACCUAAAAGUUUUCAAAAAGGGUUUGUUUACUUUUUCAUUCAAAAACAAAAUCAUCUUUGGGUGACUUGGUACACCCUAACUCCAUACCAAGUGGCGACAAAAUUUUUCAUCCAAAAACCCUUUUUGAACUUUAUUUGGCCAAACCGUCGCAUUUCACAAUCCCACGGCCUUUAUUUUCACUUUCGCACACGUUCACAUACAUAUUUCACACACUACUUCCACUACUUCCACUACUUCCACACUCAUUUCAAAAAUUGGGGCGCGACACUAUCUUUAUAACUUACUAUUAUACUAUGAACUCUCUUUAUAAGUUUAUAACCAAUGGUGCACUCUUUAUAAUAGUGAAUGAAUCACUGAUAUAUUUGGAUGCUUAAGCCACCAUAAACUAAAUUUAGUGGUGCUUGGUGCAAGAACGACUCUAGAUAUAGAACUCGUCUAUCAAUUCAAGUAGGAUGCCCCUAGAAGCAAGAGCGAAAGGGACCCUAGGCAGGCUGCUAACGUAUCAAAACUAGCUUGUCAAUUGUCAAUAAGAUGAAAAAACUCGAAUGUCGCGCCCCAUUUUUUGAUAAAUAAAUAAAUGGUUUAAAAAUGUAUUUUGAUUCAAUUUUUUAUUGGAAAAUGAAUUUUGAUUUAAAAGAAAAAUGGGUCUAAAUGGGGGUUUGAGAAUGCGACGAUUUGACUCAAAAUGUAGUUUAAAAAGGGUUUUUGAAACAAUUGGAGUCGCCACUUGGUAAUGAAUUAAGGUGUACCAAGUCACCUAAAAAAAUGAAUUUUUAGAAAAAAUAGGAAAAAAUAGUAAGAAACCCCUUUUAAACGACUCCUAGUCCACGUAAACCAACGAAAAAGGUUCGGGAGUCACAUUUGACGAAGGGGAAGGCAAGGAUAAAAAUCCAAGGCACCCCUUCGACCUAGCCAAGGCUAGUUGCGUUGAUUUAAUCAAAGAUUUUCUUGUUUUAACCAAAGAAUUUAUUACAUUUGGAUGCACUACAUGAAUGCAAACCCUAGACCUAGGGGUAUUGGGAGAAAUUUCUCUUCAAAGGUUGAGUGGUGCCAAUCACAUUAAUUGUGAAGCCCAAUAACGAUCCUUUGAAGAAGUCACGAAUAAUGCGAGUGGGAUGCAAAUGAAUGGAACGCAUGUAUGCAAUGUGAGGACAUGAGUUUGAAAAAAACCAUAAAAGGCAAUAAUACGUAAAUGAAAAUGUGCAUGUGAGUGGGCAAGGUACGGUAUGUAAAGUGAUAAUAUGAAGUGCAUGUGUGCAAGUGAUGAUAAAAGUGUUCGUGUGCAAGUGAUGAUAAAAGUGUUCGUGUGCAAGUGAAGAAACAUAAAGGUGCACGUGUGCAAAAUGGGAGGAAAGAUGAAAGUGUGAUGAGGGCAUAAAAUGGUAGAGUGGAUUUAAAAAUGCAUGAGCCUAGGGAAUUCAUGCAUAUUGGGUACGGGGAGACCUAAAUCGUGACUCAAUUUGCCCUUUUAUCGAGGGAAUACAAGCGUGCUAAGGUUUAGAAAAAGCCACACUCGUCUAUAUCCCAUAUUUAAGGGGACUCUCACGGAAAUGAACCCUAUAACUAGCAUGAAAUGCAAAAAUCCUAAAAUGGAGGGAAAAGGGGUUCGAGGGGCAUGCAAAAUGAUAAAACUAAAAAGAAUGCAUGACAUGUAAUGAACAUGCAAAUCAUGUACUAACGAAAGGAAAUUCCUAAGGGUCUAGCGUUGGACUAGCCCAUUCUAUGAAUUCCGACUAGCGUUGGACUAGCGGAAACGUACAUUCAUCCAUCACAUUCAUUCAUGGUUAUGGAAAGCGAGUAGACAUGACAAACACUCGUAAACACAUAGCACAUAACAUUUAGCAUGCUCGACUAGAUGCAAGGCCCUAACAAAGCAAAUUAACACGUAGCAACUAAGUAUGCAAGACACAUAAGACAAUUAAAGCCCUAACUAUUACAUUUGCUAGCUAGGCACACGUCUUCGAUAGGUCUUCAUUGAAUGCUCCUCCAAGCCCUAUCUAUUACAAGCUAAGAGGUGUACACAUACCCCAUAAAGAAUAACUUAAAUAAAAAGCAAAAGUAAAUGACAUAAAUAAAAGAAAUUAAAGAAAGCUAGGAAAGCAAAGUAGACAUGUAUUUCUCACGUAGCACGUUGGUUCACAUAGGAGACAAAAAAAAUAAAAGAAGUUAUACCUCCCUUGAGUUGGAGCUCUAAUGGAGUGAAGUCACUUAUUUAUCCUCCAAAAUAAAAGAAAUGGUCAAGGUACCAAUUUAUUAAGAAAAAUUAAAGAAAUGUGUAAAAACAAAGCUCACUUGAUCGUAAAGCCUCUAAAGUCAUGGCUUAAGUGCAAUGGAAACAAAGCAUGGUAGUUAAUUGAAGCAAACAAGCAGUGAAGUUGCACAAAUUAAAAUUACCAAGGACCAAAUUGAUGAAAUUAUUUAAUUGAUUGGGUCCUAGUGGAACAAAGAGAGACUUGGGGGACCAAAGUGCAAUUUUGGAAGAUUGUUUCAUGCACUCUUCAUGCAAAUGACGUGAAAAACAACAUGAGAAACAACAUUCUGCAGCAGAAAUUUCUGCUGAAAGCUUUCGGCAACCCAGCAUUUUAUAAAGACAGCCUUCAAACAUAGCCAAAUCCAAACACAACUAUCACACAAUUCUCUCACUUUGCAUCAUAAAGCUUGUAGACUUAAACACCCAAAAUCAGACAACAGGCAUGCAAAAUUUAAACAGAUCAAGCAGCCUCAUGCAAAGUUUUACAAAUUUUUCUGCAACAUCUCUUGUCAAACCAUUAGCAACCGAAACUUCAACAAGAGAAACAGCACACACAACUUGCUUUUUAGUUAAAGUCUCAAAUCCAAAUAUGAAAGCUUCGAACUAAGCGACUAACUACACAAUCACCAUCAUCCAAACAGGAAGAACAUUUAGAAAAAUCUCACGCAAAAUUCUGGAACAACAUGCAAACAUUCGAAGAACCAAAAGUGGCUGCAACUUCCUCUAUUUCUUAUGAGAACCACCAAGAUUAGCGUUAUUCCUUUUCCAUAGAUAAUCUACACAAAUAAACCAUUACAAAUGAAGUAGACAAGUAAAUUCAGACCCCAAACCAAACAGGUAGCUUUGCUUGAUUAUAACAGAAACCAAAAGUCCGAAAAAACAAGAAGCAGCAGAACUACAUUUACUCUCUAGUUUCUGGUUUUAGAAAGAAAAAAAAAAACUUCCAUUACAUGCCCAUUGCACCAUGCGAUACCCAAAGUAAAAGAAAGGACCAAUGCAACCCAGGAACAACGAGGAAAUCCUUAAAAGUAAGCAAGCAGGAAGAACUGAAGUUUUGGGAGAUAGAGAGGGAGAGAGAGGAUAAGCUUUAGAAGGCAACAAAAGAAAAGGCAACUGAGAGAGGGGGAGUGAAGGGGGGAGCGACUGAGUUUUAGAAAAGAACGCAGCUUUGAGGAAGAUUAAAACAGAAGAGAGGGAAUCGGGGAGAGAGAAAAACAGCAAAAAAGGAAAAGAAAGGAGGUGACGGUUGAAAUCUGGAAAAGAAAGGAAAACCAGAGAGAGGUGGAGGGAGACGCGGCUGAGAAGAGGAAAUCUGAAUGAUGGCUAGGGUUUGAAGAGUGAUAAAAGAGGGAGAGUCGGAGAGCUGGGCAAGAGAGAAGAAGUUGGAGACGGAGAAUCAACGGAAGAGCUUUUUUUUUUCCAAAGUCAGAACUUCUUCUGGGGAGCAUUUUCACGGUGCAUCGGAUUCGGUUUGAAGGUAACUAUUGUUCUCUUGAUUCCUGUUCCGUUUGUAUCCGCAUGAUUCUUCAUUACUAUUAUGGAAUCUGAAUGGAUUGAUGACUAUCAUGGAAGAUCUGUAUGCUUGCUUUCUGUUCUUGAAUGCAUUAGAGACUGCUGUUGUUUUAGUAUUCGAAUGUGUUCAUGGAUGAAAACUACACCUGGGUCGAGUUGGCUAGAUUUAUUUUUCUUACGGAAAUAGAUUCAUUACAGAGAAAAGAGAUGAAAAGAUAGAAACUUUCACGGCUAAGCUCACUUUGUGUGUAGUUUGUUUUUUUAUAUUUGGUCCUUUGCUGAUUUCCUUGCUUCAGUUGGUACAGUUGCCCUCAUUUUUUUAUCUUUGUUGUGAUAUGUCCUGCUGGGUCUCUGUCGGAUCUUCAGUAAGAUUAGCAUUAGAAUUGAGCAUGUUAAUGGUUUAUGUCUUGGGGUAUACUAGUUGAUAGCAUGCGAUAUUUGCCUCAUUAUGUUUUGAUUUGAGCUCAUGGAUGGUCUGUACAAAGAGUAAGCCACAAAUUUGCAGCAGAAAGUUGCAGCAAGAAGUCUUGACCGAACUUAACCCAGAAUAAAUCUUGAAUGGGCUUUUAGUUUGUUAGUUUUGUAGCUCCUUUUCGUUUGCAUGAUCGAGAUUCUGUCUCAAAUUCUUCCUGAGUGACAUGGGUUGCUAAAAUAAAUUCAGCUGCAGAAUGUUUUUCUUUGCGGUUUUGUUGCAUUUUAUGUUCGGUUUCUUUGAGUAGAUCUUUUAGGGAAUAGAUUAUCGUUUUGAGGUUAACUAUAUGAGUUAGAACUCAUGGCAUUGGAUAGUUCACAUGGACAGAAUUACUAAGUUUUCAUUCCCAUUAUUUCACAUGAUCAUCUUUCGGUCCGAAGCUAAAAAUUUUGCAGAAUGUUAUUUCGAUGUUUGCAUGAUCAUUAGUCCGAGUUUCAGAUGUUUAGACAUAAGAUUUUUGCGGCUAAAAGGAGGAAAAAUGUUUGAGUAAUCUUGUCACUUCAGUCCAAGCUUUUGUUUGUUGAGUUGUUAAUUGUAUUCGGAUGAGAAAGGAUCGCAUCAGGAAACCUGAAAGUGGAAAUGAAAAAUGCAGCAAAGUCUUCCCGUAGCUUUGCAUGGGAAUUUCAGAAAAUUACAGUUCUAAUCCCCCAAGUCUCUCCUUGUUCCACUAGGACCCAAGUAAUUGGAAAAUUUCAUCAAUUUGGUCCUUGGUACUUUUAAUUUGUGCAACUUCAUUGCUUGUUUACUUCAAUUAACUACCAUGCUUUGCCUCAAUUGCGUUUAAAACAUGACUUUAGGGACUUUAUGAUCAAGUGAGUUUUGUUUUUGCACAUUUCUUUUAAUUUUUCUUAAAUAAAGUGGUGCCUUGACCCUUUUUAUUCUUUUGAAGCUAAUAUCUCAUUUACUCGAUUUCCAUUGCAAGGGAGGUAACUUCUAUAUUCUUGAGUUAUUUUUCCUACGUGCUUCUACGUGUUAUGUGAAUAUACAUGUCUACUUUGCUUUCCUAGCCUUUCUUUAAUUUCUUUUAUUUAUAUCAUUUACUUUUGCUUUUUAUUUAAUUUAUUCUUUAUGGGGUAUGUGUACACCUCUUGGCUUGUAAUAGUUAGGGAUUUAAUUAUUCCUUUUCCCCCUUUAGAUUGUAGUAGGGUCUCCCUAAUGUAAUAGAUAGGGCUUGGAGGAGCAUUCAAUGAAGACCUAUCGAAGUCAUGUGCCUAGUUAGCAAAUGUAAUAGUUAGGGCUUUAAUUGUCUUAUGUGUCUUGCAUGCUUAGUUGCUACGUGUUAAUUUGCUUUGUUAGGGCCUUGCAUCUAGUCGAGUAUGCUAAAUGUUAUGUGCUAUGUGUUUAUGAGUGUUUGGCAUGUCUACUCGCUUUCCAUAGCCAUGAAUGAAUGUGAUGGAUGAAUGUAAGUUUCCGCUAGUCCAACGCUAGUCGAAAUUCAUAGAAUGGGCUAGUCCAACGCUAGACCCUUAGGGAUUUCCCCUCAUUAGUACAUGUUUGCAUGUUCAUUACAUGUCAUGCAUUCUUUUUAGUUUUAUCAUUUUGCAUGCCCCUCGAACCCCUUUUCCCUCCAUUUUAGGAUUUUUGCAUUUCAUACUAGUUAUAGGGUUCAUUUGCUUGAGAGUCCCCUUAAAUAUGGGAUAUAGACGAGUGUGGCUUUUUCUAAGCCUUAGCACGCUUGUAUUCCCUCUAUAAAAGGGCAAAUUGAGUCACGAUUUAGGUCUCCCCGUACCCAAUAUGCAUGAAUUCCCUAGGCUCAUGCAUUUUUAAAUCCACUCUACCAUUUUAUACCGUCAUUACACUUUUUAUUUUUCCUCCCAUUUUGCACACGUGCACCUUUAUGUUGCUUCACUUGCACACGAACACUUUAUCAUCACUUGCACACAUGCACUUCAUAUUAUCAUUUCACAUACCGUACCUUGCCCACUCACGUGCACAUUUUCAUUUACAUAUUUAUUGUUUUUAUUACUUUUUCAAACUCAUGUCCUCACAUUGUAUACAUGCAUUCCAUUCAUUUGCAUCCCACUCGCAUUAUUCGUGACUUCUUCAAAGGAUCGUUAUUGGGCUUCACAAUUAAUGUGAUUGGCACCACUCAACCUUUGAAGAGAAAUUUCCCCCAAUACCCCUAGGUCUAGGGUUUGCAUUCAUGUAGUGCAUCCAAAUGUAAUAAAUUCUUUGGUUAAAACAAGAAAAUCUUUGAUUAAAUCAACGCAACUAGCCUUGGCUAGGUCGAAGGGGUGCCUUGGAUUUUUAUCCUUGCCUUCCCUUUCGUCAAAUGUGACUCCCGAACCUUUUUCGUUGGUUUACGUGGACUAGGAGUCGUUUAAAAGGGGUUUCUUACUACUUUUUCCUAUUUUUUCUAAAAAUUCAUUUUUUUAGGUGACUUGGUACACCUUAACUCAUUACCAAGUGGCGACUCCAAUUGUUUCAAAAACCCUUUUUAAACUACAUUUUGGGUCAAAUCGUCGCAUUCUCAAACCCCCAUUUAGACCCAUUUUUCUUUUAAAUCAAAAUUCAUUUUCCAAUAAAAAAUUGAAUCAAAAUACAUUUUUAAACCAUUUAUUUAUUUAUCAAAAAAUGGGGCGCGACAGUUGGCGACUCCACUGGGGACAUUCGAGAGUCUGAGCAAAUUUGAUUUAAUCAACCUUUUUCUUCUUUUAACCUUUUCAUAUAUCACAUUUGGGUGUUUUAGGGUGGCAUUUUUUCCUUUUUUUAGGAUUUUGCAUUUCACGCGUGUCCAACUACUCCCCCACUCACGUAUGUAUGAUUGGUUGAUUGGAUGUAUGUUUACUUGUUUAUCUCGCGCUUGCAUUGCAUUUGGGGGGGUGUGUGUCACCUUUAGAGCCUCGCGUGGUUCUCAACCCUUUCCCUCAAAAUAGGGAACACUUCAUACGUGCACGUUUACUUAUUGUUAUCCCAUUUUAUUUUAUUUUUCGUGGGCGCUAUCCCACACCGCCUUGUAGGAUUAUGAUUGAUUGCCUUCGGUAGGCGGAUGGUGUGCACUGCGCCCAUAGCGCUACCUAAGGGAUCACUCGAGCCACCGAUCGAAGGCCUUGGGAGUGAUGACCCUUCGCCUUUAGGUCUGAAGGCUUGGGAGCCGAAGCCUUAUCGAGUCUAGUCGCAUUAGUGAACCCCAGCCUCAUGCAUCCAUGUUAGCAUUUUCCUAGGUUAGAGUCAACCUCACCCUCUUUUAAGCACAUUAGGCACGAGAGAAGGGGUUCCACCCCUUUCAUUGCUUUCAUUGUAUUUCUUUUCUUAAUUGCUCCCAACGUGUUAUGUGUACUAUCAAUUGCACUAACCAUUUUUUUUUAUUUUCUUGGCUCGCAUUCAUGUGCCUUAGCAAUAAGAGGCCUUUUCGGCACUCUUUUAGUGACUUACCCACUAGAUAGCUUACAUGUUUAAAUUUCAGUCAUUACACUUAAUUUUCAAUAAAUACAUUUCAUUUUAAACCCUUUCCCCCCCCCGAUGCAUUAUUCAUGUCCUUUAGGCCAUAUUUGUCACAUAUUUACAUCGCUUUAAUAAAUGACAUCAUGCAUUAAACCUUAGAAAGGGAAUGCCAUUUAGGGGAUCCCGUGUUAGCAAUAAGCCACCUUGUGUCUCGGAUAUUUAAUCCAAAGAGACUUGCACGUUUACAUUUUGUACCAUCCAAAGGGGUAAUGCACAAGGUAAGGUAGGAUCCGAUCAUUUUCAUAGAGUGAUCUUUGGAAUAUGAGCGUCUAAUAAUCACUUUUUGACCAUUUUAUCAAAAUUGGUAAAAAUCCCUUGCGUAAAGGACAUUAAUUUGAAGACAUUUACCAAUAUUUCCUCACUAUUGAGACAAUAAGUGAAUUGAGGCCAAAAUUUGAUUUUUAGAAGGUCAUAGACUAAUGCACUUCAAUAAUUUUGAAAUAACCAAUGGCCGGACGAUUCAACCAAUCCAUUUUGCCGAUUCAUUCGAUAAAUCGUCAAUUCAUUUGACCAAUUUACCCUUUUUAGGGUCAUUUGACCAAUUUACCCUUUUUAGGGUCAUCUGGUCGAGUUUGAAUAAAUCGUCAAUUCAUUUGACCAAUUUACCCUUUUUAGGGUCAUUCGGCCAAUUUUUGAAUAAAUCACUAAUUCAAUUUCAUUCAUUUGACCAAUUUACCCUUUUAGGGCGAUCUGGUCAAUUUUGAAUAAAUUCUCGAUUUCAUUCAAUUCAUUCGAUCAAGUUCCUUUUUAGGAUGAUCCGAUCCAUUUUUGAAUAAAAUUUUCAAUUUCAUUCGAUCAAGUUCCCUUUUUAGGAUGAUCCGGUCAGUUUUGAGUAAAUUUUACUCAAUUCAUUUGAUCUGUUUCCCUUUUUAGGGUAAUCCGGUCAAUUUUAAGUAAAUGGUCAAUUUCAUUCAACCUGUUUGACCAAUUAGGGUUUCAAUGUCAAUUUCAAAUGGAGAAAUCUAGUCGAUUUUGAGAAAACUAUUCAUUGCAUCCAGACAUUUGAUCAGUUGGAAUUUUGACCCGUGCUUCACUAAGAAAAUUUGUCAACGAAUUCCAAUCUCUUCGAUAGGAAGUUCGUCGAGGUCAAACCCGUGCAUUUGUAAUCAAUUCAUUCGGACAUUGCCAUUAUUUUGACAAAUGUCUUUCAUCUCUCCAAUUAACCAAUUUCUUCAAAAUUAUUUUUUCACUCAAUGAGUUGAUCGGAUCCAUCAAGUAUUGUAUAGUGUCUGCUCUGGAGGAUUGCAUUUUCAUGCUAGGCCUACCCUUGGCAUAAAAGGGUUCCCCCAUAGGACAUGCAUACCGAUUUUACAAUUUUUGCUUACUAACUCUGGGUAUUUUUCUUUUGUUUUCCCCCUCCCCUGCAUUCAUAAAAAGAAAAAAAAAAGCUUCAAUAAGGUGAAAAUAUUUUUCUAUAUCUGAUGAUAAUUUGGAUCUAAUAAAGUGUCAAAAUUGCAAGUAUUGUGUAUUUUUUUUUUUGGGCAGAUCCUACAAUGAAAAAUAAAUGACCUAUCUGGAAGCUCUACGCUAAAGCCUCUGAGAGAUUUUGUAAUUAUUUCCGAAGGGGAAAUUCUGUUUAUUUGAUUUGUUAAUACAUUUUGUUCCAAAAGAAAAUGAGAUGAAAAGUGCAUAUGUGGAGCUCUUUACAAGUUUCUCUUUUCUCAUUGUAUUAUAAUUGAACGACAAAUUUUGUUUUAAUCUUGCUAGUAAUAAAGUUUUGGACAAUUAUUGUUUUAUGUAUAUUCAUGUACAUUUCAUUCUUUUGCUCAUUGGAGAUUUCACGAUGAAUUUUAAGAAAUAAGACCAAAUUGAUAUUUUUUCGACCUCUGGCCUGAAAAUUCACAAGUGUCUACUUUCAAAAAUCCUUACGUACACCAGAUUGUUGAUCCGAGUCAUCCAAUAAGAGUGCUAAAAAAAAAAAGAAGGUCACUCAAAAGACCCAAUGAAAUACCUUUUCUCCUUCAUUUGACCCCAAAAUAAAAUCAGUCACAUUGAUUGAUAAAUCAUAAAUUGGGGCAAUCUUUGCUUGAAAAUAUCCAUUGUGUUUAACCGAUUCAAUUCACAUCUAAGUGAAAGCAAAAAUGUGCAUUAUUCUUGUUUGUUUUGAAAAGUUGGAAUGAUACUUUGAGCAGUCUUUUCUCUAUCUAUACAGAGUUUAUCAUUUGCUCUCCCGUUUGAGCCUUUAAAAGAAUAAUUUCGUUUCAAAUAAGCGCCUUGAUGAUCACUACCCCACAUGGAAAAUUUUCAAAUAUCAAAAGGGAGUGGAUUUUCAAUGAGCAUUGCGUUACUCUGAUUGUCAUGAGGUGUAAGAAUGAUACUUUGGCCAUCGUUUCUACGACCUAAACACCAUUUAUCCCUUGCAACCUCAUUUGAGCCAAAAAAUUGGUGGUUCUUUUCGAGUGCACAUAUGAUCGCACCCCACAUUGGGGAAGGAGAUUGGGGAAUUUUGAAAUAGGAAAAGAAAAAGGGGAAAGGGAACCACAAAUUGGGAAAUUUUGAUUCUACUUGGGUUUCAAUUUUGAAAAGAAAAGAAAAGAGGAAAAAGUACAAGUUCUGUCCGGUGGAUCACUUAUGUUUCAUAGAUAUGAAUGAGCAAGAGUUUUCCUCAGUCAAUUAAUUCAGAUACAUGCCAGAAAUUUCCCAUUAAUGAAAGUUUCCUUUCAGAGUUAUUGUAAGGAACGGAAUAAAAGUCAGACCUUCUUCUUUUCCAAUCAAACAUUCUAUCCCUAGUUGUCCCUUUUGAGCCAUCAGAAUAAAUUAUUUCGUUUGGCAACCCCUGAGAAUCGCAAACCCCACACUGGGGCAAGUUGGAGUUGAAAAGAAAAGUUUCAAGAAGUGAAAAGUGACAAAGCCACAAAAUCAAAAGCAAGAGGAAAAAGAGAACCUCAGUUCAAAAAUAAACUGGGGCAAAUUUUGUGAAAAUUUCAAAAAAAUGGCAGAAAGCCGGAAAAUCAAAAGAAGAAAGAAAAUGAAAGAGAAAAAGCCUCAAUUGAGCAUAAACUGGGGCAAAUUCUGAUUUAACCCUAAAAUAGGGUUGGCGCAACAAUGCGAUCUCAGAUUCUUCAAUCCACUUUUGAAAUCCGCUUUCAAGUCUUAACUUUUCUAAACACCCCACCUGACCCCAUUACAAAAGCCGAAAGUCCUGACUUCUGUUCUUUGCAAUGGCCCUGUCAAGAAAAUUUCUGAUACCGGAAAAUUUUAGCUGUAUUUCUGAAUUGCUUGGGUAUGGGGUUGACGCUACUCACCAUGUGAAAACCCACCAGAUCAAAGAAAAGAAAACGGAAAAGCAAAAAGAAAAAAUGAAAUACAAAAGAUUCGAUGGUGAAGUCCCUUUUGAGUGAUCAAACAAAGUUCAGAAUCUUCGGGUUCAAAAUAGGGGCAAUUUUGGAAAAAUGCGAUCUGUGGUGCAAUGUCCUUGAAAGUCUUAUCCUUCAACUAUCGUUUCAAGCCACAUUACAAGCUAACAAAGCCCAUCGUUGACUUAUUCCUUCAUGACAAUCCAAAGUGAGGAUUAUGCUCGAAAGAAAUUCAUCAAUCAUUUGUGAUCAUAGGGGUAUAACCAGUUUUCACAGGUUUAGCUAUCGCUUCUACCCAUGUUGUUGCAAGCCUAUAAAGCUUAUACGUUGACUAAGUUUUCUUAAGAAAUAAGAGUGACAAACUCUUUGCUUUCACUAAGAUGUGGUAUUGAAAGAAUUACAAUUUUGGGCACAAGAACCAAACAAAUCUUGACUUCUCAUUUCCCUUAACCCCCUCAAAAAUCAGAAAUAAGAUCACUGGAUUGCUCCUGAAAAAUGAGCCAAUAAGGAUUGGUGGCCCAUCACCCAAAGCAUUGAUGCUAAAGUGGGAAAAAUCUUUCGUAAUUCGACAUUAUUUUGAGAAAUUUAUCAUGAAAUUUGCUAUAUGAGUUUAAGUAAGACAUUUCAAUUUCCUUCACAUGCUAUGUUAGGAAAAGCAAUUGCUUACUUUGUUCAAAUAAAUGGAGAGUCAUUCAAAACAAAUUUUUGCAAUUAAAUAGGCCCAUAUUGGGGCAAAUUUUCAUGUGAGAGAUUUUGCAAAAUAGCCCACACUGGGGCAAAAUUUUUUGUAAUACAUUUGAAGAUGUCAAAACCAAUCACGUUGCUCUUUUCAAAUAAGAAAUUUGAAUGCAUGUCAUACUUUGGCAAGCCCCCUGUGCAGGUAUUCAUAGUUGAAAUCAACAAAAGAGCAUCUGGUGAUGUGAAAGGCCGAUGCCGAAAAAGAGAAGAAAGAAGAGAAAAGGGCCCUACACUUGGGGCAAAUUAUUUUUGAAAAGAUUCUCUCAAAAAAAAAUCAGAAAAUUUCAAAAAUCAAAAAUCAAGUUCAAAUCCUUGUUUCUUGGAAAAUCAAAUUCAAUUUCUUGACCAAUUGGAUGGCAGGACUGGGUCUUAAUCCCACUGACCAUUCACAAACUUUUCAAAAAUCAAGUUGGACCUGAAUUUAGUGCCGCCAACAUUCCAAAUAUCACGUUGGGCCUGGAUUUGGUGCCGCCAACAUCUCAAAAAUCUCGUUGGGCCUGGAUGUUGUGCCGCCAACAUCACAAUAUCACGUUGGGCCUGGAUUUCGUGCCGCCAACAUUCCAAAUAUCACGUUGGGCCUGGACUUCGUGCCGCCAACUUCACAAGAUCACGUUGAACUUCGUGCCGCCAACUUCCCAUUGAGCAGACUUGGGUUUAAUCCCACUGACCAAUUCAUCACACUGAAGCAAAUUAUUUCGACAAGUCGCUCUCAGUCAGGAAAAAUAAAAAAAUAAAAAAAAAAUCAAAAAAUCAAAGUCAAAAUAUAAAUCAAGUUCAUCACGGCAGGCUCGGAUUUGAUCCCACUGUCCGAUUGUCAAAGCAUUUUAUUUUCAUUGCUAUUGGAGUAGGGUUUGUCCCGCCAGUAAGCAUUUCAUUUUCUGUUCGGGUCUAUCCCAUUUAUAUUUCUGUUCGAGUCUAUCCCGUGGGUCUAUCCCAUUUAAAUUUCUGUCUGGGUCUAUCCCAUUUGAAUUUCUGUCCGGGUCUAUCCCAUUUAUAUUUCUGUCCGGGUCUAUCCCGUGGGUCUAUCCCAUUUAAAUUUCUGUCUGGGUCUAUCCCAUUUGAAUUUCUGUCCGAGUCUAUCCCGUGGGUCUAUCCCAUUUAUAUUUCUAUCCGGGUUUAUCCCGUGGGUCUAUCCCAUUUAAAUUUCUGUCUGGGUCUAUCCCAUUUGAAUUUCUGUCCGGGUCUAUCCCAUUUAAAUUUUUGUCUGGGUCUAUCCCAUUUGAAUUUCUGUCCUGGUCUAUCCCGUGGGUCUAUCCCAUUUACAUUUCUGUUUGGGUCUAACCCAUUUUCAUUUUAUUCGGGUCAGUCCCAUGAUUUUCAGUUUUAUUCGGACCAGUCCCAUGAUUUUCAUUUUGUUCGGGCCAGUCCCAUGAUUUAAAGCUUAUUCGGGCCAGUCCCAUGAUUAAAAGCUUAUUCGGGUCAGUCCCAUGAUUAAAAGGUUAUUCAGGUCAGUUCCAUGGUUAAAAGCUUAUUCGGGUCAGUCCCAUGAUUUUCGUUUUAUUCGGAUCAGUCCCAUGAUUAAAAGCUUAUUCGGGUCAGUCCCAUGAUUUCAAGUUUAUUCGGGUCAGUCCCAUUGAUUUUAAGCUUAUUCGGGUCAGUCCCAUGAUUAAAAGCUUAUUCGGGUCAGUCCCAUGAUUAAAGCUUAUUCGGGUCAGUCCCAUGAUUUUCUUUUUAUUCGGGCCAGUCCCAUGAUUAAAAGUUUGUUCGGGUCAGUCCCAUGAUUAAAAGCUUAUUCGAGCCAGUCCCAUGAUUUAAAACUUAUUCGGGUCAGUCCCAUGAUUUAAAGUUUAUUCGGGCCAGUCCCACGAUUAAAAGCUUAUUCGGGUCAGUCCCAUGAUUUUAUAUUUUAUUCGGGCCAGUCCCAUGAUUUUAAGUUUUAUUCGGGUCAGUCCCAUGAUUUUAUGUUUAUUUGGGUCAGUCCCAUGAUUUUAAAAUUUCUGUCUGGGUCUAUCCCAUUUUAAAUUCUUGUUCGGGUCAGUCCCGUUUAAUUUCUGUUCGGGUCAGUCCCGUUUUAAAUUCCUGUUCGGGUCAGUCCCGUUUUAAAUUUCCUGUUCGGGUCAGUCCCGUUUAAAUUUCUUGUUCGGGUCAGUCCCGUUUAAAUUCUUGUUCGGGUCAGUCCCGUUUUAAAUUUCCUGUUCGGGUCAGUCCCGUUUAAAUUCUAUUCGGGUCAGUCCCGUUUUAAAUUCCUGUUCGGGUCAGUCCCGUUUUUAAUUUCCUGUUCGGGUCAGUCCUGUUUAAAUUUCUUGUUCGGGUCAGUCCUGUUUAAAUUCUGUUCGGGUCAGUCCCGUUUAAAUUCUUGUUCGGGUCAGUCCCGUUUAAAUUUCUGUUCGGGUCAGUCCUGUUUAAAUUUCUGUUUCGGGUCAGUUCCGAUUUUAAAAUUUCCUGUCAGGGGUCAGUCCCCAUCGUUUGAGUAAUUCGUAGCCGAAUAACAUAGGUAAGUAUUUGGUGUCUACUUCUUUGUCUCAAGUUUUUCCAAAAUUCAGACAAAGAGGGGCAAACUGUAGACACCAAAUUUUUGGUGUAAUUUCAUUUACUGUUUAUUUUUUAGUUUUUUAUUUAUCGUGUUAGUUUUAUUCGAUUGUUAGUUUUUAGUUUCUAGUUUUAUUUUUAUUUUUAAGUUUUAGCAUAGAAUUUCUUGAAAAAAAGAAAAAUCAUAAAAAGGAAAAAAAGGAAAAUUGUUCACAAAAAUACGUUCAAAUUCAAUCUUUUGGCAUUUUGGUUUAUUUUUGUUAAUUUUGAAAAAAAGAAAAAGGAAGGGAAAAAGAAAAAUGAAUGAAAAAUUGAAAAACAAUGAAAAAAAGGAAAAAGGAAAAAAAUGAAUUUGCACUUUGUUGUUCUAGUUUAUUUUUUCAUUAAAUGUUAAUUAAAUCAUUUUUGUUAGUUAUUUUUAUUAUUUUCAAUUUUUGUUUUAAUUAAUCUUAAAAAAAAAAAAAAGAGAAACUCGGCAUGCAAGCUGCGUUUUGCCGCAGCUUGCAAACACAGGCUUGGGCAGCUCCUUAGCUGCAAAUAAAGCUGGAUUGGCUGAGGGUUUAGAGGUUGGGGGGCUCCCAUAUAAAUAGAAAAAGAAAGGAGAGCCGCAGGAGGAGAGCCGCAGGAGGAGAGCCGCAGGAGGAGAGGGGAGCAUACAGAGAGGAAAAAAGAUUGACGGUUGAAAAUCUGAAAAGGGAGAGAGUUUUGAAGAUAGAGAGAGAACAUACAGAGGGGACGGGCUGAGUGAAAAAGCUGAGAGGGAGAGAAGGAGAGAAAAGGGGCGACGAAUAAGAAGAGCAAGAAAGGAGAGGGGACGACUGCAAAAACGAAGAGAGAUUACAGAGAGUUGAAUCGGAAGAGCAGAGCACUGACUUACUGUCGCGCCCCAUUUUUUGAUAAAUAUAAAUAAAUGGUUUAAAAAAUGUAUUUUUUGUGAUUGGAAAAUGAAUUGUGAUUUAAAAGAAAAAUGGGUCUAAAUGGGGUUUUGAGAAUGCGACGAUUUGACCCAAAAUGUAGUUUAAAAAGGGUUUUUUUGAAAUCAAAAUCGGAGUCGCCACUUGGUAAUGAGUUAAGGUGUACCAAGUCACCUAAAAAUGAAUUUUUAAAGAAAAAUAGGAAAAAGUAGUAAGAAACCCCUUUUAAACGACUCCUAGUCCACGUAAACCAAAGAAAAAGGUUCGGGAGUCACAUUUGACAAAGGGGAAGGCAAGGAUAAAAUCCAAGGCACCCCUUUGACCUAGCCAAGGCUAGUUGCAUGAUUUAAUCAAAGAUUUUCUUGUUUUAACCAAAGAAUUUAUUACAUUUGGAUGCACUACAUGAAUGCAAACCCUAGACCUAGGGGUAUUGGGGGAAAUUUCCCUUCAAAGGUUGAGUGGUGCCAAUCACAUUAAUUGUGAAGCCCAAUAACGAUCUUUUGAAGAAGUCACGAAUAAUGCGAGUGGGAUGCAAAUGAAUGGAAUGCAUGUAUGCAAUGUGAGGACAUGAGUUUGAAAAAAGUAAUAAAAGACAAUAAAUGUGUAAAUGAAAAUGUGCACGUGAGUGGGCAAGGUGCGGUAUGUGAAAUGAUAAUAUGAAGUACAUGUGUGCAAGUGAUGAUAAAAGUGUUCGUGUGUAAGUGAAGGGAUAUAAAUGUGUACGUGUGCAAAAUGGGAGAAAAAUGAAAGUGUGAUGAGAGUAUAAAAUGGUAGAGUGGAUUUAAAAAUGCAUGAGCCUAGGGAAUUCAUGCAUAUUGGGUACGGGGAGACCUAAAUCGUGACUCAAUUUGCCCUUUUAUAGAGGGAAUACAAGCGUGCUAAGGCUUAGAAAAAGCCACACUCGUCUAUAUCCCAUAUUUAAGGGGACUCUCAAGCAAAUGAAACCUAUAACUAGCAUGAAAUGCAAAAAUCCUAAAAUGGAGGGAAAAGGGGUUCGAGGGGCAUGCAAAAUGAUAAAACUAAAAAGAAUGCAUGACAUGUAAUGAACAUGCAAACAUGUACUAACGAAGGGAAAUUCCUAAGGGUCUAGCGUUGGACUAGCCCAUUCUAUGAAUUCCGACUAGCGUUGGACUAGUGGAAACGUACAUUCAUCCAUCACAUUCAUUCAUGGCCAUGGAAAGCGAGUAGGCAUGCCAAAACACUCGUAAACACAUAGCACAUAACAUUUAGCAUGCUCGACUAGAUGCGAGGCCCUAAUAAAGCAAAUUAACACGUAGCACGUAAGCAUGCAAAAUAAAUAAGACAAUUAAAGUCCUAACUAUUACAUUUGCUAGCUAGGCACAUGACUUCGAUAGGUCUUCAUUGAAUGCUCCUCCAAGCCCUAUCUAUUACAAGCCAAGAGGUGUACACAUACCCCAUAAUGAAUAACUUAAAUAAAAAGCAAAAGUAAAUGACAUAAAUAAAAGAAACUAAGGAAAAACUAGUAAAACAAGUAGACAUGUAUUUCACACGUAGCACGUUGAAUCACAUAGGAGAGACAAAAAAGAUAAAAGAAAUUAUACCUCCCCCCUCGAUGGUAAUCAAAUGAAGUAAAAAUGGCUUCAAAACAAUAAAAAGGUCAAGGUACCACUUUAUUUAAGAAAAAUUAAAAGAAAUGUGCAAAACAAAACUCACUUGAUCAUAAAGUCCCUAAAGUCAUGUUUUAAGCGCAAUUGAAGCAAAACAUGGUAGUUAAUUGAAGUAAACAAGCAAUGAAGUUACAUAAAUCAAAGCUGCGAAGGACCAAAUUGAUGAAAUUAUUUAAUUGAUUGGGUCAUAGCAGCAUUAAUUAGAAACCAAGGGGUCAAAAUGCAAAUCUCUAAGAUUAUUCAUGCAUGCAACGAAAGAGAUUUCUGCAUUUGAAGUCUUCUGCACUUAUGAAUGCCGGUUGCAUUUCAAUUCAAGAGCAAAAUCCAAACAGCUUUAACUAACCAUUUCAUUUAUCCCAACUCUGUACAAUCUAAACUCCAUGUCCAACAAGCAAAAACAUAGAAGGAAAUCGUACAAAACUUUCAUACAAGACUGAAGAAGAUUGCUGCAACUGAAGCUUCAAACCAUACGAUACAUACCAAAACAUUCAGAGUUUCGGAUUAAAGCGUGCAGCUUCAGCGUUGAUCAUUUAGGCACAAAGGUUAACUAGUAAACUAGAUGACUAAAACCAAUUUCUGGUGAGCUGCUGCGGAAAUAAAAACAAGAAAAGUAACGCAGCCUCACACAAUCAUGAGACAAGCUCCUGCAACUAAAAACAAAAGAAGCUUGCUGCCUUUUGCGUCCAAGCUAGUAGUCAUUUUCCAGCCGCAAUUCUCUAUCCAUUUCAUCAUGCAAAUAAGUUCAGCAACUACCAUAUAACUCCAUUGCAGGAUCGAAACAAAAAUGGAGCCAAUCAUUCGUGGGUAAAGACUGAACAGCAAACUAAGGAAGGAGAAAAUUGCAGCAAGAAUUUCUGCAAUAUUUUCUUUGCUGCCAAAAUUGCAGCUUACCAAAUUGCUUUUGUACAUUCCGGGUAACAAACUCAACACAGCAAAACCACCCUACAGAUUCUUCUAACAUGAACAAAUCAACUAACAUCAAAAGGAUAGAAUGAACCACUUCAUACCAGCCAACAAGAUCACAGAGACAGGAAUGCGUGAGUUUAAUAUAGCAAGCAAGCAGGCAUAAUGCAGCAAGCAAUCGUGAGGACUUGCAGCAAUUUCAUCUAAUCAGGGACUUCCUAAUGGAUUUGGUAAAUCAACUCAAACAAAACGAAAACUUGGGACAAGGGAAAAGGAAGAUAAGAACACAAUGAUGUGGCAUGAAAUGCAGCAAGAAAAAAAAAAAUCAGAACUUGCUCGAUCAUAGCUGAACCAUUGCAGUCAGAUACCCAGCAAAGAUGAUUCUUUUAAGUAUGCCAAAAGCUUCAAUGCAACAAAGAAAAAGGGAACAAAACAUGGUAUUCCAAAAUGGUUGGUAAAUCAAAACUUAAAUCACAACAAUAUCAUCAAUUAAAGAGAGGACAAUCUGCCCGUAUGUUUUGUUGCAACAGAAUUCUAACAGAUUAAACUCAAUAUGUCACCAACAUCAGCCAUGACUACCAAACAAACAUCUUAAAUUUAUCUUGGAACUCUCAUCGAAGGAAAUAACUACUGUCACUUAAAUCCCAGGUCGAUGCCCAUGCAAUCCUCAACCAUCAAGCAAGACAGGAACAACAGGAAAAGGAAAAUAAACUUGGCAUGAAAUCUGGACCGAUAUACCUCGGUGAUGAGCUGCCGGCGCCGAUGGAAGGUCAAAAUGGUGGCAAACGUGACAAUCAGCAGUCCCGAUGAACCCUUUUUCCUCCUCAAAGCUGUCUCAAACUUCAACCGUCAUCAAAACUCCUCAAGACUCACUGGUUUUCAGAUCUUUCUUUCAGUCAGUCCUCUCUUGCGGCUGUUUUUUCGUCCCUUCCCUCUCCUCUAUCUCUCUCGCUGGUUUUCUUGUUUUUCCUUUACCCCCAAGCCGUCACUUGCUCCCAGAUUUUCCAGCCUUGGUUACCUUCAAACCUCCUCUCCUUUUUCUUUCUUUCUGCUCCCUCCACUCCUAGCCGACUUCCCCUCUCAGUUCUCUCUAUCUUUUUUUUUUUUUUUGCGGCUGCUGAUUCUUGUUCCUUUUAUAUGAGCUCCAAUCCGUAAACCCUCAAACAUCUUUACUAUAAUUGCAGCUAAGGGCUGCCGAGUCCUUACUUGCAAGCUGCGAGAAAAACGCAGCUUGCACGCCACGACCAUCCUUUUCUUUUCCUUUUUUUUUUUUUUUUUAAGAAGUAAUUUAAAAAAUGAUAAAGAAAAAUUAAGAAACAACAAUUUAAGCAAUAUUGGACAAAAAUAAAUAAACUAGAAAUAAAAGACACAAAAUUAUGAUUUUCAUUUUUCAUUUUUCCUUUAUUUUCAUUUUUUCUCUUUUUCUUCAAGAAAACAUUGAAUUUAAAUUACAAACGACAAAAUCAUAUUUUUUGAAUGCUUUUCCCUUUUUCUUUUUUUUUCCUUUUUUCAAGAAAUUCUAUGUUAAAACUUAAAAAUAAAAAUAAAAAUAAAAAUAAAACUAGAACCUAAAAACUAAAAAAACGACCACGACAAAUAAAAAACUAAAAGAAAUUACACCAAAAAUUUGGUGUCUACACUUACGGCUGAGGAGGAAAACAGAGACAACGGGUGAAAAAGGGGAAAAGAGGGGAGGUUUCAGGUCUGAGGGCUGAGGUGUGUGAGAACCAGAGAAAGAACCCAACUCCACCAUCAUCGUCUUCGAUUUUCAUCAAGAAACCAACGAGUACUGCGUGAGUUUUCGAGACUUUGCUCACGGAAAUCUUUUGUUUGUUGUCUACCCUUCUGCCUUUUCUGUUUCAUGUCCCCCAAGAUUCUGUUUUCUUUGUUUAUGAAUGAAAAACCAAGUCUUGUGGAUAUGCAUGAGCUGUGUUUUGACUUUGUUUUGUGGAAAGUUGGUGAAUCUAAAAAAGCCGUCAGCUUUGCAUUUUCUGCACCAAAAAUCUGAUGAAUAUGGUCCGUGGUUCUAUCUUGGAUGAUAACUGAUGGUACAAAGACUUGAUUUUUUUUUGAUGUUUCGAGAAUGGUUGAAUCUUUGAUUGCUGAUUGAAACUUGUUGUUGCUAUAUGAAGUUGCUAGCUUUCAAAGCAUCAGAAAUUGCAGACACUACCUCCCAAUUUGCAUGUCUACACGCUUGUUUUGUUUCCUUUUGUCUGCAAUUUCUCUGGGGCCAUCUGAUUCUGUUUCUUUAUGCUUUAAGGUUUGUCUUCCUAUGGUAUAAAAUCAUAAGCUCCAUCAGUCUAAAGUUUAUAGAAUCGUUGCAUAGCAACCCAGCAGUUCCACGCGCAUUUCGUUUUGUUAACUCCCAUUUGGAUAAAGAUUGCUUCAUCAUUUUGGUUGAAUCCAUUUCACGGCUUUGUAGCACGUCAUGCUUAGGAGUCUUAUUGAGUCUUCUAUCUGGAAUAUAUGAGAAUCUUAUGUUGAGCCAGUUCUAGAUUAGUAUAGCCGAGAGCUCUUCUUGAUCAUGUUUCAGCCGUGUAAGCAGAUUCUGAGUGGCUGAAGUUCUUCCUGCUUGCUUACUUUUAAGGAUUUCCUCGUUGUUCCUGGGUUGCAUUGGUCCUUUCUUUUACUUUGGGUAUCGCAUGGUGCAAUGGGCAUGUAAUGGAAGUUUUUUUUUUUUUAAGAUUAAUUAAAACAAAAAUUGAAAAUAAUAAAAAUAACUAACAAAAAUGAUUUAAUUAACAUUUAAUGAAAAAAUAAACUAGAACAACAAAGUGCAAAUUCAUUUUUUUCCUUUUUCCUUUUUUCAUUGUUUUUCAAUUUUUCAUUCAUUUUUCUUUUUCCCUUCCUUUUUCUUUUUUUCAAAAUUAACAAAAAUAAACCAAAAUGCCAAAAGAUUGAAUUUGAACGUAUUUUUGUGAACAAUUUUCCUUUUUUUUCUUUUUUAUGAUUUUUCUUUUUUUCAAGAAAUUCUAUGCUAAAACUUAAAAAUAAAAAUAAAACUAGAAACUAAAAACUAACAAUUGAAUAAAACUAACACGAUAAAUAAAAAACUAAAAAAUAAACAGUAAAUGAAAUUACACCAAAAAUUUGGUGUCUACAUCGAAAAAAGAGAAAUCAAGAGAAAAUAAAAAACUGCAAGGCAAGAUACUAGAAGGAUGUAUAGGUAGGGAAGAGGAUGAAAUUCUUCCCUACUAAGAAAGUCUAGUGAACUUCAUAGUUGAUUUUAGGCAAUGCAGUCUAAUUACCCUAUUUGAAAAGGCAUAGAUUUGAAGAUAAUCCAAAAAUUUUUACAAUUAGCAAGACAAGGCUAUGCAAGUCGAAGGUCAAAAUAGAGUGGAAGUGACAAAACAGAGUUAUAAGGCAAUGCUAAAGCUGGGAUGAAGGUCAUAACAAAGGUUAGUCGAGUAACUGUUAAGAAGAGUAAGAAUGUAAGUUCAUAGAUAUCAUUUCAGACAAUAGUAUGUCUAAUACUUUUUUCAAAAAUACACAUAUUUGUCAGUAAAUGUUUGUCAUCUCAAAGCUAUAUGUGUUUAAGAGUCAUAAUUUAGACGCUUAUGUUAUUUUUGGCAAGGCUAAGAUUGAGGAUUUGAGCUCACAAUUGCCAACUCAUGAUGCUGAACAAUUCAAGGCUCCUAAUCUCAAUAAUGUGGCAUCAAGACCUAAGCCAUCAACAAAAAGCAUGGCAUGAUGAAGAAGUACAUGAGACCGGUGUAAAGACGAAGGACAUAGGGUUGGUAAUGACUCAAGGUAAGGUGUGUAGGGCAAAAGCUGUCAAAGCUUUCAAGUCUGCAAAUGGUGACAUUGUCUUUGCCAUUAUGGAGCAAACAAACUAGCAAGUCUUUCCAUGUUGUUCUUUGUAUUUUUGAACUUUUUGUUGUUCUCAUUUUCUUGCUCUGUUUCUUUACUUUUUUUCUUUUUCUUUUUUGGUUCUUCAAACUCGAGAGCUUGUUCAAUAGAUCAAUUUUUAGCUUUGCAUGCAUUGACUACUCAUGAUCUUUGAAGUUAUAAAAAGUGAUGAAAAAAAUGAGUUAUUGGGAGAAAUGAUAUUAAUAGUCCUAAAAAAACUUCAGGCACUGUGAGGACUCGAAAGUUAUUUUUAUAUUUUUUUAUCUUUUACUUACUUGCCCUAAAUUCUUGAUUGUUUUAAUGGUUGAGUCAUGAUUUUUAUCCUUUUGCCUUAUUUAAUUUGGUGCGUGUUGAGUUUCGUAGUGCAUUAUACUAGUGUGACCAACUAGUGAGGUGUGCGCAAUAAAUUUGAUGAAUUAGAGGGAAUUCUGUGCAAAAAGGGAUUGUUGGAAAGAGGUGUUAAUAGAUAAUUAAGAGAAAGAGAGAUAUUUGGGUUAUUAGAUAGUUAUUAGCUCUUGUUUUGCCACUUGUCAAGUAUCCAAAGACUCUUGACCAAGACUAGAGGUAAUACUUAUCUAAUUUAAGCUUUUCUUGCAUCAGUAUUCCUUCAUCUUUUUCCCUUGUCUUGGCCGACUUUGGGAAAGAAAAAAAGAGAGAAAAAUAUCAAUUUCAAGUCUUGAUUUCUUGUUUAUUUGGUGAGAAAACAAGAGAGAAACCCUAAUCUAUUCCAUCAAACUUUGAAUCAAGCUUGGAAGGAAACUCUUGAAGAAGUACUUGGAGGAGGAAAGCCUUGCAACCUUCUUGAUUUGCUUGCCAUCCUAGGUUUUGGAGACAAAGAGGUAAACUUGGCUAGAAACCCUAGUUUUCUUCCCUUAUCUUUGAGUUUAGUUGAUGUAUGAUGUUAUAGACGGUAAAGGAAGGACUUUUAUGAAGGAUUUCAUGUUGUUGCAAGUUAUGUUGCAAAUUUCCAGCAUUGGUGAAUAAUAUCUUUAGCUUAGUUUAAAGCUUUAUCUAUGUGAUAUUUUGAUGGAUUUCUUUGCCUAGAAGAUAUAUUGUACACCUCAUGACAUGUUAGUUUGAUUUGUAUUUGCCAUGGAAAUAGGGGUGGUAGUUGAAGGUUUAAUUAGAGAAAACUUGGGCAAGUUGCUGGGAAAUUUUUCCUUGUAGGUCAAGUGAGAGAGGGAGUGUUUGAGUUUUAAGUUUAAGGCAAUUUUGACAUACCUUUGCUUGAGAUACUUGAGAAAACCUUGAUCUUCACAUGCAUGUUGAUUUUGGGCAAAAACAAAGAAGUUUAAGUAGAGGAAAAUGAUGUUUGCCCCAAAACGUUUGAUAGUUGGACAUUUUCAGCUUUGAACCUCAAGACUCUUACUACUUUUCUUCAAAAUUCUUGUCUAUACUUAACAUAAUUUUGCUCCAUACUAUGCUUGAAGAAUUGAGCUACCAUAUAUGUGGCUUUUCCCUUGAUUUUUACAAGUAAAAGUUAUGAUUUGUGAAUGUUAUGUUGGGAGUAUAUAUGUGUGGUGUCCAAGUGGAAGUUUGAUGGUUUCGUGCUAUACUAUAUAUGAUCGUACGAUUCGAGAGUGGCCAGGAGGCAGAUCCUGUGCUUGACGGUGAUAGAUCUUGAUCGGUUGGUGAGUGUUCUAACUGCAUGUUAGGACUUGUUGCUUGAUUGAUGUGUAAUCUUGAUGAGAUUGUAAAUACUCAAAAUGUUAUCUUGAAAUGAUUGAUUGGUUGACUGCUUUUGAUUUGCUGAGCUUGCUUGACUUGAUCUUGGCUGGGCGAGUAUGUACUGUAUCACACUUGCCCUAACUUGACACUGUUUACAAGUGAAAUGAUAUUCAUGUGCAUGAUUUGAAGGUCUUUUGGGUAUGUUGCCAUUGACUAUAUGAAGUACUUAGGAUCCCAAACCCCAUUGGCUAGUUGGUCGAAUCGAGCCAGCAAGGGUUUGGUCGAGGCGAUUAACGAACCAUGGGUCAUGUUUCUUAUUACUGGAUUUGAUAUACUCAAGUAUUAUCCCUCUUGUUCUAUUUGGCGUGCAAGCUUGAUAAAGGGGGAUGAUCAGCGGAUGGAGAUUGGGGUGAAGCGUUUCUCUACUAGAUAUUGUUAUUGUGUUUCGAAGGUUGAUGGAGUGUCAAUGGCCCCGAGACAAACUACCACUGAAUUGGUUCACGCGAGCAAACAAUUGUAUUCUUCUAUUUGAAAGUGUUACUUGUUAAUUUCUUGUCUUGACAAUUACUUGCCUUGUUGGCAUUUACUUUCUUCAUUUGAGAUGGUGAUGUAUGUGAUUAUGCUCUUGCCACUUUGCUUGCAUGUUUUCUUGGAACAGCUCACUCUAUUAGUUUGUUUUCCUUACGAGAGUGAGAGCGUGGGCAUGUGAGUUAGAGAAGGCCGGAGUUUUUGUCUAAGCCCUUUGUCAAUUGUCUUAGUGAACUUCUUAGCUUUAUCGAUUUUUUACUUGAGUUUGAAUCUUUUGUUACAUUAUGGGUCUCUAUGGACAUUUGAUGUAAAUGAAUGCGUAUAUAUUUAAGUUUAGAAAUUGCUAUUGCUUUGGUUAUUGCUUUUGGGGGUUUGUGAGUGAGGCUUGGCGAGAGCUAGAUAGGCGACCUGCCAAACCUUGGGGUACGUCGUAGGGGAAUGUGGGAUGGCAUAGGCACUCCUUUCCUUUCUUUGCAUUAGAUGAAGUUUAAGGAGUGUUUGAGAUUUUUUGAGGAGUGCUAAUAUCAUUUCCCAUUAUAGUGCAAGCUAUUAUGGAAAAUUUGACUACCAUUUCACUAAAGAGGUAAUUUUGUAACCGCACAGAAACACUUACAUAUGCAUGCCUUAGCUAGACUUGGUUACAAUCUCAAAUGUGCUAAAAAUCAGUUUCUUAAUUUAGCAGUACAUUUCAUAUCAAAAUAAAUAAAUGAUUUAAAAGAUGAAAUUUCUUAUUUAGUGUUUUUGUCUUGCCUAGUGCCAACUAACGAAAGAUGUAUUUUUUGAAAAGGAAAGUCACAUAGUCUAAAAACUUGAACCAUUAAAGCACAUAAUAUUUUGGAAGGUAUGAUCAUAAUUUUUCAUUCCUCACGAAAAUAACAUAUCCUUGAGUAAGAAAAAUAAGAGUAAAUAAAUUAAAGAAGUUUUGAAUUAAGAUAAAAGUAUGAAUCGCAAACCAAGUAUAUUCUCAAGAAAUGGCUAGACUAUACUACCAAUAAUCAUGAAAAGUUUUAUAUUUUUAAUAAAAGAAAAACUAUUUUCACAACAAUUAAAUUUGCAUUAUUAGUAAGAUUAAAAUAAAAGAAAACUAAUCCAUUUGCUUUAGAUUUUGUAAAAUUUGACUCUUAGCGGUGAUUAGAAGAAAUAGCCACAAUCAACUAAUGCUAAUAUUUGUCAGAAUAUGGAUUAUCGAGAGAGAGAGAAAUGGAAUGAGUCAUCCCAUUUAAUCUUGUCAUCCUUUUCCUUGAGUUGAAAAUGAAGCACAAGUUUUUAUUUACCUUUGAAUUAAUCUUCUAUAUGAUAACAAUAUAUACACUAUUAUCAUAGAGCGAAUGAUAACUAAUUUAAAUUUGAAUUUAAAAUAUAAAUUUUGUAUAUGUAUCAUGCAUUCAAUUGUAAUAGGGUAUACACUGUCAGUGUAUGUAAAAUUAACUCUUUAAUUUUUACUAAUUUUAUUGGAUCAAGUUUCUGAUAGUUAUCUAAUUAAGUUAGUAUUUUAUUAGGUAACUACUUGUAUAAUUGUAUUAGAUUCACCAAAUAUAAUGUGUUUAUUGGAAUGUCUUUCUAAGCUAGUUUUGAGAAAGUUUGUGAGGACUUCUUUUGGAUCUUUAAUUGCUUGUGAGAGUUUUAAUUGGUUAAAAUAUUAAUAAUAUAGCGAAUUUAUUAUUCUUUUUCUCACACAUAUUUGUGAAUAUUUAUUCCCAAAAUUAUAUUUUUUAGAAGUUAAUAUUAUCACUUCCAAAUAGAGUUCUAUCAUACACGAGACAUUUUUUCUAUUCAAUAGGGAAAAGAUGGCAACAGGAAAAGGCAUAAGACAACUUAACUAUCUAAACAUAAAUAAUUUUGUAAAAGAUUAUUCUUUCAAAUUUUUUUAGUUGAAGAGAUUAUUAUUUGUGAUUAAUGUUUAGUUUACAUUAUUUUAGUGUGUGUUCAUGAUCAUUUUAUUUUGUUUUGAAUAAUUUUAUAGCCAAUUAAUUAGGGGUUUAGUUCACUUUUACAUGGUGUAGUUAAACUAAAGAAAGUUGCAUUUCUACGGAGCUAAGUAGAGAAAACUUGAUGUCUUGUAGGUUUUAAAAGUUCAUUUAUCAAUUGGGACAAAACAAGAAUUUAUUGAUAUGGUUCUUAAUGAUUUGAAAUGCAUUCUAAGUGGACAUGAAGUGUCAGGGAUGAAAGAGUGGAGGUGCAAGAAAGAAAUGAAGAAAAAAAGCAAGUAACAAGAAGGAAAACAAAUAUUCCCACCAGCAUCAGUUAGAAUAAGUGCAUGGAAAUGGGUGUCCAAAUUGGUUAGGGAAGGUUUUGGUCAAAAAAGAAGAAAAAAGAAAUUCCAACAGGUGCCAAUUGGAAUAAGGGUAUCAAGUCGAUUAGAGGCUGCUUAUGGCAAUUUACUAAUGCGACUAAGGUUUUUUCCUUAGAUUUUUGCCCUCCUUUUGCCCUUCCUAUAAAUGUUAGUAGCAAUAUAGAAACAUGUUAGAAACAAUAUAGACAUCAACUAAAAACCUAGUAUUUUAGGUUUAGUGUUGGAUUUUUGUAGUUUUAAAACUAAAUUUCGGAAAAGGGUUGAAGAUUUAAGAAAAGGAAGAUUUUCUUUAGAGCUUUAGCUGCUUCCUUUCUCUCACUUUUUAUCUCGUCACUUUUCAAUGUUUAGUUGUAAUAUAUGUUUGUUGUUUUCUUUCUUUUUCACUAUUUUUUUCUAAGUUUCAUGCCUAGGGUUAGGUUUAAUCUCUUCUUUGUAAAUGAUAUGAACUUGAUUAUUGAUGUUAUACUUUGUGAGGAAAAGAGUCCCAAUGGCCCUCCAACACUUUUCCAGAUAAAGUUUUAGCCCUCCAAUAAUUAACAAUAAAGGUUUGGCCCUCGAUCUAAUAAAAUAGAAUAUUUGUGGCCCUUCUGUCAAAUCCAGCAGUUAAAAUUGACGGGAAGCAUCAUCUCGUGUGACGUGCAACCAAAUAUCAAGGGCAUUAUGGUCUCUUUCCCAGGAACAAGUUCAGGAUGGUUCAAAGCUGAAAACCGCACCUGUCCCAAGACAGACCAAAGGCUUCUCUGCACAGAUUUUGUGCCCAAUUCAGCUCUGAAGCAGCUUAUCAAGGGAUUUUGCUUAGAAAAAGGCAUCCACUUUGCUGAUUCAAUUGGGCGUAGCCGUGAUGUUACAAAGGCAGUUGUUACGUGUAGCAAAGUAUCUCAGCAGGCCGUGCGAUUGCUCGCUAAUUUUCUCAUUGGCAGGCUUGUGGGCUGCAAUAAUCAAGAGCAGAACAGAGCUGCUUAUGAGAUUCAUUUGCUCACCAAAACAAGCAUUUUUAAUCGGUCUUGUUUGGUUGAAGCUGGUGCAAUCCCACCUCUGUUGAAUCUUCUGUUUUCAUGCAAUCCAUCGCUGCAAGAGAAUGCCAUGGCAUCUCUGUUAAAUCUUUCAAAGUUUUCAAACGCAGGAAAAUAAUUGUUGAGAAUGUAGGUUUGAUUUUGAUACUUGAUGUUUUGAAGUGCGGACUGAAAGUGGAAGCUCGACAGCAUGCAGCUGGUGCAUUCUUUUACCUUGCUUCAAUUGAAGAAUACCAGCAACUAAUUGGGGAGAUUCCAGAUGCAAUUCCUUCUCUAGUGGAGCUCCACAGGGAUGGGACAAAUCGUGGCAGGAAGAAUGCACUUGUCACGAUAUUCGGCCUCCUCCUAUGUCUUGAGAACCACAAGAGAGUGUUUGCUGCUGGAUUAGUCCCAUUGCUGAAGCAAGAGCAACGGCAGUAGUGGCGGUGACAUAGGUGGUAGGGUGGUGGAGGGGUCGGUGGGGCAGAGGUGCUUGGUAAACCAUUCAGAGACUAUAAUACCCUUGAUAUUUGGUCACACAUCUCAUGAGAUGAUGCUUUCUAUUAAUUUUAACUGCUGGAUUUGACAGAAGGGCCAUGAAUAUGCUAUUUUAUUAGAUCGAGGGCCAAACCUUUAUUGUUAAUUAUUGGAGGGCUAAAACUUUACCUGUGAAAGAGUUGGAGGGCCAUUGGGACUCUUUUCCCUACUUUGUGCAAGCUGUUUCAUGUUUUUAUAAUUCAUGUUUGCAAUUAAUUGGCCAUAUUAUAAAUGCUAUAAGAUGUUGGAUGAACAAAUGAAAGUUAAACUCUAGUAUUUCUUAAAAAAGUAUGAAAGCAAAGUUUCACAUUGACAAAAGUAGAAAUAUACUUUUGUGGUUUUAACCAAAUAAUAUCACAAAACCUAAUGAACUUGAAAUUAGUUUUAAACCAUUAGAGUAAAUAUGGGAUAGUUAUAUGUAUGAUUGGUACACUAGUAAAAGCUGGUAUUUUAUGUACCAAUAAAAGCUGGUAUUUUAUAUAUUAUACUAAUACUUAUGCAAAGAAUUAAAACUCAAUCAAUUGAGUCAUCUCAUUAGCAAAGUUAGGGAGGAAAACUUAUUAGUUUUACCUUGUCAUUUUUAUUUCUUUUGUUAUAAGUUUGUAGUAUAGAUUUAUUUACUCAUACUUGUGAUAAUCUAAAUAAUAGAGGAGUUCAACAAAUGUUGAUAAUUGAUUAUUCUUCCCAGUGAGAUCGAACUCGAAUCUCCUAUACUUAUGUAUGACCUAUACUACACCCGAAAAAUUUGAGUAUUAAAACUUAAAUUCACACUAGUUUGUAAUUCCUUUUCUUUUGGAAUGUUAUACUUCACUAUUUAAUUUUUAGAUUUUAUAUUUGGUUUGAUAAAUCCAAAUCAUAUCGCAUUUACUUUGUAAGUGUAGUACUAUGGUUACUUGAAAGAAAAGAAACAAUAUAUUUGGAUACUUUUUUAAUUCAUGUGGUUAUCUUAUAGUAUUUUUUUUUGAAAAAAUUAAUGUUGCAAAAUUUUUGGUACAUCUUUUAAAUGUAUUUAGGACUAAAUAACAAGAAUGUACAAUAAGUAAAAUAAUAUAGUAUGUAUGUGCAAUUUUAUAAGAAACUAAAAGGUAUAUGACUAUCAUUAUCUUAGGAUAUUUGCUAAACUUUAUAGUAUGACAAGUUUUUUCUUUGAUGAAAACGUUUUUUUGUAGUGCUAUUUCCAUUAUUUUUUCCUAAAGAUAAAAUUCCACAGAUAUAGUGCAGAACUUGUUUUAUAAUUGAAUUUAGUGGUUAAGCUUGAAACCCUAGGAAUUCGCUUCUUCCUUUCUACUUCUUAAAUUCCCUCCACUAUUAAAAAAUUAAAAAAAUUUAAUUACUUCUUAAAUCUCACCAUUACCCUGAUUAAAAAAUUUUUAAUAAUUAAUGGAUGUCUUAUGAAAAAUAAGUUUUUAUCUUUUCCUAUCAUUUGUCACUAACAUUGUAUAAGAAGAUCGAAAAUUGAAAAAUCAAUAGAGUAGAUUAGUUUUGAACCUCAAAAAAAAGGGUAAUCAAUUUUGGUUUUUUAUAUGUAAGCUAAAUAUCAAUUUAGAUAGAUAAGAUUGCAGGUCACGUAUCAGUUGUAUUUUUUUAAAUUCAAUAGGAACAAAAAAAAUCAAAUAAUCAAUAGAAAAAGUUAGACAAAAAUAAUACAAUGAUACUUGAAUAUGGAGGUUGAGGCAUGGAUUCAAGCAUCUAUGGAAAAAUUAACUCCGAUGUGGCAAAUUCUCUAGUUUUUCAUCUUAGGAUACAAUAGCCCUACCAUACAAUGAUGCUUUCUUUAAGAUGGUUCAAGCUUCUAUGGAAAAAUUAACUCCGAUGCGGCAAAUUCUCUAGUUUGUCACCUCAGGAUACAAUAGCCCUACCAUACUUAUUACCACUCUCAAUAGUCUACACAACUAAGAGAGUAUAGCCCUAUAAAUACCUUCUUUUCCUUGCUUAACUGUGAGAUAGAUUGUAACUCUCAUAACAUAUGUUGUAGUAGUAAUUCUUCUAUCUAAAUUAUACAUAUUUAUAGGUGAUGAAAAGUUAGUCAAAUAUAACUUACACUACUAAUAAUACACUAAAUAAAUGCCAAAAUUGAUUGGCUGUCCAAAUCAUAUUCAUAUUAUAAUUGUAAGUUACAAAACUUAUUGGGAUUGAAAACUCUUAGUUUCAUAUAAUAAAGUUUUAGUCAAAGAAAAUCAUUCAAAGACCAAUAAAUCUCAUAACCCAUUACCAAUUUCUUCUCCUUGUAAUCUAUGUAAUUGACACAUUUAAUUGAGGAUUUGACUAUUUCAUUAAAAUACUACAAUAAUUGUUCACUUAUUUUAAUAAAAUAAGAGAGAAUAUUAUAAUAUUUUAUAUGGAACAAUAAUGUUAUAGUCAUUUCUGAUACCAGAUCUAGUAGUGAACUACAGUCUUGGACUAUAGGUGCUUUUGGAAUAUUAAAUAUUACCAUUUAUAUAUGAUAGUCAGAUGUCCUCGUAAGCUCUUGAAAUUAGCACUUUAUGCUCUUUGCUCAAUUUCAAUUCUUUUAUGAGUGUAAAAGAGAACAAGUCUCAAUUCUCUUUAGGGCAGUUCCACUCAUAACACUCAUAGUGGUAAAAUCAAUUAAGAGUGCUAUUACAACUCAGGGCCCGUUUGGGAUUGCGGUAGUUUAUUGAAAAGUAAUUCCCUAGUAGAGCUUUUAAUAAAACUACUUAUUAAUAUUUCAAGUGCUUUUAAAUAUAUUGUUUGAAAUAUAGUUCAAUAAGUACUUAUUGUAUUAGAUAAUAUGUAAUUUGAAAAUUUUUAAAAGUGUUUAUCUCUUUAUUUGGUUCAUAAUGUAGGAUAAGAUAAUUAAAUUUGAUGUUUUUAUUUUUUAAAUCACAAAAGCUUCUCUAAAAGCACCAAAUUUGAGCUUUUGCUAAAAAUGUUUUUAACACCAAAAACUCUACUUCUAAUUUUAUAGGACGAUACUCACCAAAUAUUUUAAAAGUACUUUUAGCAUCUAAAAGUGUUUUUUUUAGGAUCAUAAGUAGAAAAUCCUGAAUUGGGUGAUAAGGGGAGGAGGGAUUGUAAGUAGGAGGUCUUGGGUUCAAGACCUCCUACUUACAAGAAAGAAAAAUCAUAAGAGUUUUAAAUUUCAUUAAGAGCAAUAAAGCUCAAUUGUAGUUACAUUACAAGAUGUAUGCACAUAUACUAUAAGGAUAGACUAUAAAAAUAAAAAGUUGUGCAUACCUUUAUUUUUCAAAUCUCCAUGUCAUUUUUUUUCCUUUUGAACCUAACUCAUGGAUUUCUAAUCAUUGAAUUGUGUAUCCUUACAUGUGAUUUAUGUAAUUAAAAACUUUAGUUCCAUCCCUCUGAAGGUAUUCCAAACUCUUUCUCUGACUAGAGGCCUUGUCAAGGGAUUAGGAAUAUUAUCCAUUGACUUUAUAUAAUUCACAUUGAUGGUAUGAUUUCCAUCCUAUGCUUCAACAAUAUUAUACUUUCUCCUUAAUGCUCUUGAUUUCUCAUUGUAGUAUUGAUUGUUUGCUGUGACAAUAGCUACAAUGCUGUCACAAUGUAUCAGCAUUGGUGGCACUAGUUUUUUUCGUAAUGGAAUCUCAUGUGUAAGAUCCCCUAGCCAUCUUGCUUCUUCAUUAGCAAAAGUCAAAAUAAUUGACUCAACUUCUAUGUGAAUUUUGAUAAUUUAUUGCUUCUUUCAUUUCCAACAUAUAGCACCACUAGCUAACAUACAAAUAUAUAGAGUAGUUAAUAAAGAAUCUCUAAACAAUAUGUUCCAAUUUGCAUCACAAAUUUCUUCAUUAACAGUAGGGGUAAUUUGCAUAGAAUAAAUUAUAUGAUUAUUUUAGCUAAAUAUUUUAUAUGAUGGUCAAUUGCAUGCGAAUGAAUAAUAUUUGGUCUACUAGUAAAUCUUUUAGUACUCCUAUAGCAUGUGUUAUAUCAAAUCGUGUGCAAUUAGUUGCAUAACGUAAACUUCCAAUUAUAUUAGCAUAAUCAUUUGGUUACACACAUCAUUUUCAUUUUUAGUAGAAAAUAAAUGAGCAUUAAGAGAAAAGGGCGCAUUUACAAAUUUAAUAUCACCAUAAUUAUAUUUCUUUAACAAUUUUUCAACAUAAUGUGUUUGAUCCAAAAGAAUACCAUUAUUCAAUUUAAAAAUUUUUAUUCCAAGCAUAAUAUUAGCUUUACGCAAGUCCUUCAUGAUAAAAUAGCUUUUUUGAUAUAUUUUUAUUUUCUCAACAACACUUACAUUGGAGCCAAAUAUUAACAAAUCAUCUAAGCAAAUAAUCACAUGUAGAUCAUCCAUGUUUUUAGCAUAUAAACAUCUAUCACAUUCACCACAUUUAAAACCAUUUAAUUACACUUAGAUCAUACCGCUACUUCUGAGUUUGUCUUAGGUUAUAUGAGAAUUUAUUAAAUUUACACACUUUAUUUUCUUAAUCACAAAUAACAAAUCCGUCUAGUUGGCUAAUAAAUACAUAUAUAAAUAUGCACACACACACACAUACACAUAUCUUCAUCUAAAUCACUAUUCAAAAAAGCUAUUUUUAAAUCCAUUUGGUGAAUAAAUUAAUUAUAUAGCAAUUAAAAAUCAUAUUGAUACUACUCUUGAAACAGGAGAAAAAGUACCCAAGAAAUCAUUAUCCUCUUUUUGCUUGAAAUUUUGAGCAACUAAUCUUACUUAGUAUUUUUUUAUGAUGCAUUUUUUUAAGGACCCAUUUAUGGCGAAUAAUUUUACAACUAGAUGGUGAUUCUACUAAUUUGUAAGUCUUAUUAAAAAAUCAAUCUCAUCAUUAAUAGCUUCUCACCAAAAAUUUGAGUCAAGAGAUGAUAAAACCUCUUCAAUGGAAUUAUAAAUUUAUUCCAAAUUUUAAACAUAAUAAUCUUGACUAUAAUGAUUUUCUAUUUUAAUUCUUUUACUUCUUUUAGGCUCAAUAUUAUCCAUCUUUUGGUUUUCCAUAGAAGAUAUUGACACAUGUAUUAUCGUUCUUGAUUUCUUGACCCUUACUAUUUCUAGACAUGUAAAGGAAUUUAUCUUCAUGAAAAAUAGCAUUUCAAGAUUCAAUCACCAUAUUAUUUUCUAAAUCUAAGCAUCUAUAGGCGUUACUUGAUAAAGAAUAGCCAACAAAAACGUAUGUAGAAGCUCUGGCACCUAAAUUUAGUCUUUUAGGAUCAUUUAAUCAUACAUAAACUAAGCAAUCCCAAACUUUUAAAUAAUUUAAAUUAGGCUUAUAAUGUUUCCACAACUCAAAAGAAGUUACUUUAGUAUGUUUAUAAGAUAAUCCAUUUAAAAUAUAACAAGUGGUCAGAAUUGCUUCACCAAGGAUUAGAUUGUGUAUUAGAACUAACAACCAUAGUAUUAGUCAAAUCAAUUAAAAUUAUAUUUUUUCGUUCUGCUACCCCAUUAGAAGAUAGUAAGUAGGGAGAUGUAGUUUCAUGAAUUAUUCCUAAUGAUUUAAUAUAUGAAUUAAAGUCAAAGUGAUUGGUUUUCUUUACCUCUAUCACUUCUAAAUCUCUUGAUUUUUUAUCAAAUUGAUUUUCUACUUCUUUUAUAUAGAUUUCAAAAAUAUAACUCUUGUUUUUUAAUAAGUAAAUACAAGUAUACUUUAAAAAAAAUCAAUAAAAGUUACAAAGUACCUUUUACCACCACGGUUUAAAAUUCUUUCAAAUUCACACAAGUCUUAUGAAUUAAAUAUAGAAGUUGAGAGUUUCUUUUAACACUUUUAGGAUAUUUCUUUUGAUUUGUCUUAUUGCAAGACUCACAUUUUUCAAAUUCAUGGUAUCAAACCAAGAUUAUUUAGACUCUUCACAUGCGCUAAAAGUCCUUGAGCCUGAUACUAACAAAAUAUGAAAACUCUCUCUUCCUAUAGGGUUUCAGGCGCUGGCUAGGGUCCAAGUGACGGCUAGCUGCUGCCGUUGAGCCAUGGUGGCAUCUCUGCUGCCAAAACCUUCUUCUGAAAGCCUUCCCCACCUUUCGGGCAAGUCCUUUGCAGAUGUAGUGUUUGGAGUGGGCUCUUCGGCACUAGUCCUGGGAUUGCUGGGCAAACAUCGAGGCGAACCGGCUCUUGUGCUUUCAAAACAAGACUUAGCGUCCCUAGCCGCACCCUAUAGCAAUGUGUUGAUUGGGAGGUUUGCUUACUCUAAGCCACCAAUGGAGAACAUCAGGAGAUUUUUCACGUCUGUUGGAUUGAAAGGCUCUUGCGAGGUGGGUUUGCUUGACUUAAAACAUGUCCUCAUUCGGCCUUCCAAGGAAGAGGACUACGCUAGGAUCUUCUUUAGGAGAACAUGGUUUGUCUAAAACUCGCCCAUGACAAUCUCCAAGUGGACAAUGGAUUUCAUGAUUAAUCAGGAAUCCUUGAUUGCACCAGUGUGGGUUUCCUUGUCAGGGUUACCAUUACCAUUGUUUGAGAAGAAAUACCUACUCAAGAUUGGGUCAUUGAUUGGAAGACCGCUACAGGUGGACUCUGCGACCCUUACUCUUAAACGACCGUCAGUUGCAAGUCUACUGAUCGACGUGGAUGCGGCAAAUCCUCCUGUUAGGAGAAUUUGGAUAGGGGACGAUGAGGUGGGACAAUGGCAGAAACUUGAGUAUGAAGAUUGGCCAGAUUUCUGUGGGUUUUGUGAAAGGAUUAGGCAUCGUGAGGCAAACUGCUACAUGAAGAAACCAUCACUCAAGCAAGGUCAUCCGAAGGAGAUGCUUGAUAGACUUGUCCAGGCAUACCACCCCAAGUCUCAGCACAAUAAGGGUAAGGAAAUUGUGGAUGAUGGACAACAUAGCAAUUUGGAGGCAUCUGCUCAGCUUCUGCAGGUCGGCACAGGAGGUAUUCAUCCGAGAGAGACCCAGCGAAUUGUGCCAGUACCAGUUUCAGAUUCGAUGUCGUGUCCAAUUCUUUCUCUAGGGGAACAGCACGCGGCACCAGCUAGCAGAAAGGGGAGUAGUGAUGAUGACAAGCCGCACUCUGGGUCGCAGAAGCUACACUGCCCUACAGAACGGCAUGCGUCAUUGCUGGAGUUGGAGGAGAUGAUUCUCACUGCGGAAGCUUCCCGUCAACUGGAUAACACUGAUAACGAACCAGUGGUGAUGUCAGGAGAGGAGUCCCAGGCCGGUGUAGAACAUCCCGGUUUGCUGGUGCAGCAUGAUCUCGUCAAGCAAGUUCAUGUUCGGGUCUCGGAACCAGUUCCUAUUUUCAACUCCUUCGAAGCACUGGGUGCUGUGGAUAAUGCUGAUCAUUCAAGGUUGACUGGAGGUUGUUGUUUGUCUUGCGUUUCGACCCGCUCAACUCCUACAAGCACCAAGCCAUUACGUCGGAGCAAGUCAUUGGAUCGUGAGUCGAGGGAGACCAUUCUCGCUACUGGGUUACAGCAACUUCAGACAGGUUUCGAAUGUCACCUGUGCAAGGCUGCACUGCUGGAUCCUAUGUUAUCACGAGGCGCGGUGAUUGACACGAAGGACAUUGAGUUUCUCAACAAUCUCUCCAAAAAAUCUGGAUGGCCGAUUAACUAUAAUAAAAAGUUAUAGCAAUAAUUAUCUCAAGCUAAAUUAUCUCUAGUCUCUUAUGAUUAGUCCCAUUAAUUUUCUUGUUUGGAACAUAAGGGGCGCUGCCCGGGCAUAUUCUCAACAUUAUCUUCAUAAACUGUGUUACCAAAGUCGUAUUUGUCUAUUGGUAUUGUUGGAGCCUAUGGCGAAUAUUGAUACAUUGCCUUUACUUGGAAGAAAGUUGAAUUACUCUAAUGCUCAGUCAUUCCUAGAAGGCAAAAUCUGGGUCUUCUGGAAUGAUGAUUUAUCAUUGGUAUUUCGCGAGCUUGGCGACCAGCUGGUUCAUAUGGUGAUAUCAUGGGUGGGUUUCUCUUUACAAGUGUCGAUAGUUAAUGCCAAAUGUACAAGAGUGGGUUGACGGGGUUUAUGGCAAGCAAUGGAGGAAGUCCAAGAGAGGUUUUCAGGUCCAUGGCUGGUGGCGGGAGACUUUAAUGUGGUUUCCAAUACUAGUGAACAAUCUGGUGGGCCCCGCCAAACGGGCGCAAUAUGGAAGAAUUUAAUGAGGCCAUUUUUGCUUGUGAGCUUUCGGAUGUUGGCUUUGAUGGCCGCUUUUCACCUGGACUAACGGAGCAGUUUGGCAACGUUUGGAUAGGACUUUAGCAAAUAAGGCUUGGACGGACACGUUUGAGGUAACAAAAGUGUCCCAUCUAUUGCGGGGUAGAUCUGAUAAUGCUCUGUUGUUGAUCAAAUGCAGAUUGAAUACGAUGCAAAGUUCAUCGUUCUGCUUCCUCAAUGUCUGGACUAAACACUUGAAUUUCAUGGGAGUGGUGCAAGACGCUUGGCUCUUGCCUGUCCACGCAGGGGGCAUGCUCAGUUUCUUUCAAUGACUAAUGCAUGUUAAAAGUAAAUUUCGGGACUAGUGCAGGCAGUCGUUUGGAGAUAUCUUCCAGGCAGUGAAAGAUACUUAAGAGAAUUUACGGCAACGACAGGAAGAGUUUGAUGUGGCCCGUGAUAACUUAUCCAGGAUGAAGCUCGGGGAGGCUCGGGCAAAAUAUGCCUAUGCACUAGGCGUCGAAUGUGACUAUUGUAAGCGAAAAUCGGCAAUUAAAUGGAUUCAACAAGGAGAUGCCAAUACCAAAUUCUUCCACUCGUUCGUUAAGCAGCGGCGGAGUGUCAAUUUUAUAUCGAGGAUUAAGGAUGAUGCGGGUCAUUGGCUUGAAGAUGAGGAGGAGAUCAAAGCGUUAGCAGAGUAGUUCUUUGCAAAGUUGUUUAUGGCGGAACGGGAGGGCCGGGCUGCUCCAUGCUUAGACUUCUCGCUCCCCUCAUUGACUAAUGAGGACAAUAUAAAGCUCUAAUAGCUGCCAUCCCUAUAGGAAUUGAAAGAGGUGGUUUUCUCGAUGUCUAAAGAUAGUUCUCCAGGACCAGAUGCUUUGGGGUGGGUUUCUACCAAGCUUAUUGGCCAAUAAUUCAAAAUGAGUUAUUAUAAACGGUUCAAGAAUUCUUCAAGGGGGCUCCUCAACCCAGGGGCUUUUCCAGUGCACUGCUAGUGUUAAUCCCAAAGGUGCCAGGAGCGACCAAAUGGCAAGAGUUUAGACCUAUCAACUUGUGUAACCAAAGCUCCAAAUUUAUUUCUAAAAUUUUGACGAAUUGACUCGAUCACCUGCUCCCCAAACUGAUCUCACCUUGGCAAUCAGGCCUUGUCCCGAGCAGGAGUAUUGCUGACAACAUUCUCGUAGUAUAGGAACUGGCAAUGGAUAUUGAUAGGAAGUUGCGAUGCCCGAACUUGAUGUUGAAGUUGGACAUGGAGAAGGUGUAUGAUAGGGUAGAAUGAAAUUUUCUUAUUUUUAUGCUCCGGCAAUUUGGAUUUCAGAAGUGGGUGGUGGAUCCAAUCUUCCAAACUUUGUCAAACAAUUAGUUCUCGGUGCUAAUCAAUGGUUCUCCAACGGGAUUCUUCCAAUCUUCAAGGAAGGUUCGCCAAGGCGACCGUUUUCUCCAGCUUUGUUUCUACUGGUGGUAGAAUUCUUGGGUCGGGGACUGCAUCAUUUGUUUUGUCAAAAUGAGAGUUGGUUCUUUGUUUCCUUUGGUCUGCGUAUUCCUUAUUUGGCAUUUGCAGAUAAUACCUUAAUCUUCACUCGCUACUCCGAGGAUGGGUUGGCCUCUUUGAAGUUGUUCCUCAACUCCUAUCAGGCUUUUUAGGGCCAGAAAAUUAAUACUAACAAAAUCUCCUUCAUUCUGUCUGCUCGAGCUUCCGCUGAACAUGGGCCAGUGGUGGUCUCGAAGUUACACUUCCAACAGCAGUACCUCCUGUUCACGUAUUUGGGGGCCCCUAUAUUCAAGGAAAGAACUACGUGUAUUCUGUUCAAUUCCCUCAUGGCUAGAAUGCGAGGCUGGCUCUUCCAUUGUAGCUCGCGGCUCCUUUCGUCAGGAGGUAAAUUACUGUUACUGUGGCAUGUCCUUACCUCAAUGCCUUCGUACUUGUUGCAAGUGUUGGAUCCUUCCCGGGCAGUUUUGCUCAAGUUGGGAAAGAUAUGUAAUGAUUUUUGUGGGAUAAAAAUGCUGGAUCGAAUGGCAUUCACUGGAUGUCUUGGGAAAAAUCUGUUACCCAGUAGAUGAAGGUGGACUGGGUUUUCGCUCCUUUGAAAACAUGUGCUCAGCCUUUGCUUGCAAGCUUUAGUGGCGGUUGCGGAAAAAUGAAUCGUUAUGGGCAGAUUUUAUGCACGCCAAAUAUGUUGGGGGCAAACAUCGGCUUCAAGUUCGGGUAACCAGACCCUCCCUUGUAUGGAGGUGGUUGAAGAGAAUUAGAAGGGUAGCGAAGAGCAACAUUAGAUGGUGGGUGGGCAAAGGUUUUGUAGAUUUAUAGUAUGAUCAUUGGCUUUUCGAGAUUCCUCUGGUUGACUUGCUCUCUAUUAAUGACCCGCCACACAUGCUGCUCGCCGAGUUCUUUGAUGACAAGGGUUGUAAUGUCGAGAAGCUGAGACACUGGGUGCCUGCUCACCUGCUUAACCAAAUCCAGGAAAUCCAUCUAUUCCAGGAUCAGUACAACUAUAUGGUUUGGGUGGGCUCGGCCUCUAGAGAUUUCUCAAUCAAAUCUGCUUGGGAGAUUAUCCGACAAAAACGCAACACCUCAUUGAUAGACGGUUUCCUUUGGAACAACUUAUUGCCGCUGAAGCUGUCUUUCUUCGCAUGGAAGGUGUUGCGAAAUCUGGUUCCCUUGGAUGUGACCUUGAAACGACGUGAAGUCUCCAUGGCAUCACGAUGCUCAUGUUGUCUUUCGCAGGAAGAAUCACUUGCUCACCUCUUCAUGACAGGCCCAAUAGCAAUGGAAGUAUGGAGCUCUUUUUGACAGAGGUUUGGAAUUCUUGAUUCUCACUCCUCUUCAAUGUCUGCGGUGGUCUUGUCAUGGUUUAGCUCGACCUCACUAGUAACACGGGACCACAUAAGGACUGUUGUCCCGAUAGUAAUACUGUGGUUCCUUUAGAAGUCUAGGAACAAGGCGCACUUUGAUGGUUUUGUGCAACAGCUGGGGAUGGCAAGAAAAUUCUCUACGUGCCACUUUAGGGGUGACGCGGCAGACCCUUGGGCGCAGCUGUGCAUCCGAGUGGUGAGGAGGAAAAGCGUGCAUGCAGUGUCCUGGAAGCGUCCUCCGGCGCACUAUGUCAAGUUGAAUACGGAUGCUAGUGUCUAGCACAAUCGAGCUCACGGGGGUGGCUUACUCCGGGACUCCGAGGGCUGCCUAAUUUUUGCUUAUUACAAGAAAUUUGGGGAGAUGGAUGUCUCGAGGGCAGAAAGCUCAUCAUUGCUGUAUGGUCUUCACCUGUGUAAGGAUCUAGUCAGGGGUCCCCUACUGGUGGAGGUAGAUUCUAAGAGUCUGGUUCAUUUACUUAAUGUGGGAGAGACGUCCCAGUGGCCUCUAUGCAAUACGUUGAGAUGCAUAAGGGCGCUGCUUUCCUCUUUGUCGAAGCCCGUGUCACACGUUUUUAGAGAAGCAAACUCUUCAGCAGAUAAACUAGCGGGGUUGCGUCUGGCAUCCGAGUUGUUUUGCUCUUCACUUUAACAACUUCCGCCUGUAAUGCAAGCCUCAGUAUACUUGGACAGCCAAGAAUUCACUUCCCUACGGUGGCAAUCUGCGAGAGAGUAGCUCUCUUUUUGCUGCUUCUACACACAGAUGAUAACUGUAGCUCUAUGUACUCUGCCGUUUUAUCAAUAAAAUCUUAGUGUUCUUCUUAAAAAAAAAAAAAGACUUUUUACAUGCUGUUUAUAUGCCAAAAAUUCACAGAGAAAAAGCAUGUAAACAAAACAGGAAUCUUUGUUGAUGUUCACAACAUUUAACUUAUCAUGUUAUCACAUGCAUAUCCUUUACAAAUAAAAGCACCAUUUUAUAAUCACAUAACUAUCAGACUCAAUAAUUUAAUUGAGCCAACCUCAUAUAGAAGAAAUACAAAUUUUUUCUCAUUUCAUAUGUGUGAAGCACAUCCUUAAGAAGGUCAAAAAUAAAAUUUAGUUUAACUACACUAACACCUAAAACUUUAAUAGUAUGCGAGCCACUAAGCAUAACUUGCUUUUCUUUUCAAUCGGUGUGUAACUCUUAAAACAAUCGUGAUCAAAGCACACAUGUUUAAAAGCAUUUGUGUCUACCUACCAACCAUCGGAAUCUCCAAAUAUGUUGACUUCUACAAUCAUAGGCACAAAUGAUUUUUCCAUAACGUUAAUGUGCAGUAUAGUCCCACAUUUUCAGUAUCCGUAUGCUUUAACAAAAUCUCUUUGCUUUCCACACACAAAAUACCUAUAAAUUGGAAAAGGAGCAAAUUUGGAAGGGGUUCCUUGGUUUUAGUUUUUGUGGUAGAAAUAUUUCUAUGCUGGUUUGAAUAAUGGUUCUUAUGCCUGCAUUUCAUAUUCUUUUUCUUUGGUUUUAGUUGGGUAUUAUUUUUGGCAUUCUUCUUGUUGGAUAUAUUGUUGGAAGCAAUGGAUUCACUUUGGCAGUACUAUUUUCAUUACCAUUUUGCCUACCUUUGGCAUUUUGGUUUAUAAUUUUUUCUACAAUCCUUAGGCAGGUAUUAAGACUCUCCAAAAGAAAUUCCUUUUGCUUGUGGCACAAGCUCCUUCAGAAUUCCUUCUAAAAUGGUGGAAGCUUGUCCACUAUUGCAGCAACUUGAAGUUGUUUAUCAAUUUGAAUUCCUUCAAACCUUAACUUAUGUAAGAUCAUUUGGAGUUCAAGAGUUUGAACUACCACUGAUUUGUCAUUCAACAUUUGAAAUUUGAAAUAGGUGCUUGCAACAUAUUUCUUUGCACUUGCUUUUUUAAUAUCAUAUAUUUUAUGCACAACUCUCCAAAUUUUUUUAGUUGAAGGAUAGGAGUUCUGAUAAAAAUCACAAAACUCAUAAAAAAGACAAUUUGAUAAAUAGUCUUGUAAUGGAAUUCAUCGUUUUCCUAUUUUUUGAUUUUUUUUUCAUGAGUUUUUUCUUUUCUCAUCAUUCUUCUUAUUGGUUGAGACUUUCUUGGGAUUUUCUCCAUUACAAUGUACAUCAUCUUCAUCAAAUUAAGAUAGAAGAGAACUUUUCUCCUCCACCAUUUUGAUGUAAAUCACCUUAAAAUUAUUGUUCAGCUAGACAAGAGGUUAAAUAUUAAAUAGAAAAAGUUAGACAAUGACAAUAUAAUAUUACACGAGUGUGAAGGAUUGAGGCAUAGAUAUCUUGCUCUUUUGAGGUGAUUCAAACCUCUAUGGAAGAAUUUACUCUAAUGUUGAAGGUUCUCUAGUUUUCACCUCAAGAAUAUAACAAUCCAACCACACUUGUCGUCACUCUCUUUAAUCUGCAUAACUAAGAAAGUAUAUCCAUACAAGUACCUACUUUUUCUUGCCUAACUAUGAAAUAGAAAAUAAUAGAAUAGUUUUUCUUAUGAAUUGUACCUAUCAUAACAUAUUUGUAGUAAUAGUUUUUCUAUUUCAGCUAUACAUAUUCAUUGGCAAUGAAAAGUUAGCUAAACAUAACUUACACUACUAAUACACUAAAUAAAUGCUAAAAAUUAUUAACUAUUCUAAUUGUAUUCCAAUUAGAAUUUUAGGUUACAAAACUUAUUGAAAUUUAAAACUCAUAAUCUUAUCUAAUAAAACCUCAAAGAAAGAAAAUCAUUUAAACACCAAUAAAACUAAAAAAAUCAUUACCAAUUUGUUCUAUGUAACGUAUAUAACUUAUACAUUUAAUUGAAAAUUUAACUAUUUUAUUAAAAUACUAUAUGUGAAUGCUAACCCAAUCCAUAUGGUAAGGAUAGAUUAGCAAUUUUGACUAUUAUAGAUAAAAACUAAUAUUGUAGGGCCUGAGUUUCUUUCUUUGAAUUCCCAUACUUGAAAUAAUGAUAAUCUAAUAUCAUGUUUAUGAUAUUAGGUUAUUAGCUUUACAAUUUUCUCUUUUUUUGUGAAGGAGUUGGUAGCUUUAUUAAACUUGUAAUUUUUUUAGGGUGAAGGGAUGCUAUUUUGAACAUUUGUUUAUUCUGGAUCUGUAAGAAAUUGUGGUUUGCUGAUGAUUUAGUCCUAUUAAUAUGAAGUUACGAUGAGAUAGUGAGACUUAUAAUCGAUUCCCAACCGUCAAUUAUCAAAAUAUGAUAUUUUUUCUUUCUUGAGUGAGAUAUGUAAAGAUUCCAAAUCAACAUGACUAGGUAUUGUAUAACCAUGGAUCAAUUAUGGUUUAAAGUACACUAGUAAGACUGGUUUAGAUAAUAGAAUUCUUCCAAGAACCAAUUACUAUAUUCACGAUAUGUUGUUAAUUCUCCCUCCGUCUCAAAUUUGAUAUGUGGUAAAAGGUUCAAAAUGGAAAUGUCUUUCUAACUAGAAUUUUUUUCCUAUCAGAAUGGAUAAGAAACUAUCUAUCAUUCUAGUGUUAGAUACUUGAAGUUAGAAUGAAAUGUGUUAUUGUGACAGCCCUACCGCCCCCUAAGGCGUACCAAAAGGGUUAACGGACUGCCUGCCCAACUCUCGCCAGGACUAAUGAGGCAGUUAAAUACAAUCUAAAACAUUCCGGAAAGUAAUAGUGCGCUCAAACAAUUCAAAAUUCGCGAAACAAAAAAAAAUGAAAAUCGGAGCCGCACAUGAACAGUGCCGGCCACGUCACAAUUCGACUGAAAUCUGGCAGGAUUUCCGGCCGGAUUCUUGGCCGAAUUGGAGGCAGAGAGCAACUGCCCGGAUUCCAAAAUUUCCAAGACAAUCCGGCCAACAAUCCGGCCAAGAUCUGGCCGGAUUUGUGGCCGGAUUCGUCUCUGUCCAUUCCCGCCAAAUUUUUUUCUUUUGCCGUUUGAAAUCCGAACCUGUCCGAAACCCAACCAAUCAUCAACAAAUCAUAUAAACCUUGGAAUUUGACAUUUAUAAACCAAAAUAACACAUGAACAUUACCAAACACGUUUUACACGUAUGGUUUUAAAUUUACAACUCAAAGGAAAGGUUGAGUCAAAAUACAUUUAAGGUUUUCCCACCAUCGAGGAGCUGUACAAAAGAAUUUUAACUAGCUCAACUCGGCUUCCAAAUCACAAUUCCCAAAAGGUAUUCAUAUCCCUGUAAGGAAAACAAAGGCAAUAGAGUGAGUUUUCGCCCAAUGAGGUACCAUCACCCAAGUAAUGAAGUUCACAUAAGCACAAAACUAUUCUAUUCAAACACAUCCAAUAAGUGAGUCAACUAGCACCACAUUUCAAUAAAGAUAUUUAAAAGGAUAUGGUCGGCUCUCAAGAGCCCUUUUCCUCGCUUGCUGUACUUGAUCUCGCCCCGUUGACCCUACGUUAACGCUUAAGGAGUAACCAAUACCGUAGACUCCACUUUCUCCAAUUCCUUCCACCUCACAUACCCCUAUCGGGCCCGAACUCCAAUCAGUUCACAAUGGUAAUACUCGAGUAUAUUGGAAUCAAGAGUCUCUUACCCAAUGAUUCCAUAGAAACAGUCCCCAUGGCUUAUCAAUCUCCUCGACUAAGCCCUUGCUGACUCGAGUCAAUCGACCGCCGAUGGGGUUGAGCUCAGAGUCAACAGUAAGAGUCGUUGGAUACACAUCCAAACGACACCAGUUCAAGUAUAUUCAAGAGACAUUCAAUUGGUAUAUUAAAUAGUCAUAUAAGCCAUAGAGUGCGAGAGUGAUCAAGUACACCCUCGACUCAAUCAAUUUCAACAGUAUACACAAGCAUUCAAAUCAUAGAUUUCAAGUAUAACAAAGCCAUGAAGUAACAAUCAUGUCAGUAGUACACUCACCACUCAAACACAGAGAGUUUCACAGAUUUCUACCCAACGAGCCUCUUGAGUCACCGUCACGCCCUAAAACAUUCAAGAAAACACAAUGAGACUCGAAUACGAGUCGUAAACCCAAACCACAUAUUACUAAUGUACGGCCAAUAGAACUUGAAAGUAAUAUAAGGAACACUUGGGGCUAAGGGUUUAGACAACCCCAAAAUCACUAAUUAACACUCUAACCAACUCAAUUCCAAGAAAGCAUAUGAACCUACAAUUUGGACAGCAUUUCCCCUUAAAAUUUCAGAUUUCCGUUCUACAAUCAAUCACUUAUAUUUCCCAAACACAACCUCAAUCACAAUUGGAAGUCCUAGGCCAUUCCAUACACCUUAUUAGGGUUACAAUACCCUUUAAACCAAAUCAAUUCAAGAGUUCUAUAGCAACCCUAGAAAAGUCCCAAUUCAAAACCCUAAAUCUGAAAUUUUCUGUACAAAGUGAAAAUUUUCCGCAAAUACCUACUAUUAACACACCAAAGUUUCAUUUGAGAACAUACCAAGCCAUCAUCUAUGGCCAACCAAAACUAAACAUAUAAAAUCAGAAAAAUCAUGCGUAAAAAUAAAAAUUCAUCAAUCUCUACUAAAAGUCAUGAAAUCUUCCACAAAAAUCACUUCUUUAACUAUCACAAGUCCCAAAUUUAACACUAUCAAGAACAAAGAGAGAAUUUCUUGGCUACUUGCCUUGCAACCUCAAGAAAAGAAACAACUUAGCGCCACUUCCUUCCAAACCACUCCACCAACUACUUCAAUAUCACCUAGCUAAGGGUUUUUAUGGAGAGAUUUGAAGUUUUAUCGGUUAGAUUAUGAGAUUGAGCAAGAUUGGAUGAAGAAAGUUGGAGGUUUUUCUUUUCUUUUCUCCUUGAAGAGUCGGCCAAGAGAGAGAUGUAUGAAGGUGAUUUUUGGGUCAAUUUUUUAUUAAUUAGUAAAGUUGGUAAAAUGGUCAAAGUCCUACCUUUAAUCCCAAGGUGACACUUGUUACCUUUUUGGUUCAAAACUAUCCUUUUGUCUCUCCAACACCAAUCCAUUUGGGUAACCUCUAAUUAUCUCUUAACACCUAGUAAAUUAAUCCCUGUAUACAAAACUUAACUUAAUUGGCCGAAUUUUUUCAAACUUACCGCACUAGCGGGUCCCACGCCCGGUAUACACUCCUAAUUUCUCAUGAACUAACUUAUACUAGAAAAAUGAUUUAAAAACCAUAUUUACUCAUAAAAAUUAUCUAGAAAAUUUUUCUAAUAAAAAAAUAUAUAAAAGGCGUGCAAUUAAAUAAAAUAAAACCUAGAAAAUAGAAAAAUUUUCGAGUUCUCACAGUUUUUCAUUUCUAACGUUUGAUAUAAUCAUAUUGAGAAAGUCAAAUAGAAUGAAAAUUUAUUAUGUUAACUUAGCUACUCUAAAUAUGACAUAAAACAUUUCUUCUUUCAUUUUGUUUGGCACUAGCAUCCUAGGCUAAAUUGGUAGUUUUUUUGUGAGUUUGAUUUGCAACUACACAACCAAACAAGAGUUGAUUUAGAGAUAUAUGACUUAAUAAUAAAAAAAUAACUUUUUAAUAACAUAAGAUUAUAAUAGUUUAUUACUAAUUUAGCCAAACUGAAUGCUCAAAUUGUGUACGUGUCAAUUAUUAUCUUCUCGUGAUUCAUUUCUAUUUAUCAAUAAAAAAGUAUUCUUGUGACUUAGCAGAUGACCUAGUAGUGUUUUUCUUCUUCUUUUUUGAGUACAUAUUGACAAAUUUCAUCACAUAAUCUAAUUUUGUAAACUUAAAGAUGUUAACAAAGAGAAAAGAUGUCAAUAUUUAAUAGAAUUAAAAUUAUUUAUGACUAAAAAAUGAGAAACAUUAUUAACUUACAAAAUAACGUAACUUGACACGUAUAUAAAAGGUAGAGAUGUAUGGAAGAGAAAAUUUGACCCCUAUAGUUUAGGCAUAUCUUACUAUAAUUUAGGUGUUUCUUGGACAGAGUAGGAUUGAGUUCUCCCUAUAUUUGGGUAGGGGAUGGGAUUCCUGAAAAAUGUUAGAAUAGGUUUUUAAGGAAAAAAAAGGCUUUUCCAACAAAAAAGUGACAUACCAUACAUUGGAAAAGAAUCUAUAAGUUGGAAAAGCCUUUCCAUUUCAGCCUUUUUCAGCAUACCAAACAAGGGAAUACCAAACAUGGCUAUUUAAUGGAAAUUAUAAUCUUAAAAAGAUGACAAACACAAGAUGACUUUUAUCUUGACUCAAAUCAAUCAGAAAUUAGUAACCCAACCUAAAUGAGCCAUAGUUCUUUGUUAUAUUGCAUCAUUUUUAAGUAAAAUUUUCUUGACUAGAAUAACUAUAUGAUGUUUCCGUCUUUACUCCAUCUUAAGUGUACUUAGAAGCCAUAGUUUUUUUCCCCUUUACCCUCCCACCUUCCCUUUUCCAUCAAACAGUCAGAUUUUUUUUUCACCCUUCCUCCACUACCAUAACUCUUUAUUCUUGAUAUACUUAGGAGCCAUAGUUCUUUAUUAAUAUAUAUAUAUAUUCUCAAAUUUAAAAUAUUUUUUACUAAAGCAUGGGGUAAAUGAGCCGAAAUAAAUUCGAAUAGUGCCAUACUUGAGUUUGACUAAUCUAACAAUGACACUACUUGAACUCGAGUUUGACGAGCUCCCAAUAAUAAGUCCAACCUAGAGUUGAUUGUAUUUUCAAAGGGCUCUAGUUUGACUCAUAUAAGUUCAAGACUAGAGUAAUUGUUAACACCUUUCAAUCCCAUCGCCAAUUUAGUGUUAAUUGCAAUACUCUCUUGAACUAUUAUCUAUUAUCUAUUAUACUCUCUUGAACGAUUAAUUUUAAUACUUUAAUACUGUAAUGAUCAAGGCUAAAGAAUUAAGGAAUUGAGGAAGAUAAAAGGAGAGGAAAGAGAAGAACCAUCGGGGAAGAAGAGAACAGAGUACAAAGGAUAGAAAAGAUAGAGUUCAGAGUAGAAUUGAUUAUUUGGGAGAGAAGAUUACAAUUCACAUACAAGCUGAUCUUCAUUACAUCCCAAAUUUUCUAUAUAUAGAUUCAGCUUACAAAGAAGUUACACAUAACUCACAUUUCUCUUACAACUAAUUGGUCUAAUUAUCAGAUUGGGUGAUAACAAUGCCUCCCCGUUAAACAAUCAUAGUCUCUAGGAUUGAACUCUGAAAAGUCUAAACUAGAAACAAAUUGAUCCCUUUGAACAUGAGUCUAGUGAAUGCAAAGUUGACCGUGAGUCUUAGCUUCAAGGCAAAAACAUGGUAACUAUGCUCUCAUCUUCCAUUAUCUGAGUUAAUUCACCACCACCUGGAUCCCAUGCAAAAUGUGAUUUGCAAGCUCUAUAGUGCUGGAAUUUUCCAAUUGGAAUAGUAGCAACUGUCCAAAUCAUUUUCAGCCCAAAAACUUCACCCAAGUCGUCAUGCCUCUAUUUAAUUCUAUACUGGGCCAACUUUAAGACAGAAUUAUGCAAUGGAAUCAGCACUUGGGUGACUUAAAAGCUGUCAUUUGUCAUCAUUAAGUCCCGGUCCCAAUUAAUGAUCAAGAUUAUAUCGUCUUCAAUAGGCCUCUUACCCAAUGCAACCUCUAAUAUCAUGACAACAAGGCAAGAAAGAUCACUUUCCAGAUUUGUAAGAGUAGAGAAGACACACUUAGCAACCAUAUUUUCCCUUGUUUCAGCUAGUAUAGUGACUUUUUUUGUUCUGGAACUAAGUUCAUAAACUCCUACUAGAAUAAAAUCUCCAAUCUCAAUACUAGACUGAGCAUAAAGCAUCAUAUGACCUGACUCAACAUCUUUGUGCAUUGACUGGUUUAUGCACUGUAAAUGCAGAGUUACAAGAGUAGAGUUUCCUUGACCAUUACUUCUAUCUUCCAUGAACCCCUUUACACUAAAUUCAAUCUUAGCAAGGGACAAAUAAGCUAGCACUCCCAUCCUCUGUAAUUUGGCUAGACCAUCUUCACUAUGCCAUUUCUUAGUAAUCUGCUCAUCAUUGUGCAGCAUACAACUAUAGUCCCAUCUUCUUAGGUGACUAAGAACUAAACCCAAAUACCUUGGAACAGCUCUUGAGCAAUCCUCCUCUUUAGGUAUGACUAGUAAUAUUUUGGAGAAUCUAGACCAUAACAUCUUGAAUGGCCCAUAACUAGGAUUACAAGCAUUAUCUCCAACCCUCAUUAACUUCUGCAGAUUCGCCAAAAUUUCAGCCUGGAUUUUCCCUAAAUCUUGAUACUCAAUUCAACUAAUCAUCUCUCUCUCUAGCUUGAGAUCAAUUCCUCGUGAGUCAGUAUCAACGAAAGCCAAGCAUUUAAUCUUUCUCAUAUCAACAGCAGCAUGAUUUCCAUAAAUGUUAUCAAACAAGAAAGUGAGCCUUAUAUCAACCUUAGUUUUACUCAAUAGAUCAUGAAAAUCAGAAACAUCAUCAAGAAGACCCAAACAAUCCUCAUUCAUGCUUAACGAACCUCUAUAAGAACUGAUGGAAGAUGCAAGUUCAUCAAGAACAUGAUGUAGUAACUUUGAAUGAUGAAUCAAGAUAUGGAGUUUAUCAUUAAAAUCCUCACUCAAUUCAAUAUGACUCGUUUCCACUACAGAAUCAGAAUGAUUCUUGCCUUCACUUGGUUCAAGGAAAAGCUCAUACCUUUCAGUUUCAUCAUCAGAACAAUGUUUGGAUUCAUCUUGGAAUUUUGCAACUCCCAAAUAAAAAAUCCCAUUUGGCUUGAUCAACUUUGUCUCCAACGAAACAUUAGCCUGCAAAUUGUGUGUAUAAAUCAUUCCAUCAUUGCCUUCGUUGCUGUAAUCGAUUUCAACAGUUACUUGAUUCGCAUUAGGAUCCCAGUUCUCAACUAUCCCCAAAACAGAACCUGUAACUCUAACAUAAGAAGAACAUUCAUCCUCUACACUUCUUGAAGGGGAGAAGACUUCAAAGCUACAAUCUGUUUUUACCCCUUGAUACCCAAGAUUCAAGGUUAUUCCUUUAGUAAGAAACAUGGGAUGGCCCAAGAUUUCAUUCUCUCCAUCCCCUAUUCCCACCUCUUUGGUAUCCUCCACUGGAGGUUCAUCCAAAUUUUUCAAGAUUCCAUCGUCGUCAAUGAAGGGCAUUUCAACAAUAUUUAUUUCCUCCAUAUUCAGUUGCUCAUCCAUUUUCACGGUCUCAAGUUCAAGAAGUUGAUUCUUAAAUUAUAAUUCUCUUUCAUUGCUCAACGUUGAAUGUUCCAACUUCUCUUGAACUGAAAUGGAUGAAGAAGGAAGCUUUAAACUUUCACCAAACAGAUGGUGUUCUUCAAUUGCAAAACCAUACUCACCUUCCAAAUAUUCUUCCAUUUCACCAUGGAGGACUUCAAACUCGUCUGUUUCUACCGUUGCCAAAUGUGCAUUAGCCCACUUCUUGAUUGGGGUAGAUGUUGAAAGAGGGACCUCCUCGGAAUUUGAUUCCUCUGUUUCUUCAAGAAUUUGAUUCGUGAAAUUUCCUUCCAUCUGUUUGGCUUGAUUAGACACAGUUGAAAGCCACUCAUUUUCAUCCAAAAUUGGAUAAUCCUCCCUUAAUCGCCCCUCUCUGAUUAGGGUUCUUAGGAAUUCAUUAAAUGUAGUUGCAAAUGAAAUCAUACUACUCCUUAACUCGGAAUCGAUCUUGUCUGGCUCAGAUUUGUAUUAUGCUGCAUUUACUUCCGUUAAAUUGUGAAACUCAGAUUCUUGUGUCCCCAUUUGAUUAAGCAAGAAUCAAUUUGAAAAGAAGGAAAAGACAGAAAAUAAAGGAAAUAAAAGAAGAAUGCAGAUUAAUAGAAGAGUUGAAGGAAAAGAAGGGACAAGGAAGAGCAGAAAUGAGAGCGAAACAGAGAGAAGAUUCAAAAAAAGAAUGAUAUCUUUGGGGUAAUCGAAACUUGCAAUCCGAGGACCGCAAGCUCUGAUACUAAUUGUAAUGAUCAAGGCUAAAGAACUAAGGAAUUGAAAAAGAUAAAAGGAGAGGAAAAAGAAGAACCAUCGGGGAAGAAGAGAACAGAGUAGAAAGUAGGGGUGGGCAAAAUUAUCCGCUAACUCGAAAAUCCAUCAUAUCCGAUCCGAUCCAAUCCUAAAAUUAGAAUAUCUGAUUUUUAUUAUUUGAUCGGAUCAAAAGAAGGUCGGGUACCGAUUAAGAUACGGGGCAGGUUAGCGUCACAUAAUUAAAAAUCGGUGGGUACUCAAUUCACCCCAUAUAUAUAUAUAUAUAUAUUUUUUUAUUUUAUUUUUAUUUUUAUACAUACACUAUAAAAUAAUAAGAACUAAAUAAAUAAUUUUUAUUGAACAAAUUGCAUUACAAAUAAGAGAGACUAUAGUUUAUUUACAAGAUUCGUUUGUAGAGACCAUGAUCUUAUAUUUUAUAGAAAAAAGAUUAAUUAAUAUGGAACAUAUAUAUUAAAAAUUGUGCUACUUAUUUCAAACUUUUAUUAAUUUUGAAUUCUUUUAAUUUUUUUCCUUUAUCUUAUAUUUUCUUCACAUGCUUGUUUCUUGGUGGGAAAUCUUUUUUUAGAAAAAAAAUUAUUAAAUCUUAGAUGAAUGUGUAAAAUAUAAAAUUAAAUUGGUAUAAAUAAUUUUUUUAAAAUUAAAUGAUAAAUGGGGCUGGACGGGUACCCGUUGACCCGACCCUAUCUCAGCGGGUACCCGAUUAUAGGGUACCCGUUGAUAUGUGGGGCGGGUAAGGGUCAAAGAAUGGCUGACCCGCAAGGUGCGGGUCGGGUCAGCUAAAUGGUAAAUGGGACAGGUACCCGACCCGCGUCCUCCCCUAGCAGAAAGGAUAGGGAAGAUAGAGUGCAAAGUAGAUUAUUUGGGAGAGAAGAUUACAAUUCACAUUCAAGCUGAUCUUCAUUGCAUCCCAAAUUUUCUAUAUAUAGAUUCAACUUAUAAAGUAGUUACAUGUAACUCACAUUCCUCUUACAACUAAUUAAUUGGUCUAAUUAUCAGAUUGGGUCAUAACAAAUACCUUAUUUGUUCAAUAAAUAAUGGAUUGUUCAAUUAAGCUGAAGAUUACUGAUUCUUCUAUUAUUUUAGUAAGAAAAGGCUUUAAAAUUUGUAAUCUAAAAAUAUCCUUAUCCAUCGAGAGCCAUUUAUGUUUUUAAAUUCAAAGAUAACUCUUGAACUCUAUUGGUUCUCAGCUAAUUAGAGCAAUGUCCUACAAGUUGAUAUUGCAACUCUCACUAAAUUGUGAAAAUUGAUAAAGUAGGGCUACCAAUUGAAAGUCAGUAAUAGUUUGAGGAUACAAAUUACAAAUAAGCCAAAAUUUUCUACUACUAGUAUUUAGGGUUCUUUGAGGGUUUCUCUUCUUUCACCCCAAAUCCUCUCUCUAAAACACACACAAACAACACAUCCUCUCCGACAGCAUGACUAAGACUCAGGAAGAACUCUUGACCGCUCAUCUCGUGCAAGAAAAAAUCAAUGUAAUCCUUAUCACUCUUAUAUCUGUCAUUUUUUUGGCAUAAAUUUUUACUAUCUAUAAUUUUUCUCAAAGGAAACUAGUUAUCUAUUUGCUCAUUCAGUUGCACAAAAAUUCAUUAUUUUUAGUUCAAUGUAUCUUUUGGUUUAUGUAUGUGUUUGUGUGUGUGCGUGUGUGUGUUUUGCCAGAUUGAUCAAUGAAAGUUGAGGUAUAGUUAUAUUUAGAAGAUAAAUUUGUGUUAGCAUUGGGGUUUAAGUGAUUCUGUGGUUUCGUAUAUUUUGAUGGAAACUGAUCAAUUUUGAUGAAAGGAAUUGGGAUAUGAACGAGAAUGAACACUUUUAUAUUCAAUUAGAACGCAAAGAUAUAACCUCUCUUGGUAUUUUGUGGCUACUGAUUGAAUAGGAUGUAUACUUCAAAUCCAAAAAAUGUGUUGAAAAUGAAGGCUGGUUAAUGAAUAAUGUUGGAGUCAAGUUUUUAAAUUAUUUUUUGAAUAAGCGAUUGUAAAAAGACUAUUAGGCAAAAAGAUGUAAUCUUUUGAAUGGAAAGAAAAAAAUUUUCAAUCGUGUGCAUGUGGAACUGCACGAGGAGCUUCCAUGAAGCCAUUGCAAUUGGCUAAAAUGAAAUUACCUUUUUGAAAACUGAUUAUGGAAUUGCCAUUGGCUUCAUAAAAAACUUGUUGAUCAUAACUCCUUGUUGGUGCAGGUAGAAGAAGUAUUUCUAAAGUAACAAUUAUGUAAUUUGGAUGAUUUUUUUGAGAGGAAUACAACUAUCCAUAAUGAACAAUUCAUGAUGUAUUUUUCAUAUCCUCCAUUACUCAUAAAAGUAUGGUAUACUUGACAAUAAUUAGUUGAGAAGUACUUUUCUUUUGUUAACAUUGGCUUGCAAUUGAGUAGUUUAAUAACUUUUUAGAGUGAUUUAUCAAAGGGUUGUCCUAAUUUUAGUUGUGUAGCACACUAUGGUGACAUACUAUAGUCACUGACUUAUAGGUAAAAAAAUACUUUAAGGUUGAUAAUCAAUCUAGCCAAGGCUUGCAGUUUUUAAGAUAUUGUUGUCUACAAGUAUCUCGCAUGUACCUAAAUGAUGUAAAAUACAUAAUUUAUUGAUAGGCAAUGAUGCUGUAAGGAUCGAAGACAAUCUAAGAGGGGGGUGAAUUAGGUUUUCAAAAAAAACUGCUAAGAUAUAGGCCACUUUUUAAAAGUCUUCCUUUCUUUUCUCAAAGACCACCCAAUGGACCAAAUAACAAGAGAGCACAGGUAUUUGUGAGAUGAAGAGGAGAACAGUUUAUGUAGAAAAGCUGUAAAUGAAAGUAGAGAAACAAACCAAGCUUCAAACACAACUGAGGUUUGAACUACACUUUUAUAUACCAAGUUACUUCAAGUUGAACAGUCUUGCAACCAAUAUCUUGUGUAUAAGGGAGGGAUCACUUCCUUCUUGCUCCAAACCACACUUGGUCAAGCAAGAAAGUUUUACAAACACUCGAAGAACCCUCACUAAGCUACACUAUUGAAGAAGCUGUGUCACACUUGAAAACUCCAAGAAGAUUGCACAAGCUAAGAGUACAAAUGUUCCUUUUGAGUAUUCUAACACUUGAAUCACUCAACGAUCUGAUGUAGACUUGAUGUGCAAAGUUGUCCUGAGGUGGUUGACUUUGUUUUUUUAUAGGAGACCAGAAAAUUCUUCAAUUAAUGCUGUCAACGGGCAGAAGGCAAUUGAAGAGUCAACUAGCUGUUGGUGCUGUCGGACGUCCGAUGUUUAGUUUUUAUGCGUCCGAACAAAAUCAAUGAGUUCUGGAAGUUUUCUUGAAUCUCUUAGGACGUCCGAUCCCUUAUUGUAGACACCAAAUUUUUGGUGUAAUUUCUUUUACUUUUUAUUCUCAUUUGUCGUGGUUGCUUUUAGUUUUUUUAGUUUCUAGUUUCUAUUUUAAUUUUUAAGUUUUAACGUAGAAAAAUCAUGGAAAAAGAGAAAAAAAAAAGGAAAAUUGUUCACAAAAAUACGUUCAAAUUUAAUUUUUUGGCAUUUUGGUUUAUUUUUGUUAAUUUAUUUUGAAAAAAAAAAAAGAAAAAGAAAAAAAUGAUGAGAAAUGAUGAAAAAUGAAAGAAAAGAUCGAAAAUGGUAAUUUUGUUAUUUUUAGUUUGUUUAUUUCGAUGUGUUUGUAAUUAAAAUUGUUGUUUUUAUUAUUAUUUAGUUUUACCAUUAUUUUUGUUAAAUAAUGAAGGUGAAAAAAAAAUAAUAAAAAAAAAUAAAAAAAAAACAUCUCCAUAACCACGGCACCCACUUCAUUCAUUCCACUUCAGAUAUCAAACCACAACGGCACCUCAUCUUCAUGGUAGCAUCCGAGAGCAAGUGAGUGAGAGCUGCUCCUCGUGAGUAUCGACCAAAGGAAGAAGCCGCGAGCUGCAAUUCCAUUUCGUUCCUGCCCUGUCCGUGAGCUGAGGGGAGAGAAUCGGACACCACUCUGCACUUCCAAGACCUCCACCAGCUGAGCUCAACCACACCCACCAACUUCACAGCUAGCCUACGCAAACCAAACUCAGCCAGCCAUACUUUACUUCCAUAGCCAGCCGAGAGGAAAAUGUUGCAGCAAACCAUCGUGUGAGCUGAGCUCUUAACUGGGGCCACUCAUUUCCAUUCCACUACCUCAGCUCACAACAACAUUUCCCUGCCUUGGUAUCAUCGACAAGGGGAACCAGAGAGAGAGCCAUGCGAGUUGUGAGCUGCAACUUCCCUGUUCUGUCCGAGAGUGCGAGAGAGAGGGAGAGGCCGAACUGUAAUUUCUUUUGCUGUCUCUGUUCUGCCGUAAGCUGAGGGAAGAGACCAGGGAACCAUCACCUUCUUCGUCAACCCCAGACCAACAACCACCAACUGCAACCUCAACCAAGCUGCACUUCACCAUUUCCAGCCGCAACUCAUCAAACCAGAACCAGCAAACCCCGCGGAAGAAGAGAGCCGAGAGGGAGAAAAUUUUCAGACUUUCUGUGCAAGAGCUUAGCUUGCUGUGAGGUAAUUUCUGGACUUUUUAGGUUGAUUACUAGUGGAGGAAACUAUAUGCGAGUUGCAUGUGAGGCUUGUACAGUCGGUGGAUAGAAAUCAAGCCAUUAGGAAAUUUCUGCUUUGGCUAAGUGUUGCUGCCGAGAAACUGAUGAGAGAAUGCAGCUGUAUUUCUGUUUUUCUAGGACAAUCUGAGUACCUAAGUGUACUUAGCCGAAUGAAAUUGUGAUGAUUAAAACCAUGCAUGUUAAAUUGUGCAUUCGGAUGAUGUUAUGAAGCAUGCAGAAAUUCUGUUUUGGCUAAAUGUCUCUGCCGAUGAACUAAUUUGGGACAUGUAAUUUUAAUUCUGACUCCAUGUGAUAAUCUGAGCUUAAUUGAGGAUCCAAUUUGAUAGAUAAUCUUUUUAUUUGGUGUUGCAUGUGAACCUUAUGGCCAGGAAUCUGAUUGCAUGGCUGGAUUUUUUUUUUUAUUAGAAGUUGUUGGACUGCUAAACACUUUUCCAGCUUAGCCGAUGGAGUUGUUUUGGGAGUUGUAUGGGUAUUUUAGAAUGAGAUUGGCUGGAAAGUGUUUGAUUCUCACUUGGUUGUGUGUUUAGCUAACUAAAUGCUGGAUGAUUAAGCCCUGCAUGAGAUGAUUUAGCUGUGUGUAAACCAGAAAUUUGAAUGAAAUCAAAAAUCUGCUGCAUGCAUGUCAUCCGUAAAUAGUUGAGCAAAUUCUGGAAUUUUGGAUGAAUGUUGUUGGUGACCGACCCUGCUUUGGACUAGAAUUGAUAGUAACUUCAUUUAUUAGUCAUGCAUGAUAGCUUUGAGUACAUAAUUCAGUGAUUUGGCCAAAAUUGUUGACACAUAGCUGCUGGAAAUGUUUCAAUUUAUCCGAGGGAGGGAGAAAGAAUUUUUCCAGUUUAGACGUGAGCUUUCAUAAUUGUUCCCUUGCUGCACUUUCAUUUAGCCGUGGUUUCCUUUGGUCAUUCCUUUGCUGCACUUUUCAUCUAGCCAUGAGUUGCACAUCUUAGUUCCUUAGCUGCACUUUUCAUCUAGCCAUGAGUUGCACAUCUUAGUUCCUUAGCCGCAUUUUUCAUCUAGCCAUGAGUUGCACAUCUUAGUUCCUUAGCUGCACUUUUCAUUUAGCCGUGAGUUAUCAUUUUGUUUCCUUCGCUGCAUUUUUCAUAAACCCAUAAGCUUGAUGAGCUUUAUAUGUGCGAGGUUCAUGUGAAGGGAGUUGCGACAUAGCAACAGAAAUUUUCGUCGUAGAUGGUUUUCUUUCUUUUGCUGCAGUUCAUCUUCAUAAUUUGCUGUUUUCCUAGCUUUUCGCAACAAUACAUAAGCUGGUUUGCUCAUUUCUUUUCGCUAGCUGAAUUAGGUGUAGAAAGGGGUGGUGUUUGAUUGGUUUUGAAGUUGUAUGCUCGGCUCUAAACAUUGUGAACCCAUUUUUAAACAUUGCUGGAUUUUUGAUGAGAUUAGAAAUGUUGAAUCUUCUUGGCAUAAAAUUUCCUAGCACUUGCAUGUUUGUUCCUGAUAUGUUUUGGUUUGUUUGGGGAAUCAAGUUGGGAGUUAUGUUGUUUGACUCAAAGUGGGGAUGUUGCUAGAUAAAAUUUGUCCAAACUUGGCGUUAGUUUUGCCAAAAUCUGUUCGGAAAAAAAAAUGAAAAUGCACCAAUCUUUGAGUGGGUUUUUGUAACAAAAGUGCAGCAGCUUUUUGGUUUUGUAAACUUGCAAGAAAUUACUUUGAUUAAGUAUUGUUUAAGCAUGCUUUAAUUAGAGUUAGUUUAACGCUUUGUUAGCUAAAGAUUCAUAGAUGAAUUUGUGGAUAAGUUAGCUUAGCCUACCAAGAUUUUCUUGUUGCUGCCGAAACUUCCUUGUUGUUUUGCCGAAAGUUUCUUGUUUGUUGCAGAAAAUUUUGUUCCUCACGUAUGCAUGCAUGUCAAUAUUUCUGAAUUUAGCACUUUGUCCCCCCAAGUCCCUUCUCAUUUUACUAGGGCCCAAGUAAUUGGAACAUUUAAUCAAUUUGAUCCUUCUAAGUUUCUUUUUGUUCCACAAGAGCCCAAGCAUGUUCUAGUAUCUUGUAAUUAAGUCCUAAAAUCAUUGCAACUUCAAUCAUUGUUUGACUUUUCCUUUAUUUUUAAGAUCUUUGAAGUGCUUAAACGAUUUAUUUGGACUUGAAUGUUUGAGUAAUGCUUGUUUUGGGUCUUUAGUAGAUGCUAUAUUUGGAAAUUGAACGGGUUAUUCCGUUUUCUUGGUCUUUAAGCAUUUUUUGAGCUCAUUCAAGUUGCAAUUAGGUGGUUUUUGAUGUUUUUGCUUAUACUUUACUUUUAAAUUGAUGCCUUGACCCCUUUAUUGUUUUGAAGCCAUUUUCCUUCAUUUGCUUACCAUUAGGGGAAGGUAUAACUUUCUUUUAUCCUCUUUACUUCUCUCUUACGUGCUCCUACGUGUUACGUGAAUAUGCAUGUCUACUUUGCUUUCUUAAUUCCUUGCAUUUAUUUCAUUUACUUUUACUUUUAUUUAAGUUCUUCUUUAUGGGGUAUGUGUACACCUCUUGGCUUGUAAUAGAUAGGGCUUGGAGGAGCAUUCAAUGAAGACCUAUCGAAGACGUGUGCCUAGCUAGCAAAUGUAAUAGUUAGGGCUUUAAUUGCCUAUGUGUUAUGUGUUACUUGCUUUAAUUAGGUUCUUGCAUCUAGUUGAGCAUGCUAAGUGUUAUGUGCUAUGUGUUUAUAAGUAUUUGGCAUGUCUACUCGCUUUCCAUGGCCAUGAAUGAAUGUGAUGGACGAAUGUACGUUUCCACUAGUCCAACGCUAGUCGGAAUUCAUAGAAUGGGCUAGUCCAACGCUAGACCCUUAGGGACUUCCCCUCGUUAGUACAUGCUUGCAUGUUCAUUACAUGUCAUGCAUUUUUUUAGUUUUAUCAUUUUGCAUGCCCCUCGAACCCCUUUUCCCUCCAUUUUAGGAUUUUUGCAUUUCGUGCUAGUUAUAGGGUUCAUCUGCUUGAGGGUCCCCUUAAAUAUGGGAUAUAGACGAGUGUGGCUUUUUCUAAGCCUUAGCACGCUUGUAUUCCCUCUAUAAAAGGGCAAAUUGAGUCACGAUUUAGGUCUCCCCGUACCCAAUAUGCAUGAAUUCCCUAGGCUCAUGCAUUUUCAAAUCCACUCUACCAUUUUAUACCCUCAUCACACUUUCAUUUUUCCUCCCAUUUUGCACACGUACACAUUUAUGUUUCUUCACUUGCACACGAACACUUUUAUCAUCACUUGCACACAUGCACUUCAUAUUAUCAUUUCACAUACCGUACCUUGCCCACUCACGUGCACAUUUUCAUUUACAUAUUUAUUGUUUUUUAUUACUUUUUCAAACUCAUGUCCUCACAUUGCAUACAUGCAUUUCAUUCAUUUGCAUCCCACUCGCAUUAUUCGUGACCUCUCCAAAGGGUCAUUAUUGGGCUUCACAAUUAAUGUGAUUGGCACCAUUCAACCUUUGAAGAGAAAUUUCCCCCAAUACCCCUAGGUCUAGGGUUUGCAUUCAUAUAGUACAUCCAAAUGUAAUAAAUUCUUUGGUUAAAACAAGAAAAUAUUUGAUUAAAUCACGCAACUAGCCUUGGCUAGGUCGAAGGGGUGCCUUGGAUUUUUAUCCUUGCCUUCCCCUUCGUCAAAUGUGACUCCCGAACCUUUUUCCUUGGUUUACGUGGAUUAGGAGUCGUUUAAAAGGGGUUUCUUACUAAUUUUUUCUCAUUUUUCUUAAAAAAUUCAUUUUUUAGGUGACUUGGUACACCUUAACUCAUUACCAAGUGGCGACUCCGAUUUUAAUUUCAAAAACCCUUUUUAAAACUAUAAUUUUGGGUCAAAUCGUCGCUUUCCAAGUCCCAUUGAGACCCAUGUCUUUUCAACUCACAAAAAUCAUUUUCUAAUCAAAAUUAAAUCAAAAAUAUCUUUCUCAAACCAUUUAUUUAUUUUAUCAAAAAAUGGGGCGCGACACUUAUCAUCAUGCGUCCGAGGGUAGGAUGCACACUUGGAACUUCUUCUUCAAUUCCUUCGGACGGCCGAUGCGUCCAGAGUGUUGCGUCCGAAGAGCAGCAAUGGUUGUCAGACGUCCGAUACUCAGGUGUUGAACGUCCGAUCAUGAUCAAUAAUCAUAGAAGCCCUGGCUUGUCUUCUUUGGACGUCCGAGUCUGAGUUCUUCACAUGUCCGAAGAUAUUCAAAGGAUGUCGGACGUCCGAUAAUCUCCUUUUGUGCGUCCGACAUCAUCCUCAGUACUCUUCAUCCUCUUUGAUCUUCUUUUCCUGUUUGGUGUCAUUUCUGAAAAGGAUCUCUACAAAAAGUAUUAGUAACAUCCAAAUAUUUUGUAAUCAUCAAAAGAUAUGAAUUGAGAUAAACAAUCUCUCCCUUUUUGAUGAUGAUAAAACAUUUGGAUAGAGCAAAAAAUAUACAAACUGGGAUAUAACAGCUCCCCCUAACGAAGUGUAUGAGUGUACAGGAAGAAACGCAAUCAACACCAUCAGUGCUGAUCCAACGCAAUUCCCCCUGAAACUGACUCCCCCUAACUAGUUACUCUAUAUCGUCAGUGCUAAUCCAAAUCCAAUUCUCUUCGUUUUUGUCAUCACAAGAUUGAGUAUCAGUUUUGGUACCAGCAGUACGAUCCAUUAGAAACAUUAUCAAUAUACUCAUUAACAAUGUUCAGCACAGUUUGGAAUCAAUCAUUCAGCAGAUUCCAAUCAGAAACAUUCAUAACAAACACUUAGUUAUAACAUUCAUAAUCAGUAGAAAAUAUCCAGUUAUGCAGACCAGGUGUUCAACACUUAGUACAAAAGUACAAUGCAAAAGAUGAACUAUAGUCCUAGAUUAAGGUGCAGUGAUCUAGUAGUGCCUAGAUGGUGAUUUUUGAUGAUCCAGACCUUGUCCUAGCCAGACGAUACUGUUCACGGUCCUCUUCUUCCUCAGUUCUUCAUCAUCAUCUUCAUAUGCUUCCUCAGUUGCUGGAGCCUUGCCUUUAUCCUUGGGCUGAGAACUGAAAGCUGGUGUGGUCUCAGUACUAGUAGUUGGUCCUGUGGGCACAGAUCUUGGCUCAUUUACAUUGUUCUCAGGUAUUGGAGGGACAAGAAGGUUUUUUUUUCAAUGAAGGAGGAUUGUUGGUCAGAGGUCAUGGUCAUCAUGAGACCUUCUUCAAUAAGCAAGACAUGCUGUUUGAGGUCUUCAAGCAAGGAAAUGACUUCAGAAUUGGAUGCAAAGGACUUGCUAGCAGACUUUCUAGAAUGACUGGUGAAAGGAGAGACAAAGUCUGACUGAUCACGAGGAGUCCUAGGAGUGACAGGGGUUUCAUGAAAAUUUUUUCUUCUAGACUCAGCCACAGUCUCCUUAUAGCACCAAUGGCCUUCAAAAAAUUUUAAGUUCUUUCGUUCAAAGUAAGUUUUUGAGAAAACUGAUGAAGCACUGUCUUUGGGAGAUUUUUCAGAAAAAGGUAUUUUAAAAUGGCAAAGAUAGGAGUCAGAAAUCUGCCAUAAGAGAGCUUCCUACGACUGUCAUUGCUAAUUUUGAGCAAAAACUUGCACAUUACAAAUCCAAAGUUAAUGCGGAUUUUUUCAACAAAGCAGUAGAAAAGAUAGAAUUCCAUUUUGUUUGCAUCUGUUCUGUGGCCAUCAGUUGGCACCAACAGAUUUGAAAUGAUGGUAAAGAUGAUCAGAUUCUGAGGACUGAAAUCAUCCAGUCUUGCUUCAGCAGGAGUAUUGAAUGUGGUUUGAAAAUAGGUCAUGAGUUUAGCAUUGUGAAAGUGAUGGUAGGUAGACGGAAAUUCCUCAUACGAAAAGAAAUUUGCAAUUUUUCCUUUGAAACCAGGUUCAAUACUGGUUUUCGGAAUGGAAUUCACAAUGUCAGGGGUUAACAUGAUAUCUACAGAAUUGACCCUAGAGAUGAGUUCAGUGUGUGAUUUACCCUUUCUAAGGUUAGCAAAGAAUUGAUAAAGCAUGUCAGGGUAAAAGACAUUAGGAAUGGUCAGAAGAUAAGUCCAUUUCUGAAAUUCAAACAGUUUAAUAACGGGUUCAAGAUCAAACUUACGAAAUUCAUAGGGAAGGAUGAGCCUUUGGGUAAUAAACCCUUUUUGAGAGACUAACUCAAAUCUGUUUCUGGUUUCAUCAUCAAUGAAUUUUGGAAGAGGAGUGGGUUCUUCUACUGGCUGAGACACAGGAGCCUUUUCAGAAUGUUUCCUAUUUGAGGUUUGUGUGGCAGAUGCCCCUACAUUUUGAGCCUCAAUUCUUGUCCUUGGAGACUUCCUGGUAGAGGGUUCAGGAGUUUGCUGACUCCCAGCAGUGUUUCCUUCAUUCUACUGAUCAUCAGAGGGAUCAGCAGAUUGCUUUUUCUUGGAUUGGAGAGUACUCUUCCUCUUUGCAGUCCUCUUUCUUUUAGCAGAGGACCUUGUGACAGUUUCAUCACCCUGGGUAGCCUGCUCUGGUUCCUCAUUUCCACCAACAAUGUUCUCUUCAGAGUUCUGCCCUUCCAUCUGCUCAUCAGAUGAUUCAGCAGUUGGAGUAACCAGUUUUCUUUGGGCAGUUUGCUUCACUUUACCACCACGGGUCACAAUCUUCUUUUUGGGUGCCACAGGAGGUGGUUCCACGAUUUCAAUGUCUUCAUUCCUAAGAUUAAAGGAUCGUCCGGCACUAGUAGAUCCUCCUCUGAUUCUAACCAUGAUGCAAUGUGGAUAUGAUUUUUGAUGCAGAAUGUGGUGUACAGAGGAACAAUGUAGUAAGAGCCAACUAGAGUGCACUAAGAAGCCGCAAGGAGGGAGUUAUGUGAAGUUAGGGUUUCGUAUGUGAAUUGGGAGUUUUGUGGUAGUUGGGGGUUAGGAGUGAUUUUUAUGAGUGAUUAAUGAGCAAUAGAGGUGUAAUUGAGUUGGUUGGUUCAAUUUCUCGAAACUUGAUUUGAGGAGAGAGGAAUUUGAAUUUCAAAUAUUAGAGGAAAUUGAAAGGUUGCGUCCGAGACUUAUGGAGGAAAAUGAAUUGAGAAGAAUUGGUAACUGCCUUAUAGGACUCAAUUUUUGAGUGUCGGACAUCCGAACAAAGUGAAGCGUCCGACACAACCGUCCGAACCAGGGUUUUUCUGAAACUUGGACGAAGAACACUGUCGGACGUCCGUUCCAAUUCAUCGGACGUCCGAUAAAAAUUGACUAGAAAUAAGAUUUAGAAUAUUUUUUCUGAAACACCCAAUUUUGUUCUCAAGGAUAUAAAUUGAUCUAGCGGAAGAGCUUUUGUGAGGAUAUCAGUGAUCUGUUCUUUUGAACAAACAAACUCAACACGGAUUACCCCCUUGGAGACAAAAUCGCGAAUGAAAUGAUGCUUUAUAUCAAUGUGCUUAGUUCUAGAGUGUUGAAUGGGAUUUUUUGUUAGAUUGAUUGCACUAGUGUUGUCACAGUACAUGGGUACACAUUCAUAUACUAAACCAAAGUCAUUCAAUGUGUUUUUCAUCCAUAACAAUUGAGCACAGCAGGCACCAGCAGCAACAUAUUCAGCUUCAGUAGUGAACAGUGAGAUAGCAUUUUAUUUUUUAUUAAACCAAGAGACCAAGCAAUUUCCAAGAAAGUUGCAUAUGCCAGUAGUACUUUUUCUAUCUAUUUUACAACCACCAAAGUCAGCAUCAGAGAAUCCACACAAAGGAAGUUCAUGACAUUUUGGAUACCACAAACCAAAAUUUAAGGUUGCUUUAAGAUAUCUCAAGAUUCAUUUUACCGCAUUCAAGUGUGAUUCCUUUGGACAGGAUUGAAAUCGAGCACAUAAGCACACAGCAAACAUGAUGUCAGGCCUACUAGCAGUUAAAUAAAGUAAAUUUCCAAUCAUACCUCUGUACUUCUUCUCCUCAACUUUUGUACCUUCUUCAUCUUUGUCAAGUUUGGUAGAUGUACACAUAGGUGUUCCAACAGGCUUUGAAUCCUCCAUUCCGAAUCUUUUCAGCAACUUCUUGGUGUAUUUUGUUUGAUUUAUAAAUGUUCCAUCUUGGAUUUGAAUUACUUGGAGUCCAAGGAAGAAGUUCAGUUCUCCCAUCAUGCUCAUUUCAAAUUCUUUUUGCAUGAUAAUGGAAAAGUCCUUGCACAAACUCUCAUUAGUAGCACCAAAUAUGAUAUCAUCCACAUAUAUUUGCACAAUUAAAAGAUCUCGUGAGUUUUGUUUUGUGAAAAGUGUAGUAUCUACAAUGCCCAUUUUAAAAUCAUUUUCAAUCAAAAAUCCACUCAGACGUUCAUACCAUACUCUAGGAGCUUGCUUUAAUCCGUAUAAAGCUUUUGAGAGUUUAAACACGUGAUCUGGAUAAGAUUCAUUUUUAAAACCAGGAGGUUGGUCAACAUAGACUUCUUGAUCUAUAAAACCAUUUAAGAAAGCACUCUUAACAUCCAUCUGAAAUAGUUUAAAAUUCUUGAAGCAUGCAAAUGCUAAAAACAUUCUUAUGGACUCCAGCUUGGCCACAGGUGCAAAAGACUCAUCAAAAUCUAUUCCCUCUUCUUGAAUGUAUCCCUUAGCCACCAGCCUGGCCUUAUUUCUAACAACCUCCCCUUUAUCAUUCAUUUUGUUUCUAAAAAUCCACUUUGUGCCAAUGAUAGGAUGGUCUUGUGGUCUGGCAAUCAGGGUCCAAACCUUGUUUCUUUCAAAUUGGAUUAACUCCUCUUCCAUAGCUAAAAUCCAGUGCUCAUCAUUCAAUGCAUCAACAACAGUUUUAGAUUCAAUAUGUGAUACAAAAGCAAGAUUAUCUACUAGGUGUCUAGAGGAACGAGUUCUGACCUUUUCAGAUGGAUCACCAAUUAUAAGCUCCCUAGGAUGGUUAUGAACAAAUUUUCAGGUUCUUGGAAGAUCAUUAGGAGUAGUGGUAUCUCUCUCAUUCACUUCUCCAGCUGGACUGACCUGAGUGUCAGUAUCCUUUGAAUCAGUUUCUGGUAAGGCGGAGUCAUGAUUAUUGAUUGCUAGCUUCUUUAGUUCUUCUUGAACACCUGUAUCAUCAUCUUCACCACAACUCUUAGAGAUGUCACCAUCAGAUUCAUCAAAAGUAAUGUGUAUCGCCUCCUCUAUAAUCAAUGUCCUACGAUUAUAAACUCUGAAUCCUCUUUUGUUUUCACAAUAUCCCAAGAAAAUUUCCUCAUCAGAUUUCUUGUCAAACUUUCCAAGAUGUUCCUUGAUAUUCAAAAUGAAACAUUUACAACCAAAUAUUUUGAAGUAACCAACAACAGGUUUUUUGUCAAACAUGAGCUCAUAGGAGGUUUUGUUCAAAAUUGGUCUUAGAAGAACUCUGUUCAUGGUAUAACAGGCUGUGUUUAUGGCUUCAACCCAAAAAUAUUUUGGUAAAUUGCCUUCACUAAGUAUGGUUCUAGAAACCUCUUGGAGAGUUCUAUUUUUUCUUUCUACAACUCCAUUUUGUUGGGGGACUCUAACAAUAGAAAAUUCAUGAGUAAUGCCAUUAUGAUCACAAAAUUCUGGAAAAUCACAGAACUUGAAUUCUGUCCCAUUAUCACUUUUAAUCCUGACAAUUUUCAAGCCAAGCAGAUUUUGUACUUUGGCAAAUAAUGAGAUAAAAUUCUUAAAGGCAUCAUCUUUAUGAGCAAGGAAUAUCACCCACGUAUAUCUAGAAUAAUCAUCAACAAUCACAAAGCAAUAUCUCUUACCACCAAGGCUUGUAGUUUGUGUAGGACCAAACAGGUCAAGGUGCAAAAGUUCAAGUGGUUUUGAAAUAGAGACACAUUUCUUGGGUUUAAAAGAUACCUUGACUUGUUUUCCAAAUUGGCAGGCAUCACAAAUCCUGUCCUUUUCAAAUCUGAUUUUUGGGAGACCUCUAACAAGUUCCUUUUUAGAGAUUUCUUUUAGCAAAUCCAUAUUGAAGUGACACAGCCUUCUAUGCCAUAACCAUGGGUCCUCAUUUGCUACUUUGAGACAUUUGAGAUAGGAGGAAUCAAUUUUUUCAAGAACAACUACAUAGACAUCAUUAACUCUUUUUCCUUUGAAAAUAAUGUUGAACUUUGAGUCAAAUAUUAGACAUUCAAGCUUUUUGAACAAUACAAACAGAUUCCUAUCACACAAUUGGCUAACACUUAAUAAAUUGUAGCUCAGAUUGUCAACGAGAAGAACAUUGUGGAUAAAGGUUUGACCAUUCUUACCAACAUCACCAAUACCAACAGUUUUGGCUUUGUUAUCAUCUCCAAACGUUACCUUUCCACUUGCUUUUUACUUGAGUUUAAUGAAUUGUGAUGCAUCACCAGUCAUAUGUCUUGAACAUCCACUAUCAAUGAACCAUUUUGAUUCUUUAGCAAUGUUAUUCUGAUUCACCUACACACAAACCCACAAGAUAAUACUUGGUACCCUUUACAUGUUGGGUCCUUGAGAGUUAGUCUUAUGUCUAACUACCCACAUGCAUCUCAUGUCAUUCCUCAUGUUUUUCUUAACAUAACAGUUACUAUUCAUGUGACCAAAUUGACAACAAAAAUUGCAUACUGACAUUGGAUCAAUCAAAUGAACAGGUUUAAUGAAUCUGACUUGCCUUCUCCUGUAAAUAGCAAACUCAUUUGCAUUUUGAUUCAGUCUUAUUUGAUGAGUAUUAACAUAAGGUACAGUAUCAUUCUUUUGAAGAUGGUUCUGUUUCAAAUGACGUAACUGUGAGGCCCCAGUCCGUUCGUAAGUCGAUAUUAGCGUUAUUUGAUAUUCGGUAUAGAAAAAAAAAUCAGGGUUUUAUGGUUAGGAAGGAAACCCUAAUUCGGUUGAGCUUGAAAAUCCUAGUUUACGUAUUAUGAUUAUAAGGUUCAAGCUAUAAUUUAUAUUCGGUAUUCUAGUGUGUGCCUUGACAUAGGUAAAUAUAGGAUUUAUUUUAAUUACAAAAGUUUAGUAAGUUUGAAUGAUUAGCAAACCUCUAGUGUUACUAUAUUAGAAAACUUAAGUGGAGUUUUAUUUAUCGCCCGCCUUUUUCCACAUUUUCUUUAUUAGAAAAAAUUCCCAGAUAAUUUUUUAUGAGUAAAUAUAGUUUUUAGAUGAUUUUUUUAGUAUCGGUUAGAUUUUGAGAAAAUAAGAACGUAUAUCGGAUGUGGGACCCACUAGUGCGGAAAGUUCGGAAAAAUUCGGCCAAUUAGGUUAAAUUCCGGAUACUGUGUAAAAUUUAUCGAAUGUUAAGAGAUAAGUAGAAAGUGAAAUUUGAUUGAUGUGAGAGGAAAAGAAAGGGAUAGGAAUGCAUUUAAGAGGUGACAAGUGUCACCAUCUCAUUGGACAUGACUUAUGAUUUACUAUUCAUGUUUUUGACUUUUGACCAAAUUGGGUAAAUAUCUCCAAAAUUCACUAAAAAUUCACUCAUUUCUUCUCCUCCAUAGCCGGCCCUCUCUCUCUAACAAAGAAGGAAAAACCUCUUCAAUCUUCAAGCUUUCCACUAGCUCAAAUCAUCCAAACCAAUUGCCUAAACUAGUUUCUACUCCAUACAACCUUUCCAUUUGGUGUUAGUGGUGAGUUUGGUGAAGUUUUUGGAAGAGCUAAGGUGGUCUACAACUCCUCUUCUCUUGUAUACUAGGUAAGUGAUGAUUGAACAUCCUCCUACACCUAAUGAUGUUUAAUUUGUGCUUAGUGGUGGCUAAAGUGAUGGAAUGUGUGAUUUAUUUCUUGAUUUGAAAUGAAUUGGUGAAGUUUUUAUUUUUUUGAGGAAUUUUCUGGUUUAAUGUGAUCAUGGUGUUGUGGUUGUUUAUGAUGGUUGAUAAUGAGGGGUAAUGACUCUAGUAGGUGUGUUUGAUAGGAAAUUGCAACCAAUUUUGGGUUUGGAAUGAAAUGUGAAAAGUUAGGGUUUCAUAACCCCCUUUUCUGUCUGGUUUUGGAUCAUAUGGUUAAAGGCCGAAUUGGCCUUUCCUUGAAACAUGAAAGUUGUAGGUAUUGAUGUGUUUGAGGUGCCUGUAAAAUUUCAGGUCAUUUGGAGUAGUGUAGAGUGAGUUAUGUCGAUUUUACUGUUGCUGUUCUGGGUUGAUCAGAAUGUGAAAACUGCACUUGUAAUUGGUUGUUUUGGCUGGUAUUGCUUCAGAAUUAGUUGUUAUGGUCUUCUAAUGAAAUGUAUCCCUGUUUCUAAGAUUUUGGAUGGCUUUGGAAUUUCUGGAUUUGGACUUGUGUAGGCUGAGUUAUGAUGUUUGUACUAGAAUACGGUUUGUGAUCCUGUUUUCCGAUUCUGGUAUAGUGUCUUGCAUUUUUGACCUUGUUACAUUCCAAAUUGGACAAAGUUUCCUUCUUCAACAUUGUAGCCCCUUAAGUCCUGGAUAUUCUUGUAAAUUUUCUGGUUAAACGGAUUAGUAUAUCCUGAGCUAUAAACGAAAUACUCAGACCUGUUUUGACCGUCAAAUUCUGUUACGUUUUUGGAAAGUUUCUGACCGUGACUUUUUUUGAUUUUGAUAGAGUACGAUCUGGGUGUCGACUCUGUCAUAAGAAAUGUAGAUCUUGGUCACAGGUUCGAAACGCUAUAAAGUGCGUCAAAAUCCGAGUCACGUAGCUCUAGUUAUGAUCGAAAUAAGAAUUCAUGUCAGGACUGUUCUUAUAUCCGGACAGUUUACGACUGGAACUUUGGCUUCACAUUUGACUGGGUUACAAGCUGUUUGGGCUUGCGACCAAAACACCAAACUUAUAGCCCUAUAUCAGAGAUUUCUAACGCCCUUGAAAUUUCAUGAAUCGGAUUUAUAAAACCUGAGAUAUAGCCGAGCAAACAAGGCUUGCCCGUGAAAAUGACCAUUUUCUGGUCAGAUCUGUUUUGGUCCUGAUGACCAAUUUCCGUUCCGGAUUUGGAUUGCCGACCUUCAUGAAAGUUGUUCCAUUUGGAAUGAACCAUCUAACUGCCAAUUUUCAGCUCUUUUGACCAUGUGUAGCAUAGAAAACAGUUUGCACUCAAAACUGACCAUUUGUGCAUUGGCCAGAUUUCGUAAGUGAUUGUGUUUGGUUCAUUUGGGACUGAAACCUCCAGUUUCAGUUCUGGAUGUCUUCAUAACAGUUGUUGUUCAUCCUUUAAGCUUCGAUAUGGCAUCUCAUACGCCUUAAUCCGAUAUUCGUAGCUCAACUUAUGAGUAAACUAGAAAUGAGUGUCAAAUCUGCCAUUUCCGCUAACGGCCGUUUCUGUUUCCGUUCGUCAUAUUUACGUGUGCGCGUGUCGUUUUGCCGUUUUGCUUGUUUUAGGCACGAUAGUAGCCGUUUGCGAUAUUAUGUGACACAAUCUUCUAUUUCAGACGGUGGUGAGCUGGGCGGAACUGGUGGGGCCCACUACUAGCUGUUCAUUUCGAUCCGACUUCGUACUUUUGCUAUUUCAGUUUCUGAGUAAGUAUUCAGGCCAGUUUGGUGUGUUUUUCUUUGCUAUGUGUUUGAGAUAUGUGAAAAGGGUACUUAGGCGAGGGUGUACUUUAUCGCACUCGACCUAAACCCUAAUUUGAAUGUAUAAUUGUACUUGGCAUAUGUAUAUGAACCUUUUGGAACCAAAACCCUUGAGCUUGUGGCUCGGGGCGACUUUCGAGUAAAGUUUGUGAAGUUUGCAAAGUUUGUGAGUUCGUGGGCCCGAUCUAAGACCUGUAUGGACUAUUCGAGCCGGUUAGGGCUUGGUCGAAGUCAGUCCAACUUAGUCUGAGGUCACCAAGUUUGUAGGUUCAUGUUAUGAACCAAUUUUGUGAAUCCAGUUCACCGAGAAGGUUACCAAGUUUGUGAACCGAGCUUGCGCCGCAAGUUCAAUUUCGUUCGCUCGGGCAAGUUUGUGAGGUGACUGGCCAGUGAGGGUGAUAAGGUGUUGGUGGGUGUACAAGUGAAGUUCUACGGACCAUUGAGUGUGGUCGACGGAGUGUCGGCAGGAGAUCACGCAUGGCAUAUGAAUUGGCUUUGGAGCCACCUGUAUCCUUAUUAUGUGAUGUUACUUUUCUGCUUUUGCUUUACUCUUACUGUGUAACUGUUGUUACGUGAAAUUUAUGCUUUCGCUCCUGUUUACUUACUAAACAUAUAGCUUACCCCUUUCCUUUUGUUUUCCUUAGAAGGGGCCGACGCGGGGACUUUUGGCUCGUAUGCUAGUAUAGUUAGAUUGGCUUGUAAUAGUUGAACAGUUAGGAUGUUUGUUUUUGUUUUGGUGGUUUGUAUAAGGACCCUUCUUAGGGUCUAUCUUCUGCUGGUUGUGGUUAUAGUGUAUUAGAGUGGUUUGACUCGAGACUUUUGAAAAUGUAAAUAUAACUUUUGGGAUUGUAUAUAUUGUAUAUAGUGCUCUUUCGAUUUAUCUAGUUUUAUUGUUUUAAGUUUUGAGUCCUAGCGCGAGCUAGGCAGGCGGCCCGCCGAUACCCUUGGGUUCGUCCUUGGGAGAAGUGGGGUCGUCACAAUAACAAUUGACAUAAAUCAUCCAUUCUUUUUCUUAAGCUACAUUGCUCACUUCUGAGUGUAUCAAAGAAAUUUUUCUUUUUGUAAAGUUCAGCAAGCAUAUCAGUUUCAGUCCUUUUCAGGUUAUCAUUUUCAUGCUUAAGACACUUGUUUUGUCAAAAAAGAUUUGCAUUGUCUUGUAUUAGAAAGCUAAUUUUUGCUUUAGUUCCUUGUUUUUAACAUAGGAUUCUUUCAAGUUGUUAUGCAUUUUUUCUAGAAAAGAAUUAACAUCAUCAUCGGAUUCACUAUCACUAUCGGUUUGAGAGUUGCACUGUGUUACCUCUUCAUCUCCAAUGGCCAUGAAAGCCACUUGAGCAGAUUCCUCUUCUUCUUCAACUUCGCCUUCUGAGUUGCAAUCAUUCCAGAUAAUCUGGAAAUUGUUGAACUUUGGUUUUCGUUCAACCUUGUUUUCCUUCUUUUUCUUCAUUGGACACUCAUUUGCAUAGUAUCCUGGUUGGCCAUAUUCAAAACAUUUAUCAGUUAGCUUCUUGUUGAACUCCAGUUUCCCUCUGUUUCUGAAGUCAUUAGACUGAUUUGGGAAGGAAUUGCUGGAUCCGCCUUUUCUGAAUCUUCUCUUGUUGAGAAAUCUUUUGAAACCUCUUGUGAUGAGUGUAAUAUCACUGUCAUCACCUUCCAAAUCGUUUUCAUCCUGUGAGACUGUUUCAUCUUCAUCUUGUGAAACUUUCAGAGCAAUACUCUUUCUUCCUUUUGUGUCUUCUUCAUCCUGCAUCUUAGAUUUAAGUUUCAGUUCGUAAGAAGUUAGAGAGUUAAUCAGAGAUUCAAUACAUAAAGAGUUUAGAUCAUUGGCUUCCUCUAUGGCAGUCACUUUGCUUUUCCAAUCCUUUGAUAGAGCAUUCAGAAUUUUCCUGUUCUUUUCACCUAGAGAGUACUCCUUCUCAAGCACCUCUAAAUCCUUGAUCAGAUCAUUGAAUUUACAAUACAUUUUGUCGAUGUUUUCAUGAGGCUCCAUCUUAAAGGAUUCAUACUUAGUGACCAGAAUGGACUUUUUUUGUUCUCUCACGUUGUCACUACGCUCAUGAAUUUCUCUUAGCUUAUUCCACAUUUCUUUGGCAGAUUUACAUCCUUUUACUCUAAUUGAUUCAUUUGAGUCUAAGGCACUAUAAAGAACAUUCAUGGCUUUGGCAUUCAAUGUGAGAUUGGUUUUAUGUUGAGCAUUCAUCUCAACUCUUGUUUUUUGCCGUAACAAACCUGUUUCUGCAUCAAGAAAGUUAGCAUCAUGCGGUCCUUCAUUCACAAUAAAUCAUAACUCAAUAUCAAUGGAUUGUAAGAAGAUAAUCAUUCUUUCUUUCCAACUAACAUAAUUGGAACCAGUAAACAUGGGAGGCCUAGUGACCGAUUGUCCCUCAACAAAUAUAGCAUGAUUGGUUGUCAUUUUUACUCCAAACCGCUUGAGCUUAAUCUCUAGGAGACCAAAUUCUGAUACCAAUUGUAAGGAUCGAAAACAACCUAAGAGGGGGGUGAAUUAGGUUUUCAAAAAAAAACAGCUAAGAUAUAGGCCACUUUUUAAAAGUCUUCCUUUCUUUUCUCAAAGACCACCCAAUGGACCAGAUAACAAGAGAGCACAGGUAUUUGUGAGAUGAAGAGGAGAACAGUUUAUGUAAAAAAGUUGUAAAUGAAAGUAGAGAAACAAACCAGACUUCAAACACAACUGAGGUUUGAACUACACUUUUAUAUAACAAGUUACUUCAAGUUGAACAGUCUUGCAACAAAUAUCUUGUAUAUAAGGGAGGGAUCACUUCCUUCUUGUCCCAAACCACACUUGGUCAAGCAAGGAAGUUUUACAAACACUCGAAGAACCCUCACUAAGCUACACUAUUGAAGAAGCUGUGUCACACUUGAAAAACUCCAAGAAGAUUGCACAAGCUAAGAGUACAAAUGUUCCUUUUGAGUAUUCUAACACUUGAAUCACUCAACGAUCUGAUGUAGACUUGAUGUGCAAAGUUGUCCUGAGGUGGUUGACUUUGUUCUUUUUAUAGGAGACCAGAAAAUUCUUCAAUUAAUGCUGUCAACGGACAGAAGGCAACUGAAGAGUCAACUAGCCGUUGGUGCUGUCGGACGUCCGAUGUUUAGUUUUUAUGCGUCCGAACGAGAUCAAUGAGUUCUGGAAGUUUUCUUGAAUCUCUUAGGACGUCCGAUCCCUUAUCAUCAUGCGUCCGAGGGUAGGAUGCACACUUGGAACUUCUUCUUCAAUUCCUUCGGACGGCCGAUGCGUCCAGAGUAUUGCGUCCGAAGAGCAGCAACGGUUGUCGGACGUCCGAUACUCAGGUGUUGAGCGUCCGAUCAUGAUUAGUAAUCAUAAAAGCCCUGGCUUGUCUUUUUCGGACGUCCGAGUCUGAGUUCUUCACACGUCCGAAGAUACUCAAAGGAUGUCGGACGUCCGAUAAUCUCCUUUUGUGCGUCCGACAUCAUUCUCAGCACUCUUCAUCCUCUUUGAUCUUCUUUUCCUGUUUGGUGUCAUUUCUGAAAAUGAUCUCUACAAAAAAGUAUUAGUAACAUCCAAAUGUUUUGUAAUCAUCAAAAGAUAUGAAUUGAGAUAAACAGAUGCCUAGUACCAUUAAGUCGAUUUAGUUCCGGUUCUGUCUCAUGUUUAUUGAAAUAUUUUUUUUUGCUACUAAAGAUUUGAAGUGAUGGUUUGAUACUUCAUUUAAUGCAUCUCCAACUUGGUGGAGAUUACCUGCUACAAUGUCUUUAGCAUAUGUCACUUUGUAGUUCACUAGCCCAUUUGAGCAAUAGGUAAUCAUCAAAAGAUAUGAAUUGAGAUAAACAGAUGCCUAGUACCAUUAAGUCGAUUUAGUUCCGGUUCUGUCUCAUGUUUAUUGAAAUAUUUUUUUUUGCUACUAAAGAUUUGAAGUGAUGGUUUGAUACUUCAUUUAAUGCAUCUCCAACUUGGUGGAGAUUACCUGCUACAAUGUCUUUAGCAGAUGUCACUUUGUAGUUCACUAGCCCAUUUGAGCAAUAGAGUUUGUCCCUUGAUAGUAGUUUUAGGUUAUGUGACUAGGUGAAAUAAAAAUAAUGGGUACUAGAUUUAUGUCAAUUUAUAGAUGCAACUUAUAAGUGUCAAUAACAGACUUCAUUCAGGGCUGCAUUAAACUCCUUCAAAUUUAACAAACAACUGGAUACUUGGUCCCUAGAACCCAAUUAAUAAUUCAGUGCCUUUGAUGCACUCCUCCCUUCUUUUAUUGUAUGGUUGUGAUUCUGCAGUAUCAUAUUGUCAAUAGAAAUACAAGAGACUGGUCAAGAUCUUUUCAAUGUGGUUAAUCUGCCAUUCAAAUUCUUCCAUUCCUAUCUUGUUGUUGGCUAAAAUUUUACUUCUCCUAACAUCUCCCCUUGUUUAUUAAGUUACAUCAUACCUAAAAUAAAGUCAAUUGUUGGCAUUUGAUUGAAUAGCUCUGCAAUAUUCCUGACAUAAUUUAAUAACUAUGCUCUUUUAUAGCCUGAGGAACCUGUGGUUGAGGACGAUAAUGAUGAGGAUAAAGAUGAUGAUGAUGUUGAAGGUACUUUGCACGUUCUGUAUGAUAUAAGACCUUUUGCACUAAUUUUGACCCUUUUUGUGAAAACUUGAUCCCUUUGUUGUAGCCUCUAUAUUUUUCAAUUUGCUUAGGAUGUCUCUUAUAUAAACUAUUCUAUUGAAGAAAUACAAUUAUUGAAAGAUAUUUAUUUGUAAAAGUUUUCUCAUGAAUCUUAACUGUCAUAUCCAGUUGGUGCAAUAAAUUUGAUUAUUGGUAAUAAAAUUAUUUUUAUAUUAAUGAAUGAAUUGUUUGUAGUGUAAAAUGAAGCAACCUUCUGUGAAAUUUGCAUAUGUAAAAGAAUUUUUUUUUCUGAUUCAAGAGGUUAUGCUGAAUGGUCUAGAUCUUUUUGUAACAGAUGUUACAACCCCUUGGCCCCGCUUUUAUGUAAUUUUGUUGUAAUUGAACAUUAUUUUUAUGAUGUAAGAAAAAUAUGUUUUACCCAUUUAUAAGUAUAACAAAAGUUUAAAUGAGUUCCUAUCCAUCCUUCAAUUGCCGGUCCGUUACUUUAAUGGUCAUUUUCAUUCCUCAUUUUCCUCCUCUCUUUAUUUUUCCUGAAUUCAAUGUUCACCCUGUGAGGCUCCGAAAAUUCGCUUCCUAUGAUUUUGAUUAGUUCAACUUACUUGCCUUGCAUUUUUUGUUACUUUACUGGUUGAGUCAUAUUUAACUUAGCACAUAUUUAAUUUGGUGCAUGUUCAGUUUCAUAGUGCUUUAUACUAAUGUGACCAACUAGUGAGGUGUGUACAAUAAAUUUGAUAAAUUAGAGGGAGUUUUGUGCAAAAGCGAUUAAACGACAAGAGGUGUUAAGAGUUAAUUGGAGGAGAGUUAGAUAUUUUGGUGAAUUAGAUACCACUAGAUAGAUAUUACUCUUUAUUUUACCACUUGUCAAACAACUACAACUUCUUGACCAAUUAGAUAAGAAUUUCCCUUGGCUUGCCACUUGUCACUCUACUACAACUUUUUGACCAAUUAGAUAAAGAUUUCCCUUGACUCGUCACUUGUCAUUCUACUACAACUUCUUGAUCAAAACUAAGAGUUAAUAUUUAUCUUAAACCAAGCUAUUAUUUCAACACCAUUUCUUCUUCUUCCUUCUUUGGUGAGAAAACAAGAAAGAAAACAAGCCUUGAUUCCUUGUUUCAUUAGUGAGAAAAUAAGGAAAAAAAUCCUAAUCCACUCUAUAAAUCCUUGAGUCAAGCAUGGAAGGAAACUAUUGGAGAAGUUUUAGAGGGAAAAAGCCUUGUAACUUUCUUGAUUUGCUUGCCAUCUUUGCGUUUGGAGGUAAAGAGAACUUUACUAGAAUUCCUAGUUUUCUUCCUUUCUUUUGAAUUUAGUUGAUGUAUGAGAUAAUAGAAGUUAAAAGAAGGACUUGUAUGAGGAUUUUAUGGUUUGCAAAUUAUGUUGCAAAAAUUUCAAUUUUGGUGCAUAAUGUAGUUAGUUUAGUUUCGAGUUUUAUAUGCAAUUUUGAUGAAAAAGAAGAUUUUAUGGAAACUUGCAUGUUUUUCAAGUUAUGUUAUCAAUUUUCCAACUUUGAUUCAUGAAGUGCAUAGCCUAGGUUCAAAUUAGAUAUUUGUGAUUUUAUAUGCAAUUGUGAUUUGUGAAGUUUGCAAAGUUUGUGAGUUCGUGGGCCCGAUCUAAGACCUGUAUGGACUAUUCGAGCCGGUUAGAGCUUGGUCGAAAUCAGUCCAACUUAGUCUGAGGUCACCAAGUUUGUAGGUUCAUGUUAUGAACCAAUUUUGUGAAUCCGGUUCACCGAGAAGGUGACCAAGUUUGUGACCCGAACUUGUGACUCAAGCUCAAGUUUGUGAUUUCGUUCGCCCGGGCAAGUUUGUGAGGUGACUGGCCAGUGAGGGUGAUAAGGUGUCGGUGGGUGUACAAGUGAAGUUCUACGGACCAUUGAGUGUGGUCGACGGAGUGUCGGCAGGAGAUCACGCAUGGCAUAUGAAUUGGCUUUGGAGCCACCUGUAUCCUUAUUAUGUGAUGUUACUUUUCUGCUUUUGCUUUACUCUUACUGUGUAACUGUUGUUACGUGAAAUUUAUGCUUUCGCUCCUGUUUACUUACUAAACAUAUAGCUUACCCCUUUCCUUUUGUUUUCCUUAGAAGGGGCCGACGCGGGGACUUUUGGCUCGUAUGCUAGUAUAGUUAGAUUGGCUUGUAAUAGUUGAACAGUUAGGAUGUUUGUUUUUGUUUUGGUGGUUUGUAUAAGGACCCUUCUUAGGGUCUAUCUUCUGCUGGUUGUGGUUAUAGUGUAUUAGAGUGGUUUGACUCGAGACUUUUGAAAAUGUAAAUAUAACUUUUGGGAUUGUAUAUAUUGUAUAUAGUGCUCUUUCGAUUUAUCUAGUUUUAUUGUUUUAAGUUUUGAGUCCUAGCGCGAGCUAGGCAGGCGGCCCGCCGAUACCCUUGGGUUCGUCCUUGGGAGAAGUGGGGUCGUCACAAUAACAAUUGACAUAAAUCAUCCAUUCUUUUUCUUAAGCUACAUUGCUCACUUCUGAGUGUAUCAAAGAAAUUUUUCUUUUUGUAAAGUUCAGCAAGCAUAUCAGUUUCAGUCCUUUUCAGGUUAUCAUUUUCAUGCUUAAGACACUUGUUUUGUCAAAAAAGAUUUGCAUUGUCUUGUAUUAGAAAGCUAAUUUUUGCUUUAGUUCCUUGUUUUUAACAUAGGAUUCUUUCAAGUUGUUAUGCAUUUUUUCUAGAAAAGAAUUAACAUCAUCAUCGGAUUCACUAUCACUAUCGGUUUGAGAGUUGCACUGUGUUACCUCUUCAUCUCCAAUGGCCAUGAAAGCCACUUGAGCAGAUUCCUCUUCUUCUUCAACUUCGCCUUCUGAGUUGCAAUCAUUCCAGAUAAUCUGGAAAUUGUUGAACUUUGGUUUUCGUUCAACCUUGUUUUCCUUCUUUUUCUUCAUUGGACACUCAUUUGCAUAGUAUCCUGGUUGGCCAUAUUCAAAACAUUUAUCAGUUAGCUUCUUGUUGAACUCCAGUUUCCCUCUGUUUCUGAAGUCAUUAGACUGAUUUGGGAAGGAAUUGCUGGAUCCGCCUUUUCUGAAUCUUCUCUUGUUGAGAAAUCUUUUGAAACCUCUUGUGAUGAGUGUAAUAUCACUGUCAUCACCUUCCAAAUCGUUUUCAUCCUGUGAGACUGUUUCAUCUUCAUCUUGUGAAGCUUUCAGAGCAAUACUCUUUCUUCCUUUUGUGUCUUCUUCAUCCUGCAUCUUAGAUUUAAGUUUCAGUUCGUAAGAAGUUAGAGAGUUAAUCAGAGAUUCAAUACAUAAAGAGUUUAGAUCAUUGGCUUCCUCUAUGGCAGUCACUUUGCUUUUCCAAUCCUUUGAUAGAGCAUUCAGAAUUUUCCUGUUCUUUUCACCUAGAGAGUACUCCUUCUCAAGCACCUCUAAAUCCUUGAUCAGAUCAUUGAAUUUACAAUACAUUUUGUCGAUGUUUUCAUGAGGCUCCAUCUUAAAGGAUUCAUACUUAGUGACCAGAAUGGACUUUUUUUGUUCUCUCACGUUGUCACUACGCUCAUGAAUUUCUCUUAGCUUAUUCCACAUUUCUUUGGCAGAUUUACAUCCUUUUACUCUAAUUGAUUCAUUUGAGUCUAAGGCACUAUAAAGAACAUUCAUGGCUUUGGCAUUCAAUGUGAGAUUGGUUUUAUGUUGAGCAUUCAUCUCAACUCUUGUUUUUUGCCGUAACAAACCUGUUUCUGCAUCAAGAAAGUUAGCAUCAUGCGGUCCUUCAUUCACAAUAAAUCAUAACUCAAUAUCAAUGGAUUGUAAGAAGAUAAUCAUUCUUUCUUUCCAACUAACAUAAUUGGAACCAGUAAACAUGGGAGGCCUAGUGACCGAUUGUCCCUCAACAAAUAUAGCAUGAUUGGUUGUCAUUUUUACUCCAAACCGCUUGAGCUUAAUCUCUAGGAGACCAAAUUCUGAUACCAAUUGUAAGGAUCGAAAACAACCUAAGAGGGGGGUGAAUUAGGUUUUCAAAAAAAAACAGCUAAGAUAUAGGCCACUUUUUAAAAGUCUUCCUUUCUUUUCUCAAAGACCACCCAAUGGACCAGAUAACAAGAGAGCACAGGUAUUUGUGAGAUGAAGAGGAGAACAGUUUAUGUAAAAAAGUUGUAAAUGAAAGUAGAGAAACAAACCAGACUUCAAACACAACUGAGGUUUGAACUACACUUUUAUAUAACAAGUUACUUCAAGUUGAACAGUCUUGCAACAAAUAUCUUGUAUAUAAGGGAGGGAUCACUUCCUUCUUGUCCCAAACCACACUUGGUCAAGCAAGGAAGUUUUACAAACACUCGAAGAACCCUCACUAAGCUACACUAUUGAAGAAGCUGUGUCACACUUGAAAAACUCCAAGAAGAUUGCACAAGCUAAGAGUACAAAUGUUCCUUUUGAGUAUUCUAACACUUGAAUCACUCAACGAUCUGAUGUAGACUUGAUGUGCAAAGUUGUCCUGAGGUGGUUGACUUUGUUCUUUUUAUAGGAGACCAGAAAAUUCUUCAAUUAAUGCUGUCAACGGACAGAAGGCAACUGAAGAGUCAACUAGCCGUUGGUGCUGUCGGACGUCCGAUGUUUAGUUUUUAUGCGUCCGAACGAGAUCAAUGAGUUCUGGAAGUUUUCUUGAAUCUCUUAGGACGUCCGAUCCCUUAUCAUCAUGCGUCCGAGGGUAGGAUGCACACUUGGAACUUCUUCUUCAAUUCCUUCGGACGGCCGAUGCGUCCAGAGUAUUGCGUCCGAAGAGCAGCAACGGUUGUCGGACGUCCGAUACUCAGGUGUUGAGCGUCCGAUCAUGAUUAGUAAUCAUAAAAGCCCUGGCUUGUCUUUUUCGGACGUCCGAGUCUGAGUUCUUCACACGUCCGAAGAUACUCAAAGGAUGUCGGACGUCCGAUAAUCUCCUUUUGUGCGUCCGACAUCAUUCUCAGCACUCUUCAUCCUCUUUGAUCUUCUUUUCCUGUUUGGUGUCAUUUCUGAAAAUGAUCUCUACAAAAAGUAUUAGUAACAUCCAAAUGUUUUGUAAUCAUCAAAAGAUAUGAAUUGAGAUAAACAGAUGCCUAGUACCAUUAAGUCGAUUUAGUUCCGGUUCUGUCUCAUGUUUAUUGAAAUAUUUUUUUUUGCUACUAAAGAUUUGAAGUGAUGGUUUGAUACUUCAUUUAAUGCAUCUCCAACUUGGUGGAGAUUACCUGCUACAAUGUCUUUAGCAUAUGUCACUUUGUAGUUCACUAGCCCAUUUGAGCAAUAGAUAAUCAUCAAAAGAUAUGAAUUGAGAUAAACAGAUGCCUAGUACCAUUAAGUCGAUUUAGUUCCGGUUCUGUCUCAUGUUUAUUGAAAUAUUUUUUUUUGCUACUAAAGAUUUGAAGUGAUGGUUUGAUACUUCAUUUAAUGCAUCUCCAACUUGGUGGAGAUUACCUGCUACAAUGUCUUUAGCAGAUGUCACUUUGUAGUUCACUAGCCCAUUUGAGCAAUAGAGUUUGUCCCUUGAUAGUAGUUUUAGGUUAUGUGACUAGGUGAAAUAAAAAUAAUGGGUACUAGAUUUAUGUCAAUUUAUAGAUGCAACUUAUAAGUGUCAAUAACAGACUUCAUUCAGGGCUGCAUUAAACUCCUUCAAAUUUAACAAACAACUGGAUACUUGGUCCCUAGAACCCAAUUAAUAAUUCAGUGCCUUUGAUGCACUCCUCCCUUCUUUUAUUGUAUGGUUGUGAUUCUGCAGUAUCAUAUUGUCAAUAGAAAUACAAGAGACUGGUCAAGAUCUUUUCAAUGUGGUUAAUCUGCCAUUCAAAUUCUUCCAUUCCUAUCUUGUUGUUGGCUAAAAUUUUACUUCUCCUAACAUCUCCCCUUGUUUAUUAAGUUACAUCAUACCUAAAAUAAAGUCAAUUGUUGGCAUUUGAUUGAAUAGCUCUGCAAUAUUCCUGACAUAAUUUAAUAACUAUGCUCUUUUAUAGCCUGAGGAACCUGUGGUUGAGGACGAUAAUGAUGAGGAUAAAGAUGAUGAUGAUGUUGAAGGUACUUUGCACGUUCUGUAUGAUAUAAGACCUUUUGCACUAAUUUUGACCCUUUUUGUGAAAACUUGAUCCCUUUGUUGUAGCCUCUAUAUUUUUCAAUUUGCUUAGGAUGUCUCUUAUAUAAACUAUUCUAUUGAAGAAAUACAAUUAUUGAAAGAUAUUUAUUUGUAAAAGUUUUCUCAUGAAUCUUAACUGUCAUAUCCAGUUGGUGCAAUAAAUUUGAUUAUUGGUAAUAAAAUUAUUUUUAUAUUAAUGAAUGAAUUGUUUGUAGUGUAAAAUGAAGCAACCUUCUGUGAAAUUUGCAUAUGUAAAAGAAUUUUUUUUUCUGAUUCAAGAGGUUAUGCUGAAUGGUCUAGAUCUUUUUGUAACAGAUGUUACAACCCCUUGGCCCCGCUUUUAUGUAAUUUUGUUGUAAUUGAACAUUAUUUUUAUGAUGUAAGAAAAAUAUGUUUUACCCAUUUAUAAGUAUAACAAAAGUUUAAAUGAGUUCCUAUCCAUCCUUCAAUUGCCGGUCCGUUACUUUAAUGGUCAUUUUCAUUCCUCAUUUUCCUCCUCUCUUUAUUUUUCCUGAAUUCAAUGUUCACCCUGUGAGGCUCCGAAAAUUCGCUUCCUAUGAUUUUGAUUAGUUCAACUUACUUGCCUUGCAUUUUUUGUUACUUUACUGGUUGAGUCAUAUUUAACUUAGCACAUAUUUAAUUUGGUGCAUGUUCAGUUUCAUAGUGCUUUAUACUAAUGUGACCAACUAGUGAGGUGUGUACAAUAAAUUUGAUAAAUUAGAGGGAGUUUUGUGCAAAAGCGAUUAAACGACAAGAGGUGUUAAGAGUUAAUUGGAGGAGAGUUAGAUAUUUUGGUGAAUUAGAUACCACUAGAUAGAUAUUACUCUUUAUUUUACCACUUGUCAAACAACUACAACUUCUUGACCAAUUAGAUAAGAAUUUCCCUUGGCUUGCCACUUGUCACUCUACUACAACUUUUUGACCAAUUAGAUAAAGAUUUCCCUUGACUCGUCACUUGUCAUUCUACUACAACUUCUUGAUCAAAACUAAGAGUUAAUAUUUAUCUUAAACCAAGCUAUUAUUUCAACACCAUUUCUUCUUCUUCCUUCUUUGGUGAGAAAACAAGAAAGAAAACAAGCCUUGAUUCCUUGUUUCAUUAGUGAGAAAAUAAGGAAAAAAAUCCUAAUCCACUCUAUAAAUCCUUGAGUCAAGCAUGGAAGGAAACUAUUGGAGAAGUUUUAGAGGGAAAAAGCCUUGUAACUUUCUUGAUUUGCUUGCCAUCUUUGCGUUUGGAGGUAAAGAGAACUUUACUAGAAUUCCUAGUUUUCUUCCUUUCUUUUGAAUUUAGUUGAUGUAUGAGAUAAUAGAAGUUAAAAGAAGGACUUGUAUGAGGAUUUUAUGGUUUGCAAAUUAUGUUGCAAAAAUUUCAAUUUUGGUGCAUAAUGUAGUUAGUUUAGUUUCGAGUUUUAUAUGCAAUUUUGAUGAAAAAGAAGAUUUUAUGGAAACUUGCAUGUUUUUCAAGUUAUGUUAUCAAUUUUCCAACUUUGAUUCAUGAAGUGCAUAGCCUAGGUUCAAAUUAGAUAUUUGUGAUUUUGAUGAUUUUUUUUGCCAAGAAUAUAUACCGUAUGACACAUGUUAUGCUAAUAAUGAUUUAUUACAUUUUUUCCAUGAAGAUAAGGUUGAAAUUUUGAAAUUAAAGGAAAGGAAUUUAAUAAGAAGUUGCUGGAAAUUCUUGUUCGAAUUGGAAGUUUGGGAUGGUUUUGAUAAAUUUUGCUCAAGAUACUUGCUAAUAUUUUGAUCUUCACAUGUAUGUUGAUUUGGAGCUUUUGAAUUUUAGGUUUGAACUGGUUUUGAUCUACCUUUACUCGAAUUAUUUGAGAACCCUUGAUUUUCACAUACAAGUUAGAUUUGAGACAAAACAAAGAGGUUUAAGCAAAAGGAAAUGAGUUUUUUCUAAAGCGGUUUUUGUCGAGAAUUUUCACCUUUGAACAUCGAAAGCCUUGAUCAGUUUUCUUCCAAAUUCUUGACUAUAAUUGACAUAUUUUUGCUCCAUAUUAUGUUUGAAAUACUGUUUUAGUAUGCACGUGAUUUUACACUUUGAUUUGAACAAAAAAAUUUUGCCCUUUUGGAAGUUAUAUUGGGGAUAAAACCGGCAAAUUGAUGUGUCUUCUGAGUGAAGUUUUGAAGUUUCAAGUUUCUUAUUUCUAUUCGCUUUGAGUUGCUAGACUCUUGAUGUAUUAUCUGUUCACAAGAUUCAAGAGUGUCCAAGAGAGAGAACCAAGGUUUGAAAUAGAAAGAUUGAAAUCAAUUGGUGAGUGUUUCAAUUGCAUGUUAGGACCAUGUGACUUGUUGAUUGAAAUGUACCUUGUUGCCUGAAAUUGCUAGAUAUCUUGAAUUGCUAUUGCAAUAGAUGAGUGUGAACUUUAUCACACUCGACCCAAUUUUGCUUAAAUGAUGCUCAAUGCGCCUAGUUGAUUGAUACUGCUAUAUAUCUUGAAUUGCGAAUGAAAAGACAAGUGUAUACCAUAUCGCACCCGACCUAAAUUUGUUUAAACUCUUAUUAUCCUAUUUACAAGUAAAUUGUUUACAAGUGAACUGAUAUACAUAUACAUGACUUGAAAGUUUGUUGAAAAUAUUAUCUCAUCGAUUAUACUGAGUGCUUGGGAUCCCAAACCCCAUCGGUUAGUUAGUCGAAUCGAGCUAGCAAGGGUUUGAUCGAGGAGACUGAUAAACCAUGGGUAGUGUUUAGUAUUUAUUGUUUAAUCCAUUAGAUACGUCCUUUGGAAUCGGUAUAUUCGAAUAUUACCAUCUAGUGUUCUAGUAUUCUUGGAGUUCGGACCCGACAAGGGGGUUGAUCGAUGGACGGAGACUGAAAUUAAGCGGUGAUCUACGAACAUUGUUAUUGCUAGAUUUUAAACGUUGACAGAGUGUUAACAAAUUCGACUGUGGAACUGGCUUGCAACAGCCCACUGUAUCCUUGAGUUGCAAGUGAAAUAUUGAACGAGACUAAUUGCUUCGCCUAGAAUCUAGCAGGAGCCACCGUAUCAGUUGUAUCAACAUUUGAAUCUUGGGUGCUCUGUCGAGAACUUGGUAGGAGCCACUAUAUCAGUUGUAUCAUCAUUUGAAUCUUGGGUGCUCUGCUUAGAAUCUGACGAGUCACCAUAUCUAUAUUAUAUCCUUUUUUUGUUGGUGUUAAAUUGCUUAUUUGAAUAUGUGAACUAUUAAUAACUUUACUUGUAAUUGUUCACCUUCUUCGUUUUAUAAUUUUGAUAUAUGUGAUUGAUAUCUUAUCAAUUUGACUGCAUAUUUUCUUGAAACUUCACUGGAUUUUUAACUCAUCCCAUUAUUUGUUUUCCUUAAUAGAGUGUGGGGAUGAGAGAGACAAGAAUAGUAAUGAUUUGUAAUAGGAUAUCUUAAACUUGUAUUUGUCCGACACUAUAUUAUGGUACUAGUCGUUUAAAUUAUUUUCCUUUGAUUUGUACUUUGACUUGAAUAUUUCGACAAUUUGUAGCAUGUAAAUGUUAUAUUGAAGGAUUUUAAUGUUAUUGAUUUGACAAUAUUAGUGAGUGAGUUCUAAGGAGAGUUGGGCAAGCGGUCCGCUAACCUCUAAGAUACGCCCUAGAGGAAGAUGGGGUCGUUACAAAUAGUAUCAAAACUCUUAAUGAACUCAAGCCAGGAGAGGGUUCUCAGACUGUGGGAAAUUGUUUGUUAAGAGUGAAACGAAUUACCAUUGUUUGAGAAAAAUUAGAUAUGUAUAUCGAAUGGGAAUUUCAAAUUUGGUUGAUUUGCACUUGAGAGCAUACAAUCUGAGUUAUGAAUCAUCCUAUUUUUGGAUUCUUGUAUUUGAGUACUGCAUAUUUCUUCUGAUAGAAUACCUAUAAAUUAGGAAGGAUAUAGUAUAUUGGAUUAUGAUGCGAAUAGAAAUCACAAGUGAAUUUGAAGUUAUGAUGACAAAAGUCAAAAUGCAGAGGAUUCUAAUAUUGAACCUGGAAUUGAACUGAUUGAGGGGAUUGGAUCAAUGAGUGCUGUCAUAGACUAGUGUAGUAAAUGUUGGGUUAGGGUUUUGAUAGAUGGUGACUAGAUUUAAACUUUGAUGGAUGUCGUGAACAUUUAAGUUGCUAGCACUGCUGACCUGGUUAAGUUUUCCUAAGAAUAUGUGGACUUGUUAUGUGUUUAAUUGAUUUUGAUAGACGUGGACUUGUGUGAAAAAUAAAAGUUAAAGAGAUGACAUUGGGGACGUCCACAUAGGGUUAGAAACCUCGGGAUUAAGGGAGGGUGAUUGAAAUUUGCGGCAGACCAAAUCAGAAACCCAGGGACGAAAUAGGGGACCAAAUGGUGAUGGCCAUAAAUUAGAUGAUAGAUCUUUUAGAAUGUCUAGUACCCCAACAGGACUAAGGGGCUAGGCUUGCAAACCAACUUAUAGACCAAGAUAUAGGAAAGGUUAGGGCUCUAGAGAGAUGUUAAAAAAAAAGAUGUUCUUUGCUUAAGUUUUCUGGAAGUCCUGACUCCAAAGAAGUUGAACAUUGAUUAGCGAAUAUUAUCCCUAUCUUUGAUGUCUUAGGGUACUCAGAGGAAAGGUAAGUGAUUUUUGUAGUAUUCGAGUUUAGCGAUGUAGCUCGUUCAUGGUGAAACGUGCUUGAUACUUUUGUGGUAUUAAUACUUUUGUGGUGUUCAUUAGUACUAUGGUAGAAAUGUAAGAAUGAAAAUCAUCUGAGAUUGAGAGUGUUGGAUUAUGUAUGGAGAUUCCAAGGAGCAAGAUUUAGGUUCUAAUUUUGUAUACGAACUUUUGGUGAAUUUAGAAUGGUCGCCCUGAUUGAAGUUUGAAAAAGGCAUUAGUGAGAGUAAGUGUCAUAGUAUCUUGAGGUAUUACCCCACUUGUAUUCAGAUUUCUUGCCAUCUAAUUUGAAAAUGACUAAGAUUGAUUUUCAUGGAUGACUUGGAAGCAAAAGAAUUUCAGAGUUAUAUGGUUAGAGUUUUAAUUUGUGACUAGCUACUCCUUUAGUACUUGAUUUGUCUGUUAGGCUAUCAUUUGAGAUUAAAUAACUCGGAGAUAUAAGGAAUUCGAAAGCUACACAUAAAGAAAUAGAGAUUCUUAGAAAGGAGUUAGCAUUUCAAAAGAAAUUGAUUGAACACUAGGAAGAACGAUAGAACUAAGAGUAUACCGAGGAAACUGAUUUACUGACCAAGAACAUGGAAAUGAAAAGAAAUCAUACGAAGGGAUACUAGAGAAGUUGUGAAAUAAGUUUGAAUUGGUACAUUCAACUAUAUAAGUUCUCAAGACAUUUCUAACAACCAAGUGAAAAGUGUGAAGGAAACUUCUGCGAUACCAAAGGGAAAUGCAAAGAGAUCAGUGAAGAUGAAAUUGUUAUGAAGGAUAGAGGAAGGAAGAAAAGAAAGAAUAGACACUUCAAGAAGAUAUGUGUAGCCCCUAAGUUUAAAAUUUGUGAUAAAACUCAUAUUAGAAUAUGUUAUUCAAAAACUAGUGCAUGUUUUAGAUUCUGCAAACUUAGAUAUCAAGUGAGGAACUAUCCAAAACAAAUGAAUUUGGCAAUGGUGAAACUGCUGUAAUAGUCUAAAUUAGCAAUUAGUGAUGUUUUAUCUGAAAUAGUUGUAUUUAUUGGACUAUGUGUAGUGAAAAAUUUACAUAGUAAGUUGUAUCUCCUUUAGAAAUAGUGAACUUAGUACCUGAUUCAAUGAUUCAAUUUUUGUAAACUAUUCUUGGGUUGUAGUUAGUAAUGAAGGAAAGAAUUUUGAUUACAGAGCAUAGUACAUGUUUACUGAUUUAAUUAUAAAAAUGAUAGGACAUUUCCAUUGGGGACUGUUUGCCAAAGUAUAGUGUUUGAUUUGAAAAUUUGGCAAGAGUAGUAUACAAGUUUUGUAGUUACGGUUUCUUUUUUUAUCGAUACCUAAGUCUAUAUCAUCUUGAAUAAUGGAAUUUUCUUUGAACUGCCUUAACUUAUUAGUUUAGCCAUUGUGUUAGUAAAAUUCUCCUCUAGGUACAAUGUGAUGGAAGCAUCUUAGGUAAGAGGAACCAACUUAGGAGUUGGAGGAAAAUCCUGUAGAAUCAAGUUUUGUACAAACAAAGAUUGGAAUUUUGAGGAUGAAAUUCUCUUAAAGAUGAGAGAGUGUAAGGCCCCAAAAAUUCGUUUCUUAUGAUUUUGAUUAGUUUAACUUACUUUCCUUGCAUUUUUGGUUACUUUAUUGGUUGAGUCAUAUUUAACUUGAUGCAUGUUUAAUUUGGUACAUGUUCAGUUUCAUAGUGCAUUAUACUAGUGUGACCAACUAAUGAAUUGUGUGCAAUAAAUUUAAUGAAUUAGAAGGAGUUUUGUACAAAAGAGAUUAGGUGACAAGAGGUGUUAAGAGUUAAUUGGAGGAGAGUUAGAUAUUUUGAUGAAUUAGAGACCACUAGAUAGAUAUUACUCCUUGUUUUAUCACUUGUUAAAUAACUACAACUUCUUGACCAAUUAGAUAAGGAUUUCCCUUGACUUGCCACUUGUCACUCUACUACAACUUCUUGACCAAUUAGAUAAAAAUUUUCCUUGGUUUGCCACUUGUCACUCUACUACAAUUUCUUAACCAAGACUAAGAGUUAAUAUUUAUUCUAAACCAAGCUAUUAUUUUAACGCCAUUUCUUCUUCUUCUUUCUUCAGUGAGAAAACAAAAAAGAAAUAAGAGAAAACAAGCCUUGAUUCCUUGUUUCAUUCAUGAGAAAACAAGGGAAAAAAAUCCUAAUUCAUUCCGUAAAUUCUUGAGUCAAGCAUGGAAGAAAGCUAUUGGAGGAAUUUUGGAGGAAGAAAACCUUGUAACCUUCUUGAUUAACUUGCCAUCUUUGGAUUUGGAGGUAGAGAAGUGAACUUUACUAGAAUUUCUAGUUUUCUUCCUUUUUUUGAAUUUAGUUAAUGUAUGAGAAUUUUAUGAUUUUUAAGUUAUGUUGCAAAAAUUUCAAUUUUGUUAUAUAAUCUAGUUAAUUUAGUUUUGACCUUUAUAUAUAAAUAUACAUAUGCAAUUUUGAUGAAAAGGAAGGAUUUUAUGGAAAUUUGCAUAUUUUUCAAAUUAUGUUGUGAAUUUUUCAAUUUUGGUUUAUGAAGUUCAUAGCUUAGGUUCAAAUUAGAUAUUUGUGAUUUUGAUGAUUUUUUUUGCCAAGAAUAUAUACCGUAUGACACAUGCUAUGCUAGUCAUAAUUUAUGGUGUUUUUACCAUGAAAAUAAGGUUGAACUUUCAAAUUAGAGGAAAGGAAAUUAAGGACAAGUUGCUGAAAAUUCUUGUUUGAGUUGGAAGUUUGGGAUGAUUUUGACAUAUUUUGAUGUUCACAUGUAUGUUGAUUUGGAGUUUUUGAGUUUUAGUUUUUGGUUGGUUUUGAUCUAUCUUUACUCGAGUUACUUGAGAAACCCUUAAUUUUCGCCUAUAGAUUGGAUUUGAGCCAAAACAAAGAGAUUUAAACGAAAAGAAAUGAGUUUUCUCCAAACCAAAUUUUGGUCAAAAAUUUCUACCUUUGAACAUCGAAAGCCUUUACCAGUUUUUUGUCAAAUUCUUGACUAUAAUGGACAUAUUUUUGCUCCAUAUACGUGAAACAUUAUUUUAGCAUGCACGUGGUUUUGCCCUUUGAUUUGAACAACAAAACUUUGCCCUUUUGAAAGUUAUAUUAGGAAUAAAAUCGGCAAUUGAUGUGUCUUCUGAGUAAAGUUUUGAAUUUUCAAAUUUCUUAUUUUUAUUCACUUUGAUUUGCUAGACUCGUGAUGUAUUAUUUGACUGUAGGACUUGAGAGUGUCCAAGAGAGAGAACCACGAUUUGAAAUGGAAAGAUUGAAAUCAAUUGGUGAGUGUUCCAAUUACAUAUUAGGACCAUGUGACUUGUUGAUUGAAAUGUGACUUGUUGUGUGAAAUUGUUAGAUAUCUUGAAUUACUAUUGCAAUAGGUGAGUGUGUACUUUAUCGCAUUCGACCUAACUUUGUUUGAAUGAUACUCAAUGUGCCUAGUUGAUUGAUAUUACUAUAUAUCUUGAACUGCAAAUAAAAAAACAAGUGUGUACUUUAUCGCACCCGAUAUAAUCUUGUUUGAGCUCUUGUUAUCCUAUUUACAAGUGAACUAUUUACAAGUGAACUGAUAUACAUGUACAUAACUUGAAAGUUUGUUGGAAAUAUUAUCUCAUCAAUUAUACUGAAUGCUUGGGAUCCCAAAUCUCAUCGGCUAGUUAGUCGAAUCGAGUCAGUAAGGAUUUGAUCAAGGAGAUUGAUGAACCAUGAGUAUUGUUUAUUGUUUAUUGUUUAAUCCAUUAGAUGCGCCCUUUGGAAUCAGUAUACUAGAGUAUUAUCACCCAGUGUUCUAGUGUUCUUAAAGUUCGGGUCCAACAAAAGGGAUUGAUCGAUGGAUGGAAACUGAAGUUAAGCGGUGAUCUAUGGACAUUGUUAUUGCUACAUUUCAAACUUUGACGGAGUGUCAACGGACUCGAAAAACACUGCUAGAGAACUGACUUGCAAGAGCCCACUGUAUCCUUGAAUUGCAAUUGAAAUACUGAAUGGAACUAAUUGCUACGCCUAGAAUCUGGCAGGAACUACCAUAUCAGUUGUAUCAACAUUUGAAUUUUGAGUGCUCUGUCGAGAAUCUAGUAGGAUCCACCGUAUCAAUUAUAUCAACAUUUGAAUCUUAGGUGAUCUGCUUAGAACCUGGCGGGAGCCACCAUAUCUGUACUGUAUCCUUUUCUUAUUGGUGUUAAAUUGUUUAUUUGAAUAUGUGAACUGUUAAUGACUUUACUUGUAAUUGUUCACCUUCUUCAUUUUAUGAUUUUGAUAUAUGUGAUUGACAUCUUACCAAUUUGAAUGCAUGUUUUUUUGAAAUCUCAUUGGACUUUUAGCUCAUCCCAUUAUUUGUUUUCCUUAAUAGGAUUUGGAGAUAAAAGAGACAAGAAUAGUAAUGAUUUGUAAUAGGAUAUCUUGAGCUUGUAUUUGAUCGACAUUGUAUUAUAGUAUUAUUCGUUUAAACUCUUUUCCUUUGAUUUGUACUUUGGCUUGAAUAUUUGGACAAUUUGUAGCAUGUAAAUGUUAUAUUGAAGGAUUUUAGUGUUAUUGAUUUGAAAAUAUUGGUGAGUAAGUCCUGAUCAGAGUUGGACAGGCGAUGCGCUAACCUUUGGGGUAUGCCCUAGGGGAAGGCGGGGUUGUCACACACCCAAUUCUUUUGCAUGCUUUGCUCUGCCACCUCUGGCCUUCUUUCCUUACCCUAGUUCUAGUGUCGCCCGUUUCUUAAUCUCUCUUCUCUCCUUACUCCUAUUAUGCAUUUCUCCUCUCUUCUGGCUCUCUCUAUUUUUAUUUUCUAGCAUCGCCCUUCUCUUAAUCUCUUUCCUCUUCUUGCUGCUGCUAUGCAUUUCUCCUCUCUUCUGACCCCCUCCAUUUUUAUUUUCCUUGUGCUUCCUCUUUUAUCACUGCUCCAAGCCACUGAAUGGUCAUUAGUUUAAUGGCGACCUUGUACUGCUUCUUCCUCUCUUUCUUAUUAUUCAUCGGACCCUAUGCCAGUUGCUUAUAUCAAUCUCUCUCUUUCCCCAUAACACUUAUUUCUAUUUUAAUGAUAGUGGUAUGUUUUUGCUCGUGUUGUUCAAGAAACUAUUGAUGUAGUCUUAUCGAUUUUGUCGGAGUGUUGGUAGGUGUUUUUCUCUAUGCUGCCAGAAUAUAGAUCUCUUUGAUGGCAGUGUGGUGUUUAUGCUAUUUGAAGAGUAGGAGUGAUGGAUUUUAAGCUUUAUUUUAUAUGAGAAAACUUUACUUUUGGUAUUUUAAAUCUUGAGUAGUGGUAACAUGGUUUUGAGGUGGUUACUAGGUUGUAUUUUGGUGAUGGAGAGUUUUUAUCAUUUAUUUUUCUUUGGGAGAUUUGGCUAAAAUAAGUCUAGACUAGAAGUAUGUCAUUUUUGUAUAUCAUCCAUGAGGAGUAUUUGGGGCGCCUGAUAGCAACUGUUAUGUCUAUGCUAGUGAUUGGCUUAAGCUAUUGGGAAGAAGAAAGAAGAUUGAAGAAGUGAUAAAGAAAAAAUUGGAAGAAGAAAGGGGGAAUAGAGCAAGUGUGCUAAUUUUUUAUUUUGUGGUUGUGAAGGUAAUUUGGCUCAUUGUCAGAUGAUUAGCUUUUACCGAUUAAAAAUUAUGCUGAGAGUUUAAGGUUGCAAGGGACAAAUCACUUAUACAAUUGAUACUCUUGCCCCACCAAUUUUAACAGGAUGUAAUUUCUCAAAACCAGAUGGUAGGCAUUUGUGAUAUUGAAAAUCUUCAUGUCAAUGUCAUUUUCUUGCAUUGAUGACAUCCAAAUUUGUUUUCUAUUAUUCUUUUACAAUACCUUGUCUCAAAUUACUCACGUAGAAUAGAGAAACUUUGAUAUUAAAGCCAACUUUCGUAGCAAUAUGCCUAUGAAUUAGCUGCAACUUGAGGCACUAUGUUUUUGUUUCUCCUCUUUCCCUGUCACCUCUUUGAAAUUGUCUCAAGUCUUUAUUGGUUUCACAUGAAAGAUUAAGUUUUUCAAAUCUUAUAACUCACAUAGUAUACAUAUUAGUGUGAAAAGUGUGUAACCAACUUAGACGGAUACAAUGAUUGCACCAACUGGACAUCAUUCAUUUCUUGCAAUAAUGAACAUAAGCAUAUAAACUUUUCAUGUAGCAAUUGACUACUUUGGAAAAUAGUUACAAUAUGUUCUUUACAUUUAGAAAUUUCUAAAACUAUAUGUUUUAUAAAUGACAUCAUACUGCCUGUUGAUAGAACAAUGAGAUGGUAGUGGAAGAUCAAAUCAGAGUAGAAGCGAAAAGAAAAGUCGAAAGGCAAUGCUAAACUUGAGAUGAAGGCCAUCCCGGGUGCCAGUCGGGUCACUGUUAAGAAGAGCAAGAAUGUCAGUUAAUUUAGACGAUUUAUAAAUUUUACUGAAAAGUUAUUUGUAAAUGAUUUCUAUUCCAAAUUCAGUAACAUUUUUCUAAACAGUUAUGACACUUUUUGUGUAUAUUUGACAUUAUUUAUGUUUCAGAUUUUGUUUAUUACCUAAAAGUCAAAUAUUUUAAGAGUCCAACUUUAGACACAUGUUAUAUUUGGCGAAACCAAGAUUGAAGAUUUGAGCUCACAAUUGCAAAAUCAAGCUGCAAAGUAGUUCAAGGCUCCUAAUCUCAACAACGUGAUUUUCAAGCCUACCAUCAAAUGUAACUCAGGAUGAUGAAGAUGUAGAUAAAACUGGUGUAGAACCUAAGAACAUAGAACCGAAAAUGACUCAAGCUAGUGUUUCAAGAACAAAGGCUGUUAAAUCUCUCAAGGUUGUAGAUGGUGAUAUUGUGUCUACCUUUAUGAAACUUACAAACAAAGAAACCCCCUCUACAGAGUCUCCUAAGACUCAUAAGGGUAGAAUUUGUAUUGUCAUGUUUUAGAUUGUUGUGGUUUUGUGAUUGUAGAUCUUUUGCAUUGAAUUUUUUUAACUCCUCUCAUAUGUUUGAGCUUAUUUAUACGAUGGUUUUGAAUUGUACCAGUAUUAAAAAAGUGUCAUGCAAUUAUGAUGAUGUAAUGGCUGGAUGAGAGUAGCUAUGGCCUCAGUGUCCAGCUUCUCUUGUAUUGGUUAUAUAAGAUUUCAAUUUCAAUACAAAGAUACAGGGAAAUAAUGGAAAAUGCUAUGGCAAUUUGAGAUCCUAAAUCUUCUACUGAUGCAAUGCACUCGUGAGGGUCUUGUAACUAACUGAUUGCAGGUGUUCUGAACGACAUCAUAUAUAUAUGUAUAUAUAUUCGAUUCAUUUAUUUUAAACUGAGGUUGCAUAUGAAUUUUUGUCAUGUUUAGCAACUUUUGAGAUAGUGAAAUUUGGUAUGUGAAGAUUUGAGUGAAAUGUAUAGAUUUGAAGUUAGUUGGUUAUUUUGUGUUUUGUAGUUUAGUCAAGUAUCUGCGGAGGUCUAUAGCCAUUUUUUUCACAUGGGUGUGUUACUUUUGCUCUACAGGUGCCAAAUAUCAUAGUCCACCAGAAGGUUUUUAUUUUUCUUUAUGGAGGAAAAAGGCAGCUUGAGACGUUCAUGGUAACAUUGUUUCAUUCAAUUUUAUUUCAUGCCAGACUUUGUCAAACUUUGAGUUGUACUAACUAAACAUUGUCAAUGUUUGGAUAAUUUGAGAUAUCUAACACUUAUUUUGAUGCUGAAGAUUGCUAUAUCCUUUCAUAGCCCUGUAAUAGGGAGGGAAAAACCUCAUUGUGCUUCAAAGACAUGUAUUGUAAGAGUUAAAAAGAUAGUGUAUUUUAAUGUAUGCAAGACAAGACAAUUUUUAAUCCUUUUAGGGUUUACAAAACUUUUCGAGUCAACUUUGCCUUGAGCGCUUUGCUUGCUUUUAUUUUUCUCACGGCCUCUUCUAUGUUCAUAACUGAGCUUUUUUCUUUGUUGAUAAGUUAUGUUUGUAUUUAUUUGCUUGUAUAUUUCAUAGUGACCACUAGAGUGUGAGGUUGCAAUGAGAUAUUGAAUGUGGGAGCUUACAGUUGAAGUGGAAUUUGGAUUUUAUGUAUCCCAGUACCAUGAAGAUUGAUUGGCAACUACUAAUCAAGUUUUGCUUCUUGAAAGUUAAUUGGUAACUAUUAAUCAAGUUUCACCUCUAGAAAGUUGGUUCUCACUUGAUUUUCUGGUUAAACUUGGACUUUUAUUGGUACCACGAUGUGGCAAUUUGAGGGUAUUAAGACUGUUAGGGGAGUGUUUUGAUAUUGUGACAGCCCCACCUCACCCUAAGGCGAACCAAAGGGUUCGGCGGACCACCUGCCCAACUCUCGCUGGAACUCAGUUAUACCUCAAACACAUCCGCAAUAAAAUCACAAGAAAGAAACAUAAUAACAGUCCAAAACUUAGAGCAAUCUUAUGUACAUUUCUAUCUCACAAGGAGUACAAACUCAAAUAUACAAAGGUUCUCAAUUCAUCAUACAUCCAACCCAUGCCAAGCGUUAGGGCAAGAACCAUUAUAAAAAAAAUUCAAAGAACUAGACCAACCUAGUCUAUACAAAGCUCCCAUCCUGGCUCACCUUCCCCUGUUAAGGAAAACAAAACUAAAGGAAUGAGUUAAAAGUUCAAUGAGGUUCUGAACACAUAAUCAAACAAUCAAUUCAAUACAUUAAAUAGAGAAUAUCAAUAAUUCAAGAAACAUUUACAAUGGAAAGCGAUAAUAACACAUACAUUAAAAGGAUACGGGCUCACAGGGAGCUAUUUAUUCGUUCGUUCAUUCGUUCUCCUAUCAUUCCCCUUAUUCCUUUAAUCAUUUGAAAAUGAAAUUUUGUAAGUAAAACCCUCGUUCGUUCGUUCAUUUCAUUCACUCCCUCCUGGACGUUGGCCAGACUCAACCCGACAACAAGGUAAUACUCAAGUAUACCAAAUAUUCACCCAGGGUCACCAUAUCACCCGAUCGAGUCUGCUUCUGGCUCAAGUCGAUCGGUAACGAAGAGCAGGGCCCAGUUCAGCCAAAAGGCUUACAUCCAUGCACAACUAAUUGUUCAAUCAUUGAAAAUUUCACAUUCAUUUAGGUCGAGUGCGGUAAAGUACACUCGCCUAGAAAAUUUGUUUUGGAAAUCAUUGAAAGCACUUAACACAUUAUCAAACAACAACAACAAGUCAUGAAGUCAAUGAGAAUAUAACAAACAAGAAACACUCACUUAUUUACGCAAAAUAAUAUCCAAAAUAUCUUGUCGGAUAAUACCAUCAAUCACCGAUGAACCCUAAUAUAAUCAAAAGAACACAUUAUGCUUCAACUAUCAAAGAUUUAAGUGAUUCAAAGAAAAUUCGAAUGCGUACUAGUACAAAAUAUAAAUAUGGUUUUGGUAGUGAAAAGAGUAUAUUGAAACCAAAGGACAUAAGUAAACUAUUUGUAAAACUUAUGCUCACUUGUAAAACUUUAAAAUCUCCAUUUCAAUAGCCAUAUCAUAGGCUUAAAGUAAUACAAGUACAAAAUCAAGCUAGGAACAUGUGCGGAAAUGGAGUUUGUGUCAAGAAACAAAAGACAGAUUUGACGUUGUUUUGCGUAACGGACACAACCGAGAUUACACUUAUCGGAUUGAGGUAAAAUUUAUACCGUUUCGAAGCUAAGACAAAGAGCUAUAACUUUGAUGAAGACUAUUUAGUCAAGUUCUCACCCUAACUAGGUCAAAUUUACCAAAACAACUCCAGAUUUUCCAGUUCGAAGCUCACUGUGAAAUUCAACUAGCAGUCCUGAUUCAUUCACUCAUAUCUAAGCACACAAAACUCCAAUUCGGGUAAUUCCAAAUCCAUUUGAAAGCUAAGAUACAAGACUAUAAUUCUUAAGAAGACAUCAACAACCAAUUCGGUAAUAUUCCUGGUCAAACUAAUCACUUACAGAGGCUGAUUAUCAUUUUUGACAGAAACAGGGUAGCAUGGGCAAUUUUGUCAUUUCACAAGAUACCCUGCUUCGAUUGAGCUGAAAUUUUGCAAGCAACUAUAAAACAUCAUUCUUUACAACUUUUAUGUUUUAUGCUAAGCCUAAUUCGACCUCCAUCAUGGUCAAACAGGACCGGACAGAACCAAGCAGUGAAGAGCUCUAAUUCUGGAAUUCAAUGAAUUUAAGGUGCAAACUUCAUAUUUCUAGCUUGAACCACUAUCUCAACCUCCUAUCCAAGAUUAUAUACACCACAUACCACCUAAACAACAACAAAUACAAUUAACCAACUCAAUCCUAACUCAAGAACAUGCACCAUAUCCAUUCAAACCACUAAAAUAACUAUCAUUUGGCACAAAUAUGCAUUGUUAUCCAACCUUAACCAAAUUUAAGUAAGAGAUAAGAAGAAGACAGCCAUGUACCUGCCAAAAACUCCCUUGUAAGUAUGAAACCAAACACUUUCUUCCCAAACUUUUACCACACACAACUACCUAAGUACUCAAAUGAAGGUUUAAUCGGUUUGGAUUCAUUGAUUUUGCUCAAAUGAAGGUGAUUCAAGGUGAAACUUGGUGGUUACUCACUUGGUUUCUUUCUCUCCUUUUCUCCUCUCUAAGUCACAGUUCUAAUGUGUAGAAAUGGAGGCCAAAUUGAAGUUUCAAGAAGGUUAAGAAGAUAUUAAUAAAUUUGGGUCAAAGUUAAGUGGAUUACCACCAAGUGUCGCCGUAGGAUUCAAUCUCAAUUUUUUUCUUUUCUUCCUUUCUUUUAGUCAACAAAGGUGGCUGGAUUAAGGGGUAAUUUAGGGCUAAUUAGUCAAGUAAAAACAAGGGAAUUAAGGUAAUAAAGUGGUGGUCAAGUGGUGUAAUCCAUCGGUAGAGAACGGUACACGACAGUUCAACCCGAUUUUCCUUAAAUCGCGUAUACUAGGGUUUUAACUUAUAAUUCACUAACUUAUUAUUAUCACCUCUAAUCCCACACUUAAUAUCAUCUAAAACUCACUUUUAAUCACCAAAUUUGAUCACACUUCGUACCGAAUAGUCGCACUAUGGAAAAACAUGAAAACCCUAAUUCGCUCUAACUUGAAAACGGACAACGAAAACCCUUACUUCUAUAUUCAUUUACACUUGUUAUGGUGUGAUUAGGUAGUAGGGCUAUUACAAAAUCAUAAGUUCCAAAUAAAAGAGGAUUUUUAAGAAAAACGUGAGGGGUUUUACAAUUUCAUAAAUUGAAUUUAGGGUUUCGGUUAAAAUAUGAGAAAUUUGAGAAAACGGUGAGUCACAAGUGAAACUAGGGUUUUGAUUAGACGUUUAGGGUUUCUAGUCUUUUAAAAUAAAACAAGGUUUUAACUCAAAUCCAAAGAAAUAACUUUAGUUUCUUCUUUAAAACAAAAUAAUGUUUUAAAAUAAAAAUAAACUAAAGAAACCGUAAUAUCCUCUUUGAGACCAAACAAAAGAUGAUCCUAAAAGUUGGAGUAUCACAGAUAUGUUUUUUUCUUGUAGUAUGAGCUUGGUACUAUAAUGAAUGUGAAGCUAACAGAAGUGUCAUUAUUUGGAUCAAAGAUAGAAAUUCGUAAGCAAAUAAGGCAAAUGGCUCUGAAGGUAGUGAUAAUAGGUAGGCAAUAAACUAAGACUGAUGCUGAAUCACAUACUUCAAGUUUUGAAAACUGGAAUUAUCAUAAAGGCCCUCAGGAUUGAAAACAGAACUCUGGACACACAAUCAUUUAUUAAUAAUGAGAAAAAUCCUACCAACGUUUCCUUCCUUCAAAGAGUCUGCAGGAUUUUGGAAGUCAUAGUGAGCAACAUAGGAUUCACUAGGCACAAAAUAUACUUUUGUUUACUAUGACUUAUCUUUAUCUGUAUUCUUGAUAACAGUGAAUUUGUUACUGAUAUAUUUGGAUGCCCUAGCCAUCAGAAAGUAAAUUUGGCAAUGCUUGGUGCAAGAUGUGAGGACUCGUAAAAAAAAAUUUAUUAUUUUUCGACUCCUAUUUUUGCUUAUUUAAUUAUUUAUCUGAAUAUUUGCUCCGAUUAUUAUUUUCUAACCUUAUUAGACUUAAAUACAUGGAAUUAUGACUUCAUUAUAUUUUUAAAGUGACUCAUUUCGAAAAUUAAUUUUUGGAAACUCGAUUAAUGAAAAUAGUGAAAACGCGUUUGAAAAUUUUAGCCAAUUGGGAGUAAAAUAAGCUCGAAAAAUUGGAGACAUGUACAAUGGUCCUAAAAUAGGUAAUUUUAGGUUUAAGUACUCAAGUGAUAGUUAGUAGUACGAUCGUUAUAAGAAUUUCUCGAAGGUUUCACUCUAUCGCGCCUAAAUUGGAAAUACGCGUUUUCACGCGCGUGAUUAAUUGAGAGACUUUAAACCAUUCUUUUGGGACAAUUAAGAGUGAAUAAUAUUUAUAUGAAUAUAAGUGCAUUAGAAGUUUAGUGCACUAGUGAAACAAAUGUAAGAGGAAUUGAGCACGAAAUGCGCGCUUAUACGCGCGAGAGAGAGUUGACUUUUGCACCAAUUCUAGCCACACAUUAAAGCUUCCUUUGGAAGCCUCAUUUAGAUCAAAAUUUCCUCUCUCUUCCUCCCUAAGACAGCCGGCCAUUCCAAGAGCAAGAACCAAACUUGCUUCAUCAAUUUCUACUCCAUUUCUUGCACCAAAUCCCAACCAUUUCACACCAAAAUUGAAGAUCACUUAGCUUAACACUUAGAGAUUUCAUCUAGCUACAAAAACAAAGAGCUUUGCACGGUUUUAUUGGGCUGAGAGAGGGCCAAAAUUCUGCUUGGUUCAUCAACCAAAGUAAGUAGUGAUCAACUCUGAAAUUCCUGAUCUAUGGAAGUCGAUUUACACUUAUAAGCUUAGUUAUUCAUGUGGGUGGCUUGUUAUUAUUGAAAAAUUUUGAAGGUGGGCUCUAUGAACUCCCACUCUUGGAUUGAUGGCUGAUGUGAUGCUUGAUGAUGGAUAUAAUGUUAGUUUAGUGCUCAAAUUGGUAGAUUAAUGGUGCAUAGCUAGUAUAAACUUCAAGGAAUGCAUGGCUGAAAAAUUUUCAAUUCUGCCCCUGUUUUGAUCGAGCCCCUUUUUGCGAAAUUCUGAGGGUUUGAUGGCUUGUAUAUGAUGUUUAUAUAUUUUAUAGAUGGUGUAUGAAGUUUCAUCGAAAAAUAUUGAGGUUUGGUUGAUCAAAUAGAUUAAUCUUGCAAAGCUAGUAAAGCUGGAAAAUUUUCCCGUAAUGCUCAGACAGCCCUCUUGUUUCGUCCAUAACUUUGUGCUCCGACGUCGAAAUCAAGUUCCAUCAGUGGCAUUUGAAACUAGACAUUCCUAACUUUCCAACGGUAUAAAAUGCAACCCUAAUUCCACCCGAGUAUUCUGUACCAACCAUUUAAAGAUGACUGUCCUGUUUCUCAGUUUUCCUGGAACGAAGUUCAGAAACUACAGCUUGAGGCUCGAAUUUGAGCUAGUUGUGUGCUGAAUUUCAAAAUGAUUUCUUCUGUGAAUUUUUAGUUUUAUGAAUUUAUUUUCCAACACCGCCAACCAUACUUAAUUCCGAGUUGAAUUGAGUGAUUUGUGAUCAAAACACAAAACCUACCCUGUUCUUGAAAACCCUAAAUUUUGGGCAAAGUAGAUGUUAGACUUGGUGUGGACUUGCCAAUUGAAUUUCUUGGAGUUAAAACACUUACCAAAUGUACCAUGAAGGUUCCUAAGGCUUUUCCUACACAAAUGAACCAUGUUUGAAGGAUUUUCCUUGGCCAAAUGUUUGGAAUGGAAAACAAAAAGCUCAAGGCAGUUCUGCCAUGGGAUUUUUCGAAAUUUUGGUUGUUUGGUUGACUACCUUCUCGAAGGUAUUUUUCCAUGAAAUUUGAUGGAGGGAUACCCUUUAUAUAGGAGUAUUAUACUGCUGAAUUUGGUACCAAUCUGAGUCUAUUUCGCUGCUCGACUAAAUUACCAAAGUUCAAGACUUGAUAUUGGAAAACCCUUGUUUAACAAGGAAAUUUGGGUAACUUUGAGCUACCUUAUCUUGGUACUCAAAACUCCAUUUCUCGUUCUGCUUGUUUUGUUGUAAACUUGGAUUACAACACUAAUAUAGUUGCAAAUUUCAAAGGCUAGUUCCAAUCAAGUGAAUUUUGCCGAAUUUUCAAAAUUGGCCAAAAACCAACUUAAAUCUGCCUUAUGAACCAAAACAGCGACUUUGAUCUCAUUUUUGAAUGUUUUCCAUUUGGAAUCUUAGAGAAGUGUAUUCUAGAAACUUUUAGUACUUUGGAAGAGGUUUUCAACGGUACUAAAUUUUCCAAUUUUGGACUUGUAAGAAUGAGAUACGAUUUUUCAAAGAUCUCGUACCAAAACUAAAAUUUCCGAAUCUUAAGGAAAUGGAGAUUUUUGAAUUCUCCUUAUUCCUUUGAUGUUACUUGAACGUAUUAAACUUGAUUUCUAAGAUGAAACCUCAAUUGCUUUUGUGCUUUAAAAUUCCAUUUUAAAACCCCAAUUUACGAGUGAUUGAGAUUCGUUUUCAUGAAAUUUUCUUAGAUUGUGCACUAUGUACAAUCUUUGUAAUGCUUGGGGGUUUUGAGUGAUAAAUCCUUAUUAAUUGCUCAGGCACACAAGAGAAACUUCAAGAGAAUCCCACCGUGGACGCUUGAACUUCGAGUGCCGUUUCUUCUUAUUUACUUGGUGAGUGUCAAGUGUGUGUUACUUGAACUACUGUGAUCCAGAUACAUGUUUACUUGUAAUGAUACCUGAGAUUUUUAAAAAUUCGAGACGGGGGUGUAUUUUAUCGCACCCGUUCUCGCUUGAAAUAAAUGACUCGCACUUGAAAUAUUCAAAUGUCUCAAUUGCUUACACAUGUUACUUGCUUGCUUGACUUGAAAUAGUAUGCUAUGGUUGCAUACGUCGUUGGAGUGAAUCUCCGAGACUCUCGAACAUGCUUGGGGGGACACCUACAUCUCAUUGGCGAACCUUGGACUCGAGCCAACAUGGACUUGGUCGGGCUCCUUGGUAAACCAUGGGAAAAAUUGAAAAGCUUAAUCUAGUGAGAGAUCUUGCUUGACAUACUCGAGUAGUAUUGCCUUAAACAAAUGACAGGCGGGCCCGAAAUAGGGGUAUGUAAGGUGAAAGGGGACAGAUUAAGUGGAGUUCUACGGACUAAACUUACCCGAUUGACGGAGUAUCAACUCGUGGAGGUUAUUGAUCGUGCAAGUGGAACAUAGCUCCUGAGAGCUCCAGUAUCCUUGAAUUGUUUAUGGUUACUUUCCUCGUAAAUUGUUAAUCAUUGGAUAUAUUAUUGCUCGACUUGUCAAUUUGGGUUUGUUACUUGAACAAUGUGCUUGCAUGUGUGUUCUUGGCCUCACGAGCAUUUUGCUCACCCUGUAUAUUUGUUUUCCUUAACAAGAUUGGGCUUGGAAUGAGACUCGGAGGGAAUUUCCAUUUUUAGUAUUUUUGUGGACUUUUGUAAUAGGGUUCCAAUUCUUUUGACUAGAUAUUUUGGCUAUUGUAUAUUUUGGGAUGUAUUUAGAAACCCAUUAUAUGGAUUUGGUAAUUGUUAAAUAUUGUUAAACUUGAACGCUUCCGCACUAAUUGCAUUUAUAUUAUCUGGAUGUGAUGUCUAGUACCGUUAUAAGUUUGAACGUAAAGUGCUUGAGUCCUUACGAGAAUUGGGCAGGCGUCCCGCGGAUACCUUUUGGUUCGCAUUAGGGAGAAGUGGGGGCGUCACACAAGAACAGCUCUAAAUAUAUUUUAAAUAUGAAAACGAGUUGUAAAUUUGCAAAUAAUGAAAGGACCCUAGACAAGCUAGUCAUACAUGAGAACUGGUUUGUCAGUUUUGAGUAAGAUGUCCAUGGGAGAAAAAUAAUAAAAAAAGCCGUUACUCUGAGUAAGAAAUGAAAGGAUCCUAGGCAAACUCCAAACAUAUCAGAACUAGUUUCUCAGUUGCCAAUAAGAUGACAAAAACCAAAAGGAAUAGAAACAGGCCGAAUAGUGAAUAUUUCAGAAAAAUAAAGCAUAAAUGGAAUAGCAGUUGUAAAGAACUCACUGAUCUUUAUAGCCCAAAUUUGAACACAUCACUCAAUUGUUAAGCAUUACCUUUGUUACAAGGAAAUCAGCUUUGUUCAACAAGUGAAGGAACAUUAUGGUGAAAAAGAAUAACUGAAAAAACUAAACAGAAACUCAGCUAAUGGAGCUUAUUAUUCAAAAGGCCAAUUAGAAUGCUCUGUAUAGUGAUAAUCCUGAUAAUUGGACACGGGCACGGAGCUCGUUUUAGCUAUCCCAUUACGUUGACGCUAUGAGUGAGAUGAGCCAAAAGGCCACAAGAAGGACCAUGGGCUACGUCUUUCUGGAUUCUCACUUCUGCCUUCCCCUUCCACUAAGCCUCCUGCUACUUUGGUUUUGUCCUCUAGAAUUCUAAUUUCUCUGCUGUGGUGUUAGCUCUUGCCGACAAGCAGGGCACAACUGCGUUGCUCUAGCCAUGGGACAAUGGAAUUUGAGUGAUGCAAAUAUUUGCAAGGUAACUUCCACACAUGAGAGCCUAAGUCAAAUUUCUCUUUACAAACAGGACAAUGAGAAUCAGAGUGAACACCCUACUUGGUGCUUCGAUCCUUGAAAGCUUUGUCUCCAAAUUUGAUCCAAUGUUGUCCAUAAUUGAAGAGACAAAAGAUAUUUCCUCAAUAAGUGUUCAAGAAUUGACGGAAUCCUUGAAAGCUCAUGAGAGAAGGUUGGCUAGACAUGCUGAAAAAUUUGUUGAAAGUGCUUUCCAAUUGAAACUGAGUUUUAGCCCCAAAACCAAUGAACGAGAGCCAUCUUGUAACUACCAAAGAGGUGGAGACUCGCAAAGAGGCGGUAGAUAUGGCCGUGGAAAAGGCAGAGGCAGAAAUUCAAGAGGAAGAGGAAGAAACAAUCUUCAAAGAUGCCUUAAUGUUGAAAAUUCAUAAACUUGUAGCUGUUGUGGCAAAAUCAAUCACCUUGAGAAAGAUUAUUGGCACAACGACAAGCUAAAGUACUACUAUUGCAAGAGAUUUGACCAUAUUGAGAAGGAUUGAAGAUUCAGGACCAAUCAUCAACUACAAUUUCAGAAGACAAGCAAGGAGCAAAAAACUUAUUCUAUGCUUGUCACAUGGCCACUAAGGUCAAGAAUAAUAUAUGGUAUUUUAACAGCAGUUGUAGCAAUUAUAUAACAAGAGAUAAAUCUAUUUUUGUUGACUUGGAUGAAUUUACAAAGAUUGAAGUGAAGAUAAAAAAUGGAGUCAUAAUUCAAGCAUAAUGAUUGGAAACAAUUGGUGUCCAAACCAAGCAAGGUAUGAAGUUCAUUCAUAAUAUUUUAUUUAUUCUUGAUUUAGACUAAAAUUUAUUAAGUCUUGGACAACUUUAUGAGUAUAAAUAUGCACUUAAUUUUGAUAAUUAUAAGUGCUGCAUUUAUGAUGAAAAGGAUGAUAGAUAGCUUGUGAUGAAAAUUCAAAUGCAAGCCAAUCGAAAUUUUUCAACUAAAUUUAAUUAUAGGGGAAAUCAAGCCUUGAAAACGUAUGUCAAUACAGAUUCAUGGUUGUGAUACAAGAAGUUUGGCCAUUUUAAAUUUUUCAUAGCCUCAAAGUGCUUCAACAAAGAGGGAUGGCAUAUGACUUAUCAAGAAUUAAAGAGAAACAUAAAAGUUGUGAUGGUUGUGCACUUGGCAAACAACACCGGCAACCAUUUCCUAAAGGAAUUACAUGGCGAGCCAAAAAGAUUUUGAAACUGAUUCAUACCGAUAUUAUAGAUCCAUGAAGAUAACUUGUCAUGGAAGUAACAAGUAUUUCAUCCUUUUCAUUAAUGAUUUUUUAAGAAUGACUUGCGGCGAUUUCAUGAAAGAAAAAUUUGAGAUGUUUUCAAUUUUUAAGAAGUUUAAAAGUCUUGUUGAAAAACAAAGUGAUUGUUACAUCAAGAAGUUGAAGAGUGAUCGUGGCAAGAAGUACACAUCAAAUGCAUUCCAAGAAUUUUCUAAAGAUGAAGGUUUGAAAAGGCAAUUAACUAUUGGCUACAUACCAUAACAAAAUGGAGUUUUGGAAAGAAAGAACCAAACUGUGAUAGAGAUGGCAAAAUCUAUGUUACAUGACAAAAACUUGCCAAAGAAAUUUUGGGUUAAAACCAUUUAUACAGUUGUAUAUUUGUUCAAUCAAAAUCCUACAAAGCUGUAUGGAAUCAAACUCCAAUUGAAGUAUGGAGUGAAAGGAAACCGUCAGUGAAACACUUGAAGGUUUUUUGGAGCAUUUGCUAUACUCAAUUCCAUAAGAAAAGAGGUACAAGUUUGAUGAAAUAAGUGGAAAAUAUAUUUUUGUUGGUUAUAACUCCAAAUCUAAAGGUUAUAGAUUGUUUACUUUGAAGACAAUCGAAAUCAUUAUUAGUCGAGAUGUUGUAUUUGAUGAAAAUGUUGCUUGGAAUUGGGAUGAGAAAAAGAUUGUGAAGCAAGUUGUUUGGCAUCAUGAAGAAGAAGAAAAUUCAACAAAUGAAGAAGAAAAUGGUGAUAAUUCAGCACCAACAAGCAGUCCACCAUCAUCUCUAAGUUCAAGUUCGAGUUCGAGUUUGAGUUCUCCAAACUCAACUCCAAAGAAAACGAGUUAAUAUGUUCCAAUACAGAAAAUGUAAAAACAAAGUUUAAUAAGCGUAUGCAAAUAAAAGGGUGUGGCUCUGAUACCACUUCCAACCCAGGCAAUAUAAACUUGUAAUAAGCAUAAAGAUUUGGACUUACAAUAAAACUUUGAGUUGCGUACGGAAGCUUUGUUGAAUGCAGAAAUCUUUGAACUUUCUUAUUAAAAUUCUGCUUGGGGAAUGCUAUACAAUAGCUUGAAUACAAGAGUGGUUGAGAGUAGUAAGAGUAGGUGAGAGUGGUUGAGAGGUUUUGAUACAAAGGGAUUUUUGCUCUGAUAGCUUUUGCCGAUGCCUUCAUUCUGAAAUCUUGAUUCAAUUUAUAGAGGCUCGGGACUUGUCAUUUGCAUUUCAUUUUUUCUUCAUUUGAAUUUCAUUUGUCUUUUCUCUGUGUGGCCGACAUCUUUUUCAAAAGUCAUUUGGAUCUUGUCCGCAUGGUCCUCCGAAUGGAUCAAAAGUUGAUUCGGAUGAUUCUGCCGACUCAUCAAUUUUGUCGGUUUCUUCUUUUUUAUCUGACUUUUGCAAAUAAUCCAGAUAUUCUUUGAGUAGUCUUGGAUCUUGCAUCAUCUUUUUCAUCAAAAAGUCGUUUGAAGUUGCCUCGGAUACCAUCUCGGUGUCUUUUUCUUUUUCUUUCUUUAUUGGAGUAGUGGUUGGAGUUGGUGCCGUAGGAGUUGGUGAAGACUUUGUUGUAGUAGGUACAAAAGUUGUUGGAGUAGAUGUUGGUUUAGUCCAUUUGAGUUUAUCUCCGGUAGUUAGGAAUCUGAUAACAUUUACUUUGUCUCCAAAUUCUUGGUUGAAUCCUGUCCACCAUUUAACUUUGAAUUCUCUGACUAAUGACAUUGGAAGUGGAUUUUCAAGUUCUUGAUGAAUUUUGAAACUCCAGCAAAAUAUCCACGGGACUUUGAACUCCAUAUGGAAUAAAAUUGGUCUUAUAUAUUCUUCCCCCUUUGCUCUUUUUAGAUACGUUUGAAAUCCCAUAAGCACAUUUGGAGGUAGUAUCUCUGGUUGUGGUCCAAACCAUUUCCACCAGUGAUUGAACCAAAUUGAAAAUUCUCUGUUGCAAUUUUCUUUGAACGUAAAGAACCAUGAAUGAUUGAAUGGUCUAAAAAGGAAGGCACGAUACCAUGUCAUUUUGUAAUCUUGAUAAGUGAAUCCAUCUGGAAUGAACCUUACUGAAAAGGAUUUUUUAGAAUAAAGAGAAGUCCAUUCAUUUGGAGAACAAACUUUCUUUAUUAUGCAUUUUGAGUGGCUAAUUGUAUUUGGAUUUUUUCUGUCUGGAAUUGGGAAUAUUUCUACAGAUUGAGUAUCUGUAAGAAUUAAUUCAUAAUAAUCCAAAUUUUUUGAGGGAUCAUCUGGUUGUCAAAAACACUUUUGAGGAAAGAUUCUUUGGGUAAUUUGAUUAAGUGUAGAAUAUAGAGGUACUUCUUGAAAUCUGGUUAGAGUAAUGCGUUGGGUAAAUGGCUUUGUAAAAUAAGUAUUUUCAUUGGAUUUUUCUGGGGUCUUUGGAAUCUGUUGAAGAGGUUUUUGAGAAGAAGUUGGAGUACAAGCAGCUUGACUAUAAGUCAAUGCUGGAAAAUCUGAUAAGAGUUGGAAUCGGUUUUGAGUAACAGGAGUAAGACUCAUCUCAUAAUCUUGAGGAGUCUUUGGCCUUGAAUUUCUUGCUUUUGAAUCCAUAAUCCUGCAAUAUUAAUAAACAAUAUCUUUGAGUUGGUCAGAUAAUUGCUUAUUUUGUUUUCUGUGAUAUUGAAUGAAUUCCUCACUUCUCUCAAUUCUUUUCAUAACUUUGAUUCGAAUGGUAUUUCUCUGAAUCUCUCUUUGAAUAAGAAAGGCUUUUUCUUGAGGAGUAAUAGUAGUGUAUGGGCUUUUUCGAAUGUAUAUAGUGUCAUAUUUAGGAAUUUGAUGAGCUGGAAUAGUUUGUCUGCCAUAGAUGGUUUGGGCAAAAUAUUGAUAUCCUCUGGAUUGGAUAUCUUUUUCUUUGUUUUGGAGUGUGGGAGAAUCCCUUUGAGUUCUCAAGUAAUUGGUAUAUUCUCGUUCUUCUCUUUGAGUCAUCAUUUCACGAUCCAUGUUCUUGUAGCAAUUCUCUAGUAAGAAAAUCUGGUAAAGAAUUAUUUUCUCCUUUGAUAAAUUCUAUUUCAAAAUCAAAUACAGAUAAAAUAGCUUGCCAUCUAGCAAAUAUUUGUUUUGAAACUAUAUUUUGAACAUCUUUUUGUAAAAUUUCUUUGGCAGAUUUACAAUCUAUUCUAAUUAAAAAUUUUUUAUUAUAUAAAUCAUCUUGAAAUUUUGAUAUACAUCAAACUAUAGAUAGAAUUUCUUUUUUAAUGGUUGAAUAAUUUUUUUGAGGAUCAGACCAUGUUCCUGAAUGAAAUCUAACUAAUUCUUCUUUUGACUUUUCUAUUCUUUGUUUUAAUAUUCCUCCAUAUGCUAAUUCUGAUGCAUCUGUUUCAACUAUCAUGAAUGAUUUAGGAUGAGGUAAACAUAGACAUGGUAAUGAUUCAAUCUUUUCUUUUAAAUAUUUUAUUUUUUGAGUAUGUUCCCCUGUCCAAGGUUUUGGAUUUUUCUUUAAUCUGUUAAAUAAUAUAGAACAUUCUUGUCUUAAUUUAGGAAAGAAAUCUGAUAUAUAAUUUAAACAUCCUAGAAAUCUUUGUAGUUGAUUUUUAUCUUUUAUUUCAUUUGGAAAUUUAGUAGCAAAUUCUAAAGCUCUAUUUAUUGGUUUUAUUGUUCCUUGAUAUAUAUUAUGUCCUAAAAAUCUUAUUUUUGUUUGAAAUAAUUUCAUUUUUGGAGCAGAAACAACUAAUCCAUUUUUCUUAACUAUUUUUAAAAAUAUACUUAAAUGUUUAAAAUGUUAUUCUAUUGAUUCGGAAAAUAUUAAUAUAUCGUCUAUAUAGACUAUACUGAAUGAACUAUAUGGAUUAAAAAUUUCAUUCAUUAUAUUUUGAAAUUCUGAUGGGGCAUUUUUUAAUCCAAAUGGCAUAACUUUCCAUUCAUAAUGUCCAAAAGGUGUUGUAAAUGCUGUUUUAUAUCUAUCUUUUGGGUCUAUAAUGAUUUGCCAAUAUCCUGAUUUUAAAUCAAAUUUUGAGAAGAUUUUUGCAUUAAAUAAUCUAUUAAGCAAAUCUUUUUUAUUAGGAAUAGGAUAUCUAAUCCAUUGUAAAACUUUGUUUAAAGGUUUAUAGUUUAUUACUAGUCUUGGAACUCCUCGUUCUUUUUCAGCUUAAUUCAUUACAUAAAAAGCAGCACAGCUCCAAGGUGAUUUUGAAGGAGUUAUUAAUCCUUUAUCUAUUAAUAUUUUUAUUUCCUUUUUACAAAAUUCCAAUAAAUCAAAAUUCAUUUGUAUUGGUCUAACUUUUGUUGGAAUAUUUUUUUCAUUAAAAUCUUUUUCAUAAGGUAAUUCUAUCAUAUGUUGUUUUCUAUCCCAAAAGGCAUUAGGAAUAUCUGCACAAAUUUCCUUUUGUAAUAAUUCUUCUAGUUCUGAUAUUCUUUUUUGUAAUUUAAUUUCUUUCAAUUGUUCUUCAAUUUUUAAAUAAGAUUUUUCCUCCUUAAUAUAACUUAUAUGUUGUUUUACUUUUGUAAUAGUAUUUAUUGUUUUAUAAAUAGAAGAGGCUUGUAAGGUUUGUAACUCUUUUGUCUCAUUGAAGUUAAAAAUUUAAAAGUAAUAAUUUUUCACAUUAUAUUUAUUGAAAUUCCUUCAUGGCUUACUAGAAAUGGAUAUAUUUGAAUUAAAAAAGGUGUUCCUAAUAUUACAUCAUGAUUUAUAUUUUUUACAACUAUAAAAUUAUGUUUAAUACAAUAUUCAUUGUUACAUAUUGAUCCUUUUGUAAAUUUAUAUUUUAGUUGUAAAUUUUCUCCAUUUGCUGCCAUUAAUGUUUCUUUUGUUCAUUCACAAUAUUUAGUAGGAAUUAUUCCUUCUUUAAUGCAACUUACGUCAGCUCCACUAUCUAUUAGAGCUACAAAGGUUUCUUUGAAAUCUUCUACUGUAAUAGUGACUAAAGCAAACCAUUUUUGAAAUGUUAUUUUUUCUAUAAUGUUUAAAUAUUGAGAUUCUUCAACCGAUUUUUCUGAUAUUAAUAUUUCUUCUAUUUUAGAAUUAGAAGUUGAAGGUUGAUUAUUUGUUAAUGCUAUUUUUUAUUCUAUUUCCAAAUCUUUUAAUUUUAAUUCUAUUAUUUCUUGUUGUAAUUGUUUUACCUGUAUUUUAAGAUUAUUAAUUUCUGUUUGAAGAUCUUUAGCAGUUUCCUUUUUCAUUAUAUUUAUAUUAGGAUAUUUGUCUAUUAAUUUAGAAAUACUGAAAGGUUCUAUUAUCUUAGGCAUUUUGUCUUCUUGAAUAAUUAAACUUUUUAAUCUUUCUAAAUAUUCCUUUUUUGCUAUUGGAUCUUCAAUUUUAUCUAUUAUAUCUAAUAAGAAUUCUUUAUCUUCUUUUUUAGUUAUAACAUUUAUAUAUUUUGGUGUACAAUUACAAUUUUCUUCACUUUCGAAACUAGAUUUAUCAUCAUAAUAAUCUUCUUCAGAAUUAUUAUCUUGUUCAUUUAUUAAUAGAUUUAUUAAUUUAUUUUUAAUUUCUUCUUCGUGUGCACAAAUUUCUGUGAUUUUUUCUUUUAAUUUACAUUUGUUUGCUUUAUGACCUAAUUUUCCACAUUUAUAACAAACAAUUUUCUUAAUAAAUUUUUUCUUCUUAGUUGGUUCAUUUUCCUUAGGUUUUUUAUAUCUUAUUUUCUUAGAAUAUUUUUUAACUUUCUUUUUGUAUGCUGAUGGGGACUUAAUUCUUUUAAUUCCAAAUGCAUCACAGAAUGAUCCUACUUCUUUUCUUUUUGAUCCAUAUUUUAUUUGUAAUCUUAAUUCUGAACAUAACAUUAAUCCUUCUUUUUUCACAAAAGCAAAUAAUUGUCCAAAAGUAAUAUUUUCGAAGGAAACGACAUCUGUUCCCAUUUCUUUUUGUAGAUUAUCCAUUAUUCUUUGAGAAAAUAAAUUUGGUAAUCCAGUUAUGAAUCUUUCUUUCCAGAAUGAUGCAUUACAAUCUGGUCUUCUUAAUACAUUUGUUAAAAACAUAUCUUUAUACCAUCUAAAGUCUGAUAAUGUUGGACAUCUUAAAUUUGUUAAAAAGGUUUUAUUAGAAUUCAAUUCUUCUUUUGGAUUUCCUAUAAAGUACAUGACUAUUGUUACAAUUAAAAAUUCUGCAGCAUCUGAUUGUAUUUGAAUAUUUCCUUGAUCAUCUUCUAUUUCUUGUGUAUGAUCUAAUAUUGAUAAUUUAUCUUGUAAUGUUAAAGCAUUAUCCCACCAAUUUUUUAAUUGUCUAGUAAAUCCUGAGACUAAUAGAGUUGCAAUAUUUCUUUCCUGAAUAUUUUUAAUUUUAUAAGCUAAUCUAGCCAUUCCUAUUUCCUGCAAAUUAUUUAAUACUUCAUAUUCAGCUUUGCCAUCUAUGUUCCAUUCAUAAAUUGAAUCUCCAUCAUAUUUAGUAGUUCUAAAUUUUGAUCUUUCUUCAUAUUGAAUAUCCGGAGGACUUGGUCUAGGAUAAUAAUUUUUUGAACUUACCAUCUUCCAUUCAUUUCUUUUAUUAUAAUUUUUUCUUUUUAUUUUAUUUAUUUGAUUUCCUUCUGUUUCUUCAAAUUGAUUUUCUAUUGGUAGAAUUAUAUCUUCUUCUUCUUCUUCUGAUUCUGUUGAUUUUUCAGAUAUAUCUUCUAUUUCUUCAGUUGAAUUUUCUUCUGUUAUUCUAUCUAAUGUAUUUAUUUUUGGAGUUGAAAGUUUAGAUUCUGUGGUUAAGUUUUGUAAAGCUUGAGAUAUUUUAUUUAAUAAAUUAUCUGUAGUAUUUAUUUUUUGACUAUUAAUAUCUUGUACUAAGUCUUGAUUUUUUCUCUUGUCAGGCUUCUAGGUUUAAAAUGGGGUGCUGAAAUAUCAUUUGGGAAUUUUAAUUCUGGUUUCUUUAUUGUAUCUAUUUUAGUAUUUAAUACUUCUAUAUGUUGUGAUAUUGUAUGAAGAAUUUGAUUUGUAUAAUUAUUUUGUUGAUAAACUUUUUUAAGAUCUUCUAAAUUUAUUGAAUUAUUUGUACUUGAUUCUGCUUCUCUUCCCUUCUUAAAAGGUGAGGCAAUUAUUUCUCCUUGUCCUAUAUUAAUUUUUACUUCUUGUAAUGGGGGGUGUAUUGAGGUUAUUAUCUGUUCAUCUUUUAACUUCCAUUUUUUAUAUAGAUUAGUUUGAACAUUUAUUUGGGAUGUAUUAUAUAUAUCAUUUAUUCCUAAUUUUAAAGUAUAAAAUGAUAACCAAGUAAAGAAAGGAAAAUCAAACUUUUGUUUGUCUAAUUCAUUUUUCCAUUCUAUUAUUAAUUUUUCUUUAUAUUCUGAUUCUAAUUGAAAAAACCAAAUUCUUUUUUCUGUGUUUUCUUCAUCUUCAAAAUCUUCUUGUAAAUACUUAUGGUUUAUUUUAUAUGGUUUGUUUAUAACAUUUAUUUCUCCUUUCAUUUGUGAAUGAGUUGGGAAAUAAUCUGAUUGAUUUUGAUUUAUAACUUCUGGUAUAGGUGUUUUAUAUUUAAAAUUUGAGGUACUUUCCAUUGGAAAAUUAACUUCAGUUGACUCAUAAUUUGAACGUCUAGCUGGUAACCAAGAAUAUGAUGAUUCUGGUCUUUCUCUUAAGGAUGAAAAUCUUAUUAAAGUACUUCCAUCUGAUUUUUCUAUAAUAUCUUCUGCCGUAGUCUGUUCUAUAUUUCUUGCUAUUUGUGGAUUUUUAAUUUCAAAUUCACUAGGUAUAGUUAUUUCAUUCCACUUUAGUCUUUUUGGAGUGUAAGUUGUAGGUUUAUCUGCAUCUACUUGUAAUAAAGUUGUUUCGUCUUUAAGAGUUGGAGUCAUUAUAAAUUUAGGAUUUAAAUGAGAAGACAAAGGUCUAUAAUAUAUUCUAUAUAUUAUUGCAAAAUUCUUUGUAUAUUUUUCAAAUUUAUUUCCUUGCAUAUGAAUAUCUAAUAUGACUGAAUUCAAGAUGUGUGGAUCUGUUAAAUCUAUGGAAAAAUUUGGAGUACAAUUAAAAUAUAUUGGUCCAUUACAAACAUUUGUUUGAAUCAUUGAUAAUAAAGAAGUUUUAAAUCGUUUGAGUCUAGUAUCUCUUAAUGCUAAAUAUAUUGGAGCAUCUACUCCUAGAUGGAAUAAAGGUUUUACGGCUAUUUGUAUCAAACCUAUAUGAAUAUAUCGAUAUCCUUUACUUAAAUAUUUUUGAAUUGUACUAUGAUUUAAUAGUUGAAUAGGUUGAUAUUCUUCUUGGAUAGAAAUUGUUUCUUCAUGUGUUUUGACUGAUAGAACAGUUUUAAAAUCUAAAGGGCUAAUUCUAUAAAUGUGUUCUAUUUUUUCUUCUGGAAUAGUCCAAUCUGAAUUAUUUAUGGGCAUAUGAUAUUCAUGACUUUGUACUACAUUAUCGUGCUUUGAAUUAGAUCCUAUUUUUAAUUGUCUAAGGAAUGCAGCCAUGUCUAAUAUUUAAUUAAAUUUUACUUAACCGGGAACAACCGAGCACUAGGCCUGGAACAUUCUAUUCUGGACUUACCAACGGUCUUACAAGGCAUCAAGUCUUACCAACGCUUUCAGUAAAAGUUUAAUGAAAUAUAUGAACAUAAAUGCAUGAAUUAGUCAAUUUAAAUAGAAACUUAAUUCAAUACAGAAAAUGUAAAAACAAAGUUUAAUAAGCGUAUGCAAAUAAAAGGGUGUGGCUCUGAUACCACUUCCAACCCAGGCAAUAUAAACUUGUAAUAAGCAUAAAAAUUUGGACUUACAAUAAAACUUUGAGUUGCGUACGGAAGCUUUGUUGAAUGCAGAAAUCUUUGAACUUUCUUAUUAAAAUUCUGCUUGGAGAAUGCUAUACAAUAGCUUGAAUACAAGAGUGGUUGAGAGUAGUAAGAGUAGGUGAGAGUGGUUGAGAGGUUUUGAUACAAAGGGAUUUUUGCUCUGAUAGUUUUUUCGGAUGCCUUCAUUCUGAAAUCUUGAUUCAAUUUAUAGAGGCUCGGGACUUGUCAUUUGCAUUUCAUUUUUUCUUCAUUUGAAUUUCAUUUGUCUUUUCUCUGUGUGGCCGACAUCUUUUUCAAAAGUCAUUUGGAUCUUGUCCGCAUGGUCCUCCGAAUGGAUCAAAAGUUGAUUCGGAUGAUUCUGCCGACUCAUCAAUUUUGUCGGUUUCUUCUUUUUUAUCCGACUUUUACAAAUAAUCCAGAUAUUCUUUGAGUAGUCUUGGAUCUUGCAUCAUCUUUUUCAUCAAAAAGUCGUUUGAAGUUGCCUCGGAUACCAUCUCGGUGUCUUUUUCUUUUUCUUUCUUUAUUAGAGUAGUGGUUGGAGUUGGUGCCGUAGGAGUUGGUGAAGACUUUGUUGUAGUAGGUACAAAAGUUGUUGGAGUAGAUGUUGGUUUAGUCCAUUUGAGUUUAUCUCCGGUAGUUAGGAAUCUGAUAACAUUUACUUGGUCUCCAAAUUCUUGGUUGAAUCCUGUCCACCAUUUAACUUUGAAUUCUCUGACUAAUGACAUUGGAAGUGGUUUUUCAAGUUCUUGAUGAAUUUUGAAACUCCAGCAAAAUAUCCACGGGAUUUUGAACUCCAUAUGGAAUAAAUUUGGUCUUGUAUAUUCUUCCCCCUUUGCUCUUUUUAGAUACGUUUGAAAUCCCAUAAGCACAUUUGGAGGUAGUAUCUCUGGUUGUGGUCCAAACCAUUUCCACCAGUGAUUGAACUAAAUUGGAAAUUCUCUGUUGCAAUUUUCUUUGAACGUGAAGAACCAUGAAUGAUUGAAUGGUCUAAAAAAGAAGGCACGAUACCAUGCCAUUUUGUAAUCUUGAUAAGUGAAUCCAUCUGGAAUGAACCUUACUGAAAAGGAUUUUUUAGAAUAAAGAGAAGUCCAUUCAUUUGGAGAACAAACUUUCUUUAUUAUGCAUUUUGAGUGGCUAAUUGUAUUUGGAUUUUUUCUGUCUGGAAUUGGAAAUAUUUCUACAGAUUGAGUAUCUGUAAGAAUUAAUUCAUAAUAAUCCAAAUUUUUUGAGGGAUCAUCUGGUUGCCAAAAACACUUUUGAGGAAAGAUUCUUUGGGUAAUUUGAUUAAGUGUAGAAUAUAGAGGUACUUCUUGAAAUCUGGUUAGAGUAAUGUGUUGGGUAAAUAGCUUUGUAAAAUAAGUAUUUUCAUUGAAUUUUUCUGGGGUCGUUGGAAUUUGUUGAAGAGGUUUUUGAGAAGAAGUUGGAGUACAAGCAGCUUGACUAUAAGUCAAUGCUGGAAAAUCUGAUAAGAGUUGGAAUCGAUUUUGAGUAACAGGAGUAAGACUUAUCUCAUAAUCUUGAGGAGUCUUUGGCCUUGAAUUUCCUGCUUUUGAAUCCAUAAUCCUGCAAUAUUAAUAAACAAUAUCUUUGAGUUGGUCAGAUAAUUGCUUAUUUUGUUUUCUGUGAUAUUGAAUGAAUUCCUCACUUCUCACAAUUCUUUUCAUAACUUUGAUUCGAAUGGUAUUUCUCUGAAUCUCUCUUUGAAUAAGAAAGGCUUUUUCUUGAGGAGUAAUAGUAGUGUAUGGGCUUUUUCGAAUGUAUAUAGUGUCAUAUUUAGGAAUUUGAUGAGCUGGAAUAGUUUGUCUACCAUAGCUGGUUUGGGCAAAAUAUUGAUAUCCUCUGGAUUGGAUAUCUUUUUCUUUGUUUUGGAGUGUGGGAGAAUCCCUUUGAGUUCUCAAGUAAUUGGUAUAUUCUCGUUCUUCUCUUUGAGCCAUCAUUUCACGAUCCAUGUCCUUGUAGAAAUUCUCUAGUAAGAAAAUCUGGUAAAGAAUUAUUUUCUCCUUUGAUAAAUUCUAUUUCAAAAUCAAAUACAGAUAAAAUAGCUUGCCAUCUAGCAAAUAUUUGUUUUGAAACUAUAUUUUGAACAUCUUUUUGUAAAAUUUCUUUCGCAGAUUUACAAUCUAUUCUAAUUAAAAAUUUUUUAUUAUAUAAAUCAUCUUGAAAUUUUGAUAUACAUAAAACUAUAGAUAGAAUUUCUUUUUUAAUGGUUGAAUAAUUCUUUUGAGGAUCAGACCAUGUUCAUGAAUGAAAUCUAACUAAUUAAUUCAUAAUAAUCCAAAUUUUUUGAGGGAUCAUCUGGUUGCCAAAAAUACUUUUGAGGAAAGAUUCUUUGGGUAAUUUGAUUAAGUGCAGAAUAUAGAGGUACUUCUUGAAAUCUGGUUAGAGUAUUGAGUUCAAGAAUUGACGGAAUCCUUGAAAGCUCAUGAGAGAAGGUUGGCUAGACAUGCUGAAAAAUUUGUUGAAAGUGCUUUCCAAUUGAAACUGAGUUUUAGCCCCAAAACCAAUGAACGAGAGCUAUCUUGUAACUACCAAAGAGGUGGAGACUCGCAAAGAGGAGGGUAGAUAUGGCCGUGGAAAAGGCAGAGGCAGAAAUUCAAGAGGAAGAGGAAGAAACAAUCUUCAAAGAUGCCUUAAUGUUGAAAAUUCAUAAACUUGUAGCUGUUGUGGCAAAAUCAAUCACCUUGAGAAAGAUUAUUGGCACAACGACAAGCUAAAGUACUACUAUUGCAAGAGAUUUGACCAUAUUGAGAAGGAUUGAAGAUUCAGGACCAAUCAUCAACUACAAUUUCAGAAGACAAGCAAGGAGCAAAAAACUUAUUCUAUGCUUGUCACAUGGCCACUAAGGUCAAGAAUAAUACAUGGUAUUUUAACAGCAGUUGUAGCAAUUAUAUAACAAGAGAUAAAUCUAUUUUUGUUGACUUGGAUGAAUUUACAAAGAUUGAAGUGAAGAUAAAAAAUGGAGUCAUAAUUCAAGCACAAUGAUUGGAAACAAUUGGUGUCCAAACCAAGCAAGGUAUGAAGUUCAUUCAUAAUAUUUUAUUUAUUCUUGAUUUAGACCAAAAUUUAUUAAGUCUUGGACAACUUUAUGAGUAUAAAUAUGCACUUAAUUUUGAUAAUUAUAAGUGCUGCAUUUAUGAUGAAAAGGAUGAUAGAUAGCUUGUGAUGAAAAUUCAAAUGCAAGCCAAUCGAAAUUUUUCAACUAAAUUUAAUUAUAGGGGAAAUCAAGCCUUGAAAACGUAUGUCAAUACAGAUUCAUGGUUGUGAUACAAGAAGUUUGGCCAUUUUAAAUUUUUCAUAGCCUCAAAGUGCUUCAACAAAGAGGGAUGGCAUAUGACUUAUCAAGAAUUAAAGAGAAACAUAAAAGUUGUGAUGGUUGUGCACUUGGCAAACAACACCGGCAACCAUUUCCUAAAGGAAUUACAUGGCGAGCCAAAAAGAUUUUGAAACUGAUUCAUACCGAUAUUAUAGAUCCAUGAAGAUAACUUGUCAUGGAAGUAACAAGUAUUUCAUCCUUUUCAUUGAUGAUUUUUUAAGAAUGACUUGCGGCGAUUUCAUGAAAGAAAAAUUCGAGAUGUUUUCAAUUUUUAAGAAGUUUAAAAGUCUUGUUGAAAAACAAAGUGAUUGUUACAUCAAGAAGUUGAAGAGUGAUCGUGGCAAGAAGUACACAUCAAAUGCAUUCCAAGAAUUUUCUAAAGAUGAAGGUUUGAAAAGGCAAUUAACUAUUGGCUACAUACCAUAACAAAAUGGAGUUUUGGAAAGAAAGAACCAAACUGUGAUAGAGAUGGCAAAAUCUAUGUUACAUGACAAAAACUUGCCAAAGAAAUUUUGGGUUGAAACCAUUUAUACAGUUGUAUAUUUGUUCAAUCAAAAUCCUACAAAGCUGUAUGGAAUCAAACUCCAAUUGAAGUAUGGAGUGAAAGGAAACCGUCAGUGAAACACUUGAAGGUUUUUUGGAGCAUUUGCUAUACUCAAUUCCAUAAGAAAAGAGGUACAAGUUUGAUGAAAUAAGUGGAAAAUAUAUUUUUGUUGGUUAUAACUCCAAGUCUAAAGGUUAUAGAUUGUUUACUUUGAAGACAAUCGAAAUCAUUAUUAGUCGAGAUGUUGUAUUUGAUGAAAAUGUUGCUUGGAAUUGGGAUGAGAAAAAGAUUGUGAAGCAAGUUGUUUGGCAUCAUGAAGAAGAAGAAAAUUCAACAAAUGAAGAAGAAAAUGGUGAUGAUUCAGCACCAACAAGCAGUCCACCAUCAUCUCUAAGUUCAAGUUCGAGUUCGAGUUUGAGUUCUCCAAACUCAACUCCAAAGAAAAUGAGGAGUUUGAGUGAUGUUUAUGCAAGAUGCAAUUUUUGCAUUCUUGAACCAGAAAAUUAUGAAGAAACAUAUGCAAAAAAGAAUUGGAAAAAGAUAAUGGAAGAUGAAAUUUAUGCAAUCGAGAAAAAUGAGAUUUGGAAACUAGUUGAAAAGUUUCAAGACAAGGAGAUCAUUGGUGUCAAGUGGAUUUACAAAGUCAAACUGAAUUUGAAUGGUUCAAUCCAAAAGAAGAAGGUAAGACUUGUUGCUAAGGGUUAUUCAUAGCAGUUCGGGAUUGACUACAAUGAAACAUUUGCACCGGAUGUAAGAUUUGAUAUAAUUAGAGCUCUAAUUGCCGUGGUAACCCAAAAAGGUUGGAAUCUCUAUCAACUUGGUGUUAAAUCUGCCUUUUUGAAUGGAGAAUUGAAGGAAGAGAUCUAUGUUCAACAAUUUCAAGGUUUUGUCAAAGAAGGACAAGAAGACAAAGUGUAUAAGUUGAAGAAAACAUUGUAUAGAUUAAAACAAGCUCCAAGGGUUUGGUAUAGCCAAAUUGAUUCUUACUUUAUGGAGUAAGGAUUCAAGAAGAGUAAAAGUGAGCCAACCUUAUAUGUGAAAACUCAAGGUAACUCAAACAUUCUCAUUGUUGCUUUAUAUGUUGAUGAUUUGCUUUACACCAGUAACAAUAAAAAGAUGAUUGCUGAUUUUAAGAAAGACAUGAUGAAACGAUAUGAACUGAAUGAUAGGGGACAACUACAUCAUUUUCUUGGUAUGGAGAUUUAUCAAUAUGAUGAUGGAGUCUUUAUUUGUCAAAAGAAAUAAGCUGAAAUUUGGCAUGGCUUGUGAAAUUCUUGUGAAAUUUGGCAUGGCUAAUUGUAAACUUAUAGCCACACCACUUAUUGUAAGUGAAAAACUUGUCAAAGAAGAUGGUGAAAAGAAAGUUGAUUCUAUUUUAUAUAAAAGUUUGGUAGAAAUUUUGUUUUAUCUCACAGCUACAAGGCCGGAUAUCUUAUUUGCUUCAAGUUUAUUGUGAAGAUUUAUGCACAAUCGCACUCAAUUAUAUCUUGGAGCAGCCAAGAGAGUGUUAAAAUGCAUCAAAGGGACACUUAACUACGGCAUCAAAUUCAGCAAAGCCACUUCUUUAAAUUUGCAUGAUUAUUGUGAUAGUGAUUGGGGUGGAUGCCUUGAUGGUAUGAAGAGUACCUCAGGCUAUUGUUUUUCACUUGAUUCUGGAGUAUUUUCUUGAGCAUCAAAGAAGUAACAAAGCAUGGUACAAUCAUCCACUGAAUCUGAAUAUGUGUCUGCAAGUUUGGCAACAUCACAAACCAUUUGACUUAGGAGAAUUCUUGAAAACAUUGGUGAGAAGCAAAAGGAAGCUACGAUGAUGUUUUAUGAUAACAAAUCAGCAAUUGACAUUGCCAAAGAUCCAAUUUAUCAUAGUCGAACUUGCCAUAUUACUAUCAAACACCAUUUUAUUUGAGACGCAAUUGAAGAUAGUGAAGUUGAACAAAAAUUUUGCAAGAGUGAAGACCAAGUUGUAGACAUCUUUACCAAGGCACUUCUAAAAGACAAGUUCAACUAUUUUCGAGAGAUGCUUGGAGUUCAAGAACAACACAUUAAGGGGGGAAUAUGUUGAAUAAUGUACCGAAUCAAUUAGUUGAUUAAUUACUUAGUAAAUGAGAUAGUUGGAAUGUUCUCUAUGUAUCUAGAAGGUUGAAAAUUAAGAAAGUUGUUGGUAAGUAUGGUUGGAAAUCCUUCCUAUGUAUCUAGAAUGAUCAUUUACAACUAUAAAUUGACCUUGUAAGCUCCAAAGCAAUACAACAAAAGAGUGAAAGAAAUAAAAAGAAAGAAAUAAUUGAAGCUACCCUUGUUUCCAAAUAUUCUCAAUUCUUGGUCUAAUAUCCGACAAAAAGACAAAAAAUUAAGCAAAAUCUAAACAUCCUCUAAAAGCCAAAAAUAAAUUGUAAAUUCAAGAAGUGGCACCAGAUUAUGCAGCUAGUCGGUGAAAUGGUAGUAGUCCUUGGCUAACUGAGGUGGCUCCGUGGCAGACUCACGAUAGACUGCUCACGGAUUCACGACAGUAAGUGGCAGUGCAUCCUUAAACUCUAACAACAACAAAUCCUAAUGAACCGAUGGUGGUGAGGUGGUGGAUGGAUUGAGUGAGUUGGUUUGGGUGCGAAAACUGGGAAGCUAACGCUUGCGAGCCGCAAUGCUGUGGAAGACAAGAAGAGGAGAUAAAACUAGGGCAAUGCCGCAACGGGAAGUCAACACUAGGGCAGCAAUGGCCAAUAUCCUCCCUGAUUGGUGAUGGUGGUGAGACGGUGGAUGGAUUGGUGAUUUGGUGUGAAGGAAGAGGUGGCUGUGAGUGGUGGAAAAGGGAAGAGAAAAAUUAGGGUAGCAAUAGGAAUCCUCGUUUGGGAAUUGAAAUUUAGGAGUAAUUAUCAUAUACACAGUGAAAUGACAAUAAUGCCCCUAUAUUUCGAGCCUGUUGAGUAAUUCGCAAGUUGUGCUUAACUCGGCUCGGCUCGUUUCAUAAAUGAGUACAUAUAAAACUCGAACUUGACUCGUUUACUGAGAAGAACGAGUUGAGUCGAACCCUUAACAAACUGGGUUGAGCUCGACUUGCGAGCUAUCCGGUUUGAUUAACAACUCUAUCAAAAACCCAUUGUCAUUGAGGGGCCUUUUGAUAGUGAUUAUCAUUAUCAUUUCCAAGUAACAACAAAACAGGUGGUAAGUUUUUGCAAUGAUUUUGAAAGUAAGGUAGGUGAUUCAUGGAAUUUUUUUUUAAAAAAAUAAUACUAAAACACUUUUUAUAAUGUGAUGUAUCUGAUAUAAAAAGAUAGUUGGGAUAUUAAAAAGGUGAUUAAAAAAUAUGUAGGAUGCAAGUAAAUAAUUUUGCAAAUAAUUAUCAAUCUAGACAAACCCAGCAUAUUCUAGAUCAAAUAAACAAAAUUAAACUUCAUUUUUACAAAUGAUGCAAAAAUUAUUACCUACUUAUAGUUUUUGCAUAUAUCCAAAAUUUUCAUUUCUUCAAUAUUUUUGCCAUGAAAUUUAUGAAAAAUUUUCUAUUUCGAUUUCAUUCAUGGGAACAAUUUAAAUCUUUACUCAUAAAACUCUCUUUUUGCUAUUGAUUUUUUUGAACUUUUCUUCUAUCAGUCGUUUGAUUACACACACCUAAAGAAAACUUUUGAUUCCUUACAUAAGACCGUAUAUAUCCAUAUUUUUGUAGUUUCAUUGUAAAAGAACACAAAAUUAAAAAUAGUUUUUAAGUUUUUAACCCCGUUUCUAUUUUAUGUAUUUUUUUUCCUGUUUUAGGGAUGUUUGAGCGCGAGGGUGAUUUCGAAUUUUAUUAUGAUACAUUAUAUUUAUAUAUGUAUAUCCUUUCACUUCUAGACAUGGGCAUCGGAAAAUAAUUCCUUUUUCUUUUACAUGUUGUACAUAGAAUUAAUUUGUUGGCACUAAAUGGGUAAAAAGAAUUAAUUUAUUGCACUAAAUGGGUAAAACUUGUAUAUUUUAAGUUCUUAUUUUUUUAUUAAUUAUAAUAUAUAUAUGAGGAGUUUUGAUUUGGUAAGUCUAGAAUAUUUGUUCAUUAGAGUGCUAGAGUUUUUAUUAUUAAAGUCAACUUGUAGGAGUUAUCCUCUUUAGAUGAGAAAGAUCAUAGUGUAUGAUUUAGUUGGAAAAACCAAUACAAAUAUCAUUCUAAAUGUAAUAUAAGAUUCAAGAACAAUUUCAUGAUUAUGAGCCAGGUUACAAUUACUUGAACUAAGCGCAAGAUUCAGGAACAAUUUCAUGAUUACGAGCCAGGCUACAAUUACUUGAACUAAGUGCAAGACAGUUUAUACCAUGAAGUGUGAAAUUUGAUAAUUGAAGACAUAAAGUUAGAAUUAACAAUAAUUGAGAGGUGCAUAUCGCAAUUACCGUCAUAUGAGACCUGUAAGGUUUUUAGGCCCCAAGAACAAGGGGCCCAUAAGCUGUGCACCGUUCUUAUUUCUUAAUCAUGAACAUCACCAAAUAAUAAAAGUUUGAGGGCAGAAACUAAAAUUAUUACGUAGUUCCACACCACUUUUUAGGGUAUAUUUAACAAUUGAGGAACUUUGAGGGCAUAAAUAGAAUUAGUACCUAAUAUCGCAUCAUCCAGUUUCCCAUUCCAAAUGAACACCCGAACCGCCUCUACCAUUUGCUCAAAGUCCCACACGCAGUCACACACUUGCUAUAUAAACUCAGUACUUCAUCUUUCUCUGCUAUAUUUACUUCCCAAUAACGAAGUGGAGAGCAGUGGGAGAAGGGAUUAGGCUAAUUUUUCUCAUAUUCCACUCUCUAUUUUGUUUCUUUAUUGUUUUCAGUUCUUGAUAAAAUGGUAGGAAAAGCUGUAAUUUCUGACGACGAAGGUAAAUAUGAUUUCUUUUUUCUUUCUGGCGAAAACAAUCGAUGUUUUUUGAAGAAAAAUUUGUGCUUAGUUCGGAAGAAACAAAUUUUUUUUAAUGAUUUUUGAUUGGGUUAUCCAUUAUUUGUGAAGAUGAGGUUGGAAUCGAGGAAGAAGAGAGGGAUGAAGAGCCCGAGGACGGGGAGAGAAUAGGCCGCGGCCACGACGACGAUGAGGAGGACGAAGAUGAAGGUACGCCGUCAGAUUGUAUUUGUUGUAGUUGUAUACUCGUUUUUCCUUUUAACCUUCUUCGGCUCGUUUCUAGCCUGGAAAAUAUUGGUCCUUUUGUUUGGGGGAUUUUAGGGUUUUGAUGAUUGAUUUUGGAGUUUUUGUGCAAUGGGCUGAAUGGGCAUUUGUAUUUGGCGUUUUUUUUUAGUGAAAUGUUGAUUUGGAGGCUUGCUGAUGUUUGAUUAUGGAUUUUACUUGCAUGUUGUUGAAUUUUUCCCCUCCUAUUUGUGCUUAUUUUCAUUGUUUCUUUUCUAUUAUUUACUUUAGAAUUUUGUUCAGGAAUUUCACCGUAAUCUAUUGCUUGGGAGAUUUGGGAGAAUAAUAACAAUCUUCGAAAGAAGCUUGGUUAACAUUAUUAUGUACUUGGAUGAUAAUUACUUCAUGGAAUAUCUGAAUGAGUAGUUGUAGACCAAAUUGUGAUGGAAAAUGCAUAGUGUUGGAUACUAAGUAAAACUUCAAAAAAAAAAUUCAGGAUCUCAUAACGGUAGUGAUUUGGUGUUAUUGUGCUUUAAUAACAAACUUUGUUGUGCUAAUUGUGAUUGAUUGAAGACUAGGUAAGCUCUAUCUCAAUCUCCUGUUGUCCCUUAGAGAAUUUGCAAUGUGCCAUAUGCUUCUUCUGUUUAAGGAGUUUCUUUUCUCUGUUUUGUUGAGCAGAGGAAGGUCAGGAUGAGUAUGAGGAUGAUGGGUUUAUAGUUAGCGAUGUUGAAGAAGAGCAGGAAGAGGAGGAAGACGAUAGGGCUGAUGAUGGUGCGGAGAGACAAAAGAAGAAGAAACGCAAGAAAAGGUUAGCUUCUUCAUCUUCUCUCUGUGUUUUCGUGGUGCUUGUUAUAUGAUAGUAGUAAAGCUGUUUUUUUUUUCUGGAUAAGGAAAGGAAAAAAGAAACAGUUAUCUGAUGUUUUUACUCUUAACUCUAGGGAGUCAGAGAGGAAUUAUGUUCUUGACGAAGAUGACUAUGAGCUCCUUCAAGAGAGCAAUAUUACGGUUCCUCGACCAAAGCUUGUAAUGCCCCUUUCUUACAUUGUUUUUCCUUGCAAUGCAUUAAAAGCAUUGGCAAACAGUUUCUAAAGCUUAAAUUCUAUCAGGAGAGCAAGAAGUUCAAGCGACUGAAGAAAGCACAGAGGGACACAGCAGAAGAGCAUUCUGGGUUUUCCGAUGGGGAAGAGUUUGAUGAGACAGGGAGGAGGGGAAGAACUGCUGAAGAAAAGCUCAAACGCAGCUUGUUUGGUGAUGAUGAUGGUAUAAUUAGUCAUCUUGAUUUGUAUUCAUGGUGAUGGUGGUGAAUUCUUAUGAAAUAUUUCAGGACAACCGCUUGAGGAUAUUGCUGAAGAGGAGCAACUGGAAGAGGAGGAUGAGGCAGAUAUGGGUGAGGAGGAUGAGAUGGCUGAUUUUAUUGUUGAUGAGGAAGACAGCUAUGAUGAACAUGGAGCGCCCGUGAGGUAAAUCUCUGCCAUAGAUCAAUUUUGAUAAUUGGUCUUUUUAUUUCUAACUACUAAAGGUUUCUUGAACUUUAUCUUAUUGGUUUGAUAUAGAAGGAAGAAGGUUAACAAAAAGAAGGCCCGGCAGGCACCAGGAGUUUCAUCAACUGCUCUCCAGGAGGCACAUGAAAUUUUUGGUGAUGUUGAGGAGCUCUUGAGGCUUCGCAAGCAAGGUUUGGUAAAGAUGAGCAGGCAUGAUGAUUCUGGUGAGUGGAAGGAGCGAAGGCUGGAAGAUGAAUUUGAGCCUAUCAUCCUGUCUGAGAAGUAUAUGACCGAGAAAGAUGACCGGAUACGUGAAAUAGAUAUCCCUGAAAGAAUGCAGGUUUUUUUUUUGCCUUUUAGAUGGUAUUUUGAAUGUAUGUUACUGGUCUUUUUUUUAACCAUCUUCUCGCAUCUGUAGGUAUCAGAGGAAAGCACUGGUCCUCCUCCCACAGAUGAGGUAGAUGAUGAGAGUUCGUGGAUACUUAAUCAGCUUGGUAAUGGUGUGUUACCUCUGUCUAUGAAAGGACGAACAGAUACGAAUGAGGCUUCUAACGAGCCCCCAAUAGACAAGAAUCACAUUACAAGAUUCUUGGAGUUGAUGCAUGUCCAGAAAUUAGAUGUAAGCAAGAUUUUGGUUGUAGUGCUGAAUUUUGACAUUACCUGUAUGAACUCUUGAACUGAAUUUUUCUCUCUAUUUUAGGUUCCAUUCAUUGCUAUGUAUAGGAAGGAGGAAUGCUUGAGCCUACUGAAGGAUCCAGAGCAGCCUGAAUCAGACAAUGAUGACCAGAAUAAUUCUGACAAAAAACCUAGCCUGAGGUGGCACAAGGUAUAUGAUCUGCCAUUGAUACUGUACUGGAGUUCAUUUUGAUCUGGUUGAAUGAUUUUAUCGUAUGUACCUGCAGAUGCUUUGGGCCAUCCAAGACUUGGACAAAAAAUGGCUGCUUCUUCAGAAGCGGAAGAGUGCUCUAGAAUCAUACUAUAGUAGACGGUAUGAUGAAGAAUCUCGUAGAGUAUACGAUGAAACUCGAUUAAAUUUAAACCAGCAGCUUUUUGAAUCAAUUACCAAAGCGCUCAAGGCAGCAGAGUCAGACCGAGAGGUUGAUGAUGUUGACUCAAAAUUUAACCUGCAUUUUCCAGCGGGUGAAGUUGGUGCAGAUGAAGGACAAUAUAAGAGGCCAAAGAGGAAAUCACAAUAUAGUAUAUGCAGUAAAGCUGGUCUAUGGGAGGUUGCAAACAAGUUUGGCUACAGCUCUGAGCAAUUUGGGUUGCAGAUAUCUCUGCAAAAUAUGGUAGGUAUCUUGAGUUUGGUAUUAGAAUAUUGCUCUGUAUGUUGACAGGAACAUGAGGAAUGGCAUGUGAUCAUUUUCCCUGUCCAGAGAAUGGAGGAAUUGGAAGAUGCCAAAGAAUCACCAGAGGAAGUUGCCUCAAACUUUACAUGUGCAAUGUUUGAAACACCUCAAGCAGUGCUAAAAGGUGCUAGGCACAUGGUAUGUGAACGUAUCGUCAUGCUUGCAUGUCAUAACUAACUGCUUUUUCAUAUUUGAUUGUUUAAAAAUUUGCUUGUCAUUCCAGGCAGCAGUUGAGAUUAGCUGCGAACCAUGUGUUCGGAAACAUGUGCGUAGUGUCUUUAUGGAUAAUGCUACCGUGACGACAACUCCUACUGCCGAUGGCAAUGCAGCUAUUGAUUCUUUUCAUCAGUUUGCUGGAGUGAAGUGGUUAAAGGAUAAGCCACUUACUAGAUUUGAUGAUGCACAGUGGCUUCUUAUUCAGAAGGCUGAGGAGGAGAAGCUGCUACAAGUUACUAUCAAGCUGCCUCAAGCAGUUCUUAACAAGUUGAUUAGCGACUCUAAUGAUUAUUAUCUUAGUGACAGUGUGAGUAAAUCUGCUCAAUUGUGGAAUGAGCAGAGGAAGCUGAUAAUUCAGGAUGCCUUUUUCAAUUUUCUUCUCCCUUCAAUGGAGAAGGAAGCCAGGUCUUGGUUGACCAGUAGAGCGAAAAGUUGGUUGUCUAU
rnacentral:lncRNA from 1 species